rnacentral:lncRNA from 1 species
ACCUCUAAAACUCAAGAACACAUCGUAUUUCUUUCUAGAAAUGGAUGAGGAAGUCGAAAGUAACGACGACAUGAGGAUGUAUGAGAAGAAAAAUAUGUGGAUGUAGUGUUCAAAAUCAGUCGCUCAAUACCUCCGAAACAAUAAGUAUAUGAGCAUGAGGGGAGAAAAACAGAUGAAAUUUCGAGGGAAGAACAAAGGGAGUAGGUGAAUCUAUCAGUAUAAUAAUAUCUAUGAAAAGGGAGUAUUUAUUAUUUUCUUUUGCCUGAAUUAUAUGGUUCUCAAUAAAUUAAUGAAUUUAAUUUUCAGAAAAAAUUGUAGGCUGCUUUUUGUGAACUCUCACCUUCUUGGAGUCUUCCCGGAAAGAGUAAGGCUUUAGCCUUAACAUUAAUACAACAUUAUGGCACGUUAACAAUUAGUUUUGUCACAAUUCAAGUACGACAUAUUUUAGAGUAAUUACAAACACUUAAUAUGAUAAGGAAAUUAAACCCGGAUGGUCUAAAGCGACGAGCAAAAAUUGACAAAAGAAUCGAACAUUCCCCAAACUAGAGAGGACGACAAUAAAAUCAUCUCUAAAAUCACUUGCAAAACUAAGAUUAUAUGCAUAAACACACUUAUUAAAUAAUUGAAAACAAUAUAUAAAACUUAACAACACGAAAAUAGAUCCUACAAUUAUCAUCAAGUAACGUGUUGGACAGUUUGUGUUUUAUUUUUUUAUUAUUUUAUAUUAUCAUAUCUACUUUAUAAUCAGUAGCUUAUGUUACAUAUGUGAUUUUACGCAUUUAAUAUUUGAUUAAAUUUUUUAAAUAUUAUACUUUUAAUUGAAGUAAUUAGUAUAAAAUAAUAUUUUUUAUUUAAAUUAUUAAAUAUAUGUAAAAUAUAUUAAUUUAUCAAUUCAAACAAAUAUUAUAAUAAAAAGUUUUUAAAUAAUAAUUAAAUAAUUUUUAACAUAUUCCACAUAUAUUAUAGUUUUCCUUUAGGUAGCUAAUGCAAUGUAAUAUUACUCAAAAUAAUAACUACUUAACAUAAUUGUCAGCAACCUCUUGGCCUAUUUACAAAAGCUUGGUUUUGUAGGUAUGAGAGUUUGUGUUCAAUCCUAAGCAAUCCUAUUUUCCUCCCUUAAAUAUAUAUAAAAAAAUUGAGCACAAUAAACUCUAACAAUCAUUAAGUGAUAAUUAUAAUGAUAAUUUUAAAUUUAGUAAUAUAAAAAAAUAAAUAUCUUUUUCAAACUCGUUGUUUUAUAUAUUACAAAUUAAGUAUUAAAAUUGUUUUUUACGUGUCAUAGCAUUUCACCACCAUUUGAUCUUAUCUUUUAUCUUCCUUGUACCUUUCUGCCUGUUUGGUGAAGGCUUCUUCAACUUUUUCUUUGCUUUCUUUAAUCGGAUGGAUCCACAUCGGGGGCCAUAGAUGAGCCUUAGAUGUUCUUUCCGAGAAGACUCCAAGAAGGCGAGAGUUGUUAAUAUUUAUGGAGUUUUUCUUGGUUAAAAUGUGCCAGAAGUCCCUGCACUUUUUAUAAAAUUAAAAUUUAAUUCCUAUACCAUUAAUCACUAAAUUAUAGAUAAAUUUUUGCAGGUAUCUUCACCUCUAAAACUCAAAAAAACAUAAUAUUUCUUUCUAGACAUGGAUGAGGAAUUCGAAAGUGACGAUGACAUGACGGUUUAUGAGAAGAAAAAUAUAUAUGGAUUUAGUGUUCAAAAUCAGAAAAUAGAUGGCUCAUGAGGAAGGAGAAAAACAGAUGAAAUUUACAGGAAACAACAAAGGACUUGUCUAGGAAAUUAGUGUAUAUGUUUCCCACCUUUUACUUUUCCAAAUGAGUCUAUCUUCAUUAUAAUACCUAUGAAAGGGAGUCGGUAACAAUUAAUUAAGAGUUUUUUUUCAUUUUCUUAAAUCUUAAAAUAAAUGUUGAGACAUUAAUCAAGCCUAAACUUGUCUCCUUUAAUGAUAUAAGGGAACAGCGAAGAUUUUUGUCAGCAAUUUCUCUAAACAUUUCCAUUUUUUUCUUCCAAAUGAAAGCGCGUAGAUGUGGAAAUUGGGGGAUGAUAGAUGAGUGAUAUUAGAUGUUGUCUCCAGGAAGAAUCCAAGAAAGAGUCGACAAAAUUGAGCCUACAAUAAUUAUAAGUGUUGGACCGUUUGUGUUUUACAUUAUCAUAUUUACUUCAUAAUUAUAAAGUAUUAACUAAUUGUGUUUUACAUGCUUAACUAGUUUCUUAUGUAACAUACAUCUAAUUAUUUUUAUUUCAUUAAUUAUAUAUUUAUUUUAUUAAUUAGUGUAUUUAAUUAUUAUUUAAAGAUACAUGAUUAUUUAUUUAAAAAUGUUUAUUAUUUUAUGUAAUGUAAAAUAAUUAAAAUAUUUUAUUAGACUUAAUACAUAAUUUAGUACUUGAGUUUGACACAUUUUCUAAUGUGAUACUUAUGUUAUUUUUUGGUCCAAUCAGGUAUCUGUAUUUAACAAAAGUUAUAUAUAUUUUGACACCCAAAACUAAAGAUGUUAAGUGUUUAAUUCGAGUUUUAGGGUUGGUUUGAUGAAAAUUAAUUGCUAAUUAUGUAUUUUCAUCAAACCAACUCUAAAACCCGAAUUAAAUCACAACCAAUGGACUAUAUUUGACAAAUUAAAUGCAAAAUUAAACAAAUCCAUAAUUAACACUAAAUUUAUUCUAUUAACAAAAUCAUGAAAAAUUUAAAGUUAAUAAUAUCAGCAAUUAACUUUCAUCAAAUCAAUUCCCAGACCCGAACUAAACACUAAAAGGUUAACAUCGUUUGUAAUGAUCCAAAAUUCACGGGCAUUGGAAAAGUACAUUAUCGGGCCUCCGUCUUAGUAAACUGAAUCAUAAAUAAUUAUUAGAAGUAAUUAUGAGUUUAGUUGAGUGCUUAAUUAGGUAUUAAUUAGGUGAAUUUAGUUUAAUUAAGAAUAAUUAGAAAAAAAAAGAACUAAAUAGAUUAAAGGAUAAAAGUUUAAUUAUAGAUCGAAAGAAAGUGUAAAGAAUCAAAAUGGCAAUUAAGCCAAUUCAAAAGAAUGAGGCGGCAUAAGCUGAGUAAGAUUGAAGAUUUUCAUAUGAUAUUUUCUAUUAAAAUUUCAUUAAUAAUCAUUAAGGUUUAAUACUAAAUAAUAAAUUAUAUUAAUUGUUAUUAUUAUUAUUAUUAUAUUAUGAAAUAAGUUAAACAAAGACAAAUGUAUGGUAGUGAUUUAAUACAAAUGUAUUGAUAAAAGUAUAUACAUUUGUAAUAAUUAUAUUAAAUUAUUAGAUAGAUAUUUAUUAGAUAAAUAAUUAAAUUAUAAGAUUUUUUUGUGUGAUAAAUAAAAUAAAUGAUGACAAAUGUAUGGUAUAGAUGAUAUUGUACAUUUAUAAAUAAAAUAUAUAUGUACAUUUGUAAUAUUAUUAUUUGUUGUUAAAUUGAUUUUUAUUAAAUAAAUAAGAUAAUUGACAAAUAAAUGGUAUAAAAUUUAUACAAGUGUAAUAAAAUAAAUAUGUACAAAUGUAAUUAAACAAUUGAUUUACUUAAUAUUUAAGCAUAAGAUAUUUUAUACUGAUAUUAUAUUAAUUAUUUAGUAAUUAAAAAAAAAGAACAAAAGAAAUAAAGUAAAGUAAGUAAAAAUAAAAGAAAGAAACUAAAGAAGAACAGAAAUAGAGAAUGAAACGAAAACAGGGGAGGAAAAAGGGAAAGAAAAGAAAAGGGGAAAAUUGGGAUUUUUAAGCUUCAAGUUUAAUUGGUAAGCUAAAUUUAGCCCUUUUCUCUUAAUUUUGAUGUUUUAGAAGCUUUAAAACAAAGUUUUGUUGAAAUUAAGUGGAGGUUACGGAAGUUCAUAGGUUUUUGAACAUGAUUCACGUUGAACAAGUUGUUAAAUUAGGGGUUUAGUUGAUAGAAUUUCUAGUUAGAAUCGAUAAAAGGAUUAAACUGUAAACUAGGUUAUAAGUUUUACAUAGUUGGGAUUAAGUCAUAAGAAGUCUUAAAUUAGGGUUUAAUUAUGAAUAUUGAAUAGUUGAGUUAAAUAUGGCAAGAAAUUAAGUAGAAAAGAAGUAUGAAUUAAGCUAGAAAAGUAAGUAAGCUUAGUUAGAAUUAAAUUGGGAAUAAGUAAGAAUUGAAUAAAAUUUAAUUAUUAUUAUUGUUAUUAUAAUUUAAUAUUGUUAAUUAAUAGUGAAAAUAAUUAUUAUUUUCAUAGCUAACAAAGAACACGAGGCAUCGACAUUAAAAGGAAAGGAGAAAGCUAUCGAGGACUAAAACGGGAGAUUUACGAUUUGUAUUACUAUAAUUCAAAUUAUUUAUUAUUUAAUGCUAUAUUUAAAUUUAUAUGUAUGGUAAGUGAAAUAUAAGGUAAGUAUUAUUAUUAAGUUGAAAGAAAUUCAAUUGAAUGAUGAAUAUAUGUGUGGAAUUGAAAUGAAUUUUGACUUGAAAAUGGAAAAGUGAAUUUUGAAUUAAAUUGUGAUUGAAAGUGAAAAAGUGAAAUUGAAUUGAAAUGUGAAUUUGGAGACCCUAUUAACUAGUCGGGCUGAGUUGGAUAUAGUUGGCAUGCCAUAGGAUUGGAAGAGUUCAGGGAUACUUCGACCUCGAGUCGAUGAGACACUGGGUGUCACUAUAUUUCUUCGGAUAGAUUCGAUGAGGUACUGGGUACCAACUUUCUUCGGCUUUGACGAUGAGACACUGGGUGUCAACUAUUGCUUCGAACUAUCCGAUGAGGUACUGGGUGCCAUACUGGAGUGUUUGGUUAGACCCGUGUAUCCGUCAAAAUCCGAGUUUUGUUAAUAGGGUAAAUAAUGAAAUGAUAAUUUGAAUGAGUUGAUCAAUCGAGCUAUUGAAAUGAAAUGAAAAUUUGAAUUGUGAAUUGAAAUGUGAUAUGAGAUUGAGAAAUGAAUCUAAGGUUCAUCAUGUGUCCAAGUACCAAAUUGUGGAUAUAUGAUAUUAAUUGAUGAAUUGUUAUUGUAGAAAUAUGAAAUUUGAGUUUAAAUUUAUAUGUAUGAUUUUAUGCAUUACAUGUUUAUUAAUAUUAUAAUUUGAAUUAUGGUAAUACCACUGAGUAUGAAAUACUCAGCGUACUGUUGUUUCCGUGCGCAGGUCAUUAGAGUUCAAGGUCCAGUUCAACAUCAUCAAAAAAAUUUCGGUGAUGUAUUUCUUCCUUUUUGUUUAAGUGGCAUGUACUAGGUGAUUGUACACGAGUCGUAUAUAUAUAUGUAAAUAUAUAUGCUAAAUGAUCAUGGUUGUAAAUAAAUGGUUAUAAUCUUUUGGAUGAUAAAUAAAGUUUAAAGUUAUAAAUUAGUAAACUUAGUAUUAAAUCUUGAAAUGAAAUGAAAGAUAUGAAUUAGUUUUUUUACAUGUUAACUUUAACCUUUUAUAAUUAAAGUAGUAAAUCAAUUUAUUAAACAUGAUUUAGUAGCGUUUUAAAGUAUAAAAUCAUUGAUUGAAAUAUUGGUAUUGGUUUGUUUUUGGUUUUAAGUUUGCAGGGGGUUUUAUGUAAAAAUAAACAGAAAUACUGUCGAAAUUUUUUUAAAAAAUGAAUGAAGCCAAUUAGCAUAAAUUUAUAUGAAUUUAUGAUUCUUUUAUAUAUGUUCGUUAUUUAUGUAAGAAUUAUUUGUAAAUUUUCCGAGAUGUCCAGUAAUGCCUCGUAACCCUGUUUCGGUGACGAUUUGGGGUUAAGAGGUGUUACAUCGUUACUUUUGAAUACCAAAAUAUAUAACUGUUUUCAAAUAUAUGUAACAAAUUGAACAAAAAAAAAACACAAGAGUACCACAUGAGAAAAAAGUGUCAAACUCAAGUACCAAAUUAUGCAUUUAAUUGUUUUAUUACAAGAUAUUGUUUAAUUAUAAAUUUCAAUAUUUAAAUUAAAACAAGAGUUUUGUUUGGUGGGAUGUUUUCUUACUGCUAAUGUGGUCCACUUUCCGACAAUGAAGAAUACAUUGGCAAAUUUGUGGCAUCCUUUAAGGUGUGUGCAGAUCUCGAAUAUGGGAGAGAAUAGAUAUUUGUUUAGAUUUUUCAAUAAAGUGGACAUUGAUAGGGUGAUUAAUGGAGCACCAUGGGCUUUCAACAAUCAUUUGUUAGUGUUCCAUCAUUUGGCUAUUAAUGAAGAUCCCGUGCAAGUACCAUUGAUUUUUCGUGGCUUUGGGUUCAAGUACAUGAUAUUCCCCUAGGAUUUUUCUUUGAAGCAGUGGCAAGAUAGUUUGGUAAUUUUAUUUGAGAAUUUUUCGGAUUAUGAUUUGAAGCACAUUUCGAGAGGUGUUAGUCCAUAUUUGCAAAUAAGAGUUAAAUUAAAUGUGUGUUCCCCAUUGAAAAGGAGGAAGAAAAUGUGAGUUUCAUAUAUGCGAGAUUUCAGUAUAAAAAAAAUCACAUUAUUCUAUUUCAUAUGUGGCCGUUUAGGGCAUGGAGAAACUUUUUGUCUAGUUAGGUUUGUCACACCCCGAGUUUGGUGGAUCCGAAUUAUGGCAUAGAGUUGUAAAGAUAAUCUAUUUGACGUAUUAUAGUUCGCCAUGUUUGGUCUUUUGGCGAGUACGAUUGGGUGUAAUGUACCUGUCGCUUAGGAGAUUAAAUAUUUUUGUUUCAAAUUAUUAAGUGAUUCUAGUAAAGGAUACCGCCAAAUGUUUAACACGUGGUUUGUCUGAGCAUUGUGUUAGUUAAGUUGAACAUGAUCUGGUUAAGAAUCAACUGGAUUGGCUGAUCAAAUAUUUAUUGAGAAAUGACUUUCAUUUAUGUUUCUCUUAGAACUUGUAGGCCAUUAAGAAGGACAGUUCUAAAUGUAUUAACAUCUGUUAAGUUCCCACACUAAAUGUAUUGACAUCUGUUAAGUUCCUGCAGGUUGAAUGGGUUAUAUAUAUGGGUGAGAAGGGUGAUCUAUUGAGAAAUCUUCUUCUAUUUCUUCCUUCAAUAUUGUUCUCUGUUUCUUCAAGUUAAGUGCUAUUUCAAUCUCUUCAAGUUAGAUGUUAAGAUGCUGGGAUUAGUUAGAGGUCACUCUAUCUCUUAGUAAGUAAUAUGGCUUUGCAUGUUAAGUUUUGAAGGAUUUAUGAUGUUAAGAGUUUAAUGAGCAGUAGGACUAAAACAAGGUCUUGCAUGGGGUUUAUCUAUGACUGAGAUGUUGAAAAUCUGUGUAUAAGGAUUUUAAUGGUGAAAUUGUGUUCUUUAAGUAGCUGUUGCUGCUAGGCCAAGAAAGAUGUUCGAGUUUGGAGCUUUGAACUACAGUUGGUGAGUAUCUGGUGAGUGUUUAUCUUGACUCUUGCAUGUUUACUGUUUAGAUAUAAACAAGCAUAAGUGAUAAUGAUAUCUUUGAAGAUUGUUAAGAAUGUGAAAAAUAAAUGAUGAUAUAUGUGGUUAUGAUGGAAUGUAUGAAACUCGGUGUGAAUAGAAUGUUGUUCAUAAGUAUAUAUGUAAGAAUCAAAUAAGUAUGAAUAAUUUGAGAAGUGGGGUUGGAGUAACAUUCUUUUGUGAUGCCUCUGGUAUGACAGGUAUAUUGCUAACUAGACUGAUAUAUCACAAUAUGAGUGUAUGUGUAAGAUCAUGUGGUGGAAACCUGUUGGAUCUAAGUGCAACAGCAGCAAGCUUCAGCAGAAUGCUUGUCGAGCAAGUCUCGUGACUUGCAGCAGAAACAAAGCAGAAAACUCAAACAGAUUUUGAAGCAAAACUAAAAUAGAGAGCAUGUGGAUGAAAACUUCAUUGAUUUCAUUCAUUCAACUGAAAAAAUGGCAUAAAGCCAAUACAUAAGCAAGUUUACAAGUUGACAAAACAGUAGGUUAACCUAAACUUAACCUACUACCACUAACACACAUAGUAACUUGUGCUAAUUAACUUGAACAAAUGAACAAAGUUGAUUUAUCAGCUCAAUCACCAUCAAUUUUACAUCAAACAUAAACCUAACAUAGUUCAAAUGCAAUUAAGUUACAUUACAUUAACUUAAAAUUACAAAAUGAAGCAUAAACAGCUUGCUGACUUGGUGAACCAGCAGCUUCUGCAUGUAGUGCCCUGGAUAGUCUUUGUUGCUGCAUGCUGACCAUUACUUCAACAAAACCCAUGACACUAUGAUAUGAAAACACCCAUGGUGUAUCCUCUAGUGAAACAUAGUCUGGAUUGGCAGGUCACGAUACAUGAAGUGAAUAAGUCCGUGUGUUUGAGCCCAUGGCAAGAUGUGUUUGUAUGAAUACUUAUGGUGAUGCCUCCGUUAUGAUAAAAACUGGACUGGCAGAUCACAGCAUAAGGUUUAAGUAUAAGACCAUGACUAAGGAACCAUGACAUCUUCUGUGAAAGUCCGUCGGGACAGUAAACACAUGAUUCUAAAUGUGUCCUAUAUGGCAUGAUCAACUAAGCCUUUGUGGCAUAUUUUGUUUGGUCCUUGUGGCAUUUUCGACCAAGUCUUCAUGAGAAAUGGUGACUAUCUGUCUUCUUUAUGGUAAGUCCUGGAUGUAUUCUGGGUAUGUUGUGAUAUGAUCAAGGUUAAAAUGAGUCGAAUUAAGCCUAUGAAGUAAUCAACUAAGUUCAUUAAAGAAUAUUUUUGGAAAAGAAUUGUAUAUCUGUUUGUCUGAAGAAUGGGGAAUCUGCCUCGGUAAUGUGUUAGUAUAGAAAGAGUGUAUUUAUGGUUAUGGAAGCUAUGAGAAAUUGGCAGUUGGAGUUCUAAGGAGCUGUAUAGUGUUGAAAUCUGGGUACGUGAUAUCCACCAUAUUUGAUUAGUAUCUCAUUCGAUCGAUUCUAGAAUUUCAAAGUAAAUACUCCAUUUGUUAAUUCAGGUUAUUACGUAUUUGUUGUAAGAGGUACAAAUUAAGAUCUCUUUGAUUGAUCUGGUUAGUUAGUUAUCAGUGUGAUAUUGUGUUGGGUGUUGAAUUAGAAUAUAGAAUGAUGGAAAAACUGAUAAUAUUCAACUCAACGUGGGAAUCCGCCAAAAAUGUAAGUAUCUGCCAGUGAAUUGUAUGGCGUCUCACUCAAGAAUCUUAUGAAAUUGGAGCUAUUCGUCAUCUUGGGUUGUUGUGCGAUGAAUUAACCUGAUGGUCUCAAACGAUCCAUAAUUAAUAUAAGUAUGUGUUGAGCUUAAGUUAGCAAAUAAUUUAUCUUUCAAAAAGGGUAUGGAAAGAUCGUAAAUCAUUCAGGUAGUUAAGAGAGUAUGGCUAUGAUAAAAGUGGUGUGUUUGGCAUAUAGGAAGUGUAGUCUAGGUAUUACUGAUUGAUACAUGACAGAAUCACUCAAACAUCACAGGAGAUACUUGAAAGAGUAGGAUCUUACAUUGGUGAACUCGAUGCUCUUAGGACCAGGUCAUCUGCAAAUAUAAUGGAGUCAGAGAGAUGGAAUCCUCCGGGUAGGGGCUGGUUUAAGAUUAAUUACGAUGUAGCUUUUCAAAAGCAUUCGUUGAGAUCAUGCACAUGGAUUAUCAUCAGAAAUCAUGAAUGGGGCACUCUUGUAUCCUCAAUAAUACAGAACAAGCACAUACCUACUGAGUUUGCGGCGGAGGCUCUUGCAUGCCUUCAAGAAAUUAGACUGGGGCUAGAUCUGGAACUCCAAGACGUUAUUGUUGAAGCCUCGAAGGGAUGCUCUAACGCUGGAUAAAAACUUCUGUACAAAAAUAGAGAUGUAUCAGUUAUCGGUGCGUUCAUUGAAGAGUCAAAUCCCCUAAGUCAAAGUUGCAAGAAAUUCAUGUUUAAGCAUACUUGAGCCAUGCUAAAUUUAUUGAUGUAAAAUAAAAUUAUUACUUGAGUAUAAUUCUAAAUAUUUUAAUUAUCACUAAAUUAAUAUUAGAGUUACAUUUAAUUAAAAUUUAAGUUUAAAUUUAUAAAUAACAUUUAAUAGUUAGACAUAUUUAAUUAAAUAGCAUGUAAGAAAAUUUAUCAAUAAAAAAUUUAAAAUAUUAACAUUAAUAAGUUAGAAUUAUAUUUUUAUAAAGAGAAUAUUAUAUAUAAAUAUAUAUAAAGAAAAGCACUGGUUAAAAUUGGAGCGUGACAUAAAGAGAAUAUUAUAUAUAUUAUGGAAAAUAUAGUGUUUUCGAUUUUAAUCUCAUCAUGAUAACAUUUUAUAAUUUUUUAUUAUAAAAAUAUAAAAUAUAAAAAUACUAUUAUAUUAAUAUUUGUCACUUUAUAAAAUAAUAAAAUUUUUAAUCAUUUGUGAAAUUUUUAUUUCAUUAAUUAUAUAUUUAUUUAUUAAUUAGUCAAACCAACCUUAAAACUGAAAUUAAAUCACGGAAUGUAUUUGAUAAAUUAAAUGUAAAAUUAAAAAAAAUUCAAAAUUAGCACUAAAUUUAUUCUAUUAAUAGAAUCAUGAAAAGUUCAAACAUAAUAAUAUUAGCAAUUAACUUUCAUCAAAUUAAUCCUAAAACCCGAAUUAAACACUAAAAAGUUAAUAUUGUUACUUUUGGGUACCAAGAUAUAUUACUUUUGUCAAAUACGGAUAACAAAUUGGACCAAAAAAUAACAGGGUACCAUAUUAGAAAAAGUGUCAAACUUGGAUACCAAAUUAUGUAUUAAACCAUUUUAUUACAAAAUAUAUUGAUUAGUUAUAAAUAUCAAUAUUUAAAUUAAAAAGAGUGUAAUUCAAAGAUGAAUAUAAACUGCAAUUCAAAUUUAUCUAAUUUUAUCUACUCAAAAAUAUUUAUUUAGCCCUAUUUGAUAAACGAAAAUUCAACUAAAAACCUUAAUGUUUUCCAUAAUUUUAUUUUUUUAAAUAUAUUUGAUAACUGUUAAUAAAAAUUACUUUGUAGAAUUUUUUUCACAAAGAAUGUAAAAAAUAAUAAGUAAAUAGGAAUCUAUUUAAUAUUUAAUAAAGAAUAUGUUCAAUUCUUUUUAUUUUAUUUUAUUUCUUUUUAGACUAUAUUGUCCCAAUUUUUUCUUCACUUUGUUCUUUUAUUCAACAUAAUCUCUGUAAAAUAUUUAUUUUUCAUAAUGUUUAUAAUAUUUUAUAAAUAAUAGUAUAAUGUACUAUAAAUAUUUCAUUUUUAUAGCAACAUUAUUUAAAAUAUGACUUUGUUUAAAUAAUGUGUAAUGUUUAAAAAUUAAGGAUAAAAUUAUAAAAUAGCUUUUUUUUCAUAAUUUAAUAUUUAAAUUUAUCAAAUAAUUUAAUAUUAUAACUUAAUUUUUUCGCACUUAAUUUUUUAGUUUAUCAAACCGGACUUUAGUUUAAAUAUAUUAAUAAAAAUAUUUUCCUACGUUAAGUAAUAACUAUUUAAAAUAAUAAAAUAUUUUUAUUUAUAAACUUGAAUAGUUUAUAUUAUAAUGAAAAUGUAAUUAAAGAAGAAUAUAUGAUGUAAAUCAAUAUUUAUAUUUAGUUGCAAUAUAAUAUUAAAAAUAGUAGUUUUAUUUAAUUUUAAUAGAAAUAAAUAAAAAUAUUCUUAUGUUAAAGUAAGAAAUAAUUAAAAUAACAAGAUAUUGCUCAUCUAUAAGAAAUAAUAAAUAUUUUUCUAUCUCCCAAAUAGCAAGACAUCUUUCAGAAAAGGUGAUCAUAAUUGGCUAGUAGUUGUGGGAUUGGGAGAGAUGGGGAACAAAAGAUCUCUUUUUUACCGGCAUUUAUAAGCACAGGUAAAAGACUGGUAUUGAUUUUCCUGGCAACCAUGAACCUGAUGAAGUUGGUCAGCAUGCAGCAAACACUCGACAGCAUGAAGACCAACCCAUGCAGGAGCUGCUGAUGCAAGCUGUUUCUGUUCAUUUUGUAAUCUUUAGUUCAUGAAAUGAGUCUUAGUUCAUUUCUAACUAAGUUAAGUAUGUAAUUAGCUUGUGUAUGAGCUGUAAACACAUCUUUAUAUAGGUUUACAAGCUAAAAUUUCAAGUUCUUAUGUAAUUAGUGGAGGUAGGUAAUGUUUAGGUGAUUACCUGUUGUUUUUGACAAGCUUAGUGCUUGAUUUAUAUAUUGGCAUUAUGCCAUUGUUUACUUAAUGAAUGAAUCAGAAUUGUUCAUCAAUUCCCUCUCCAUUUUUCUUAGCUUUUCUUUCUUCUUCUUGCUCGAAUUUGUUUGUUUGCUCAGCAAGCAUCCAGGCUUGUUGCACAAGACACUUGUCGAGUUUGUUAGUUUCUGUUAUUGCACCAACAAUUGGUAUCUAGAGCCUAUUUCUUAAGGGAUCUGUUAUACAAAUCCAUGGCUUCAUCAAGCUUUUCACCAACUGCACCUCAAGUCUUCAAUGGAGAAGGCUACCACAUAUGGGUGGUCAAAAUGAAGACCUACCUGCAGGCUUUCGAUCUGUGGGAGGUGGUCAACUCAGAUGUUGAACCAGAGCCAUUUAGAGCCAAUCCAACUGUGGCUUAGAUCAGGCAGCAUGCUGACGAGAGGACCAAGAGGCACAAGGCCAUGUCUUGCAUCCAAAACUCAGUGUCAGAUGUGAUUUUCACAAGGAUUAUGGCCUGUGAAUCACCAAAGCAGGCCUGGGACAAGUUGCAAGAGGAGUUUCAAGGGACAGAAAGGACAAGGCAGCAACAGUUGUUGAACCUGAGGAGAGAAUUUGAGAAUUUGAAGAUGAAGGAAGAAGAAACUGUCAAACAAUACUCUGACAGGAUUAUAGCUGUGGUUAACAGCAUUAGGCUCAUUGGAGAGCAGUUCAAUGAAGCUCGGAUAGUGGAGAAGGUCAUUGUAACUCUGCCUGAGAGGUAUGAGGCAAAAAUCUCAUCUCUCGAAGACUCAAGGGACUUGUCCAACAUCUCCCUGACAGAGUUGAUCAAUGCUCUAUAUGCUCAAGAGCAGAGGAGAGCAAACAGACUGGAGGAGCACCAAGAAGGUGCCUUUCAAGCAAGGACAAAUACUGCCUACAAAGGCAAGAAGGCCUGGAGAGACAAGCCAAGGUAUGAUGCUGCAAGAAAAGAAGGUCAGACUUGCAAGCACUGCAAAAGGGCUGGUCAUCCAGAAGAGAAAUGCUGGUUCAAUCCAGAUGCUGUAUGCUAGCAUUGCAAAAAGAAAGGUCAUGUUGAGAGAGUCUGCAAAAACAAGGCCAAAUCAAGGUAGAAUCAGUUUCAACAGAUGAAAGCUGAGGCUCGAGUAACUAAGGAGGAUAGUGACCAAGAGGAGCAAGUCUUUGCUGUGUCAUGCUCAGCUGCUCAACAAAGAAUUCCAUCUGGUUGGCUCCUAGACAGUGGAUGCACCAAUCACAUGACACCUGAUGCUGCAAUCUUCAAGUCUUUAGACAGAAGCUGCAGAACCAAAGUCAAAAUAGGUAAUGGCCAUUUUAUUCAGGCUGAAGGCAAGGGUGAAGUGCUGAUAUGCACUCCCACAGGUGCCAAAGUUAUUUCAAAUGUGCUCUUGGUGCCUGAAAUUGAUAGAAACCUGCUUAGCAUAGCUCAAUUGCUGGAGAAAGGUUAUUCUAUUGUUUUCAAAAAUAACCAGUGCCAAAUAAGUGAUCCAAGUGGAUCCAAGCUAAUGUCAGUCCUAGUGGCUGAUAAGAGCUUUGUAGUUGACUGGACAAAGGAGUCAGACAUUGCCUACACAGCUACAUCAUAUGAAUCUAAGCUUUGGCAUCAAAGGCUUGGACAUGCCAACUUCAGAUCGAUGGCUCGAAUGGUCAAAGAGGGCUUGGUUGAAAACUUCACCAACUCAGUGGAGCAUGAUGAUGUAUGUGAAGUAUGUCAGCUAGGAAAGCAGGCCAGACUCCUAUUUCCCUCGAAUCAAGCCUGGAGAGCCUCUGAAAAACUCUAACUGGUGUACACUGAUGUGUGUGGCCCCAUGAAGACUGAGUCAUUAAGUGGAAACAGGUAUUUCAUACUGUUUAUUGAUGAUUUCUCGAGAUAUUGCUGGCUUUACUUCUUCAAACACAAAUCAGAGGUGGCUCCUGUGUUUCGGAAGUUCAAGACUGCUGUUGAGACUGAAACAGGCUGCAAGUUGAAGACCAUAAGGCCUGAUAAUGGGACUGAGUACACCUCAGCUCAGUUCUAAGCCUUCUGUGAUAAGGCAGGCAUCAAACAUCAGCUUACCAACACUUAUACACCUCAGCAAAAUGGUGUAAGUGAAAGUAAGAAUAGGAGUUUGAUGGAUAUGGCCAGGUUCCUGAUGAUUCAGAAGAAUCUGCCUAAAGCUCUAUGGGCAGAAGCAGUUAACACUGCAACCAACCAAGGCUUUAGAUUAGAAGACUCCAUUUGAGGCCUGGUUUGGAUUCAAGCCAUCACUGGCUCAUCUGAAGGUCUUUGGAUGCCUCUGUUAUGCACAUGUACCUACUGUUAAAAGGGACAAAUUGUCUGAAAGGGCUCGACCUUGUGUUCUGGUGGGCUAUAGCACUGUCAAGAAGGGCUAUAAGAUCUUGGAUCCUUCAACAAACAAAGUGUCAGUCAGCUGGGAUGUGGCAUUUGAUGACAGGUCAUGUUGGAACUGGGAAAGAUAUGAACCUGAGGAAGUUUCAGAAGAACUUGCAACAGAUCAAGUAGAGCCAGACCAAAAUGUUCCUAAAAUGGACAUUGAUGAUGAACCAGUUAUGGGAACAAGACCAUUGACUGAAAUUUAUGAAAGGGCUCAUGUAGCCAUAGCUGAACCAAACAACUUUGAAGAGGCUGAAGCUCAGCAAGGGUGGAAGCAGGCAAUGGCUGAGGAGAUCAGCAUGAUUGAGAAGAACCAGAAUUGGGAAUUAGUUGAAAGGCCAGUCAAAAGGAAGGUUAUUGGGGUGAAAUGGGUGUACAAAGCCAAGCAGAAUGCUGAUGGAACCUUGAACAAACUGAAAGCAAUAUUAGUUGUCAAGGGAUUCAGUUAGAAAUAUGGCCCGGACUACUUAGAGACCUUUGCACUAGUGACCAGGCUCGACACCAUCAGACUACUGAUUGCCUUAGCAGCACAGCUCGAAUGGAAGAUCCAUCAACUUGAUGUGAAGUCAGCUUUUCUGAAUGGCUUCUUAUGAAGACAUCUAUGUUGAACAACCACAAGGGUUUGAGAUAGUUGGCAAAGAGCAUAUGGUCUACAAACUGAAGAAGGCCCUAUAUGGCUUGAAACAGGCCCCAAGGGCCUGGUAUAGCAGAAUCGAUGGCUACUUGAUUGGCUUGGGAUUUGAUCGAAGCAAGAGUGAGCCAACACUGUAUGUUAAGAAGGGAGGGGCACAAACACAGCUCAUUGUGUCCCUGUAUGUUGAUGACCUACUGGUGACAGGAGGAGAUCGAACAAUGCUGGUCGAUUUCAAGACCAAGAUGUAGGAAGUGUUUGAAAUGUCUGAUCUAGGUGAGAUGUCCUAUUUUCUUGGAAUGGAGGUAACACAAACACAGAAUGGGAUAUUCCUAAGUCAGAAAAGCUUUGCCAUAAAGAUUCUGACCAAGUUCUCCAUGCAAAACAGCAAGGCAACUAAAACACCUGUUGCUAUUGGAGAUAAACUAUCAAGCCAAGGUGAUUUUGAGAAGGUUUGUGAAACUACCUACAGGAGUCUAGUUGGUUGUUUGCUAUACUUAACUGCCACUAGGCCAGACAUAAUGUAUGAUAUAGGAUUGCUCUCAAGAUUCUUGCAUUGCUGCAAUGAGAAGCAUUUUCAAGCUGCAAAGAGAGUGCUCAGAUAUGUCAAAGGCACUUUAAGCUAUGGUUUGAUGUACAGCAAGGAAGGAAAUUUGAAGCUGGUUGGCUAUACUGAUAGUGACUGGGCUGGCUCGAUAGAUGAUAUGAAAAGCACCUCAGGGUAUGCUUUCAACCUUAGUUCAGCCAUGUUCGGCUGAAGCUCGAAGAAGCAAAGUCUGGUGGCUCAAUCUACUGCUGAAGUAAAGUAUGUGGCAGCAGCAAGUGCUGUCAACCAAGCCAUUUGGCUAAGGAAAAUCUUGGUUGAUUUGAAUGUGCAUCAAAGGGAAGCAACAGAGAUCUUCUAUGACAACUAAUCUGCUGUUGCAAUUGCUAAAAAUCCAGUGUUCCAUGGAAGAACAAAGCAUUUCAGCAUAAAGUUACAUGUUGUUCGAGAAAUGGAGCAAUUACAGGAAGUGAUGCUGAUUCACUGCAAUUCAGAAGAUCAAUUUGCAGACAUUUUGACUAAAGCCCUUAAUGUCACAAGGUUCGAGUGUUUAAGAAGGAAAUUAGGUGUUUGCACCAUGCUAACCAAGGAGGAGUGAUGAAGUUGGUCAGCAUGCAGCAAACACUCGACAGCAUGAAGACCAAACCAUGCAGGAGCUGCUGAUGCAAGCUGUUUCUGUUCAUUUUGUAAUCUUUAGUUCAUGAAAUGAGUCUUAGUUCAUUUCUAACUAAGUUAAGUAUGUAAUUAGCUUGUGUAUGAGCUGUAAACACAUCUUUGUAUAGGUUUACAAGCUAAAAUUUCAAGUUCCUAUGUAAUUAUUGGAGGUAGGUAAUGUUUAGGUGAUUACUUGCUAUUUUUGACAAGCUUAGUGCUUGAUUUAUAUAUUGACAUUAUGCCAUUGUUUACUUAAUGAAUGAAUCAGAAUUGUUCAUCAAUUCCCUCUCCAUUUUUCUUAGCUUUUCUUUCUUCUUCUUGCUCGAAUUUGUUUGUUUGAUCAGCAAGCAUCGAGGCUUGUUGCACAAGACACUUGCCGAGUUUGUUAGUUUCUGUUAUUGCACCAACAAAAUCGGUAGUUUUCGGCUAUGUUUGAAGAGGUGGAUUUACUUAUAUUUGGUUCCUUGUCCUUGCCUCACUCUAUUUUGCCUUUGCCAAUUUAAUGUAGGUCACUGUUGUGAAAAGUGAAGAUGGGGGUAACAAGGUUGCCACUGUGGUUCUGCGAGGAAGUACUGAUAGUAUAUUGGAUGAUCUUGAAAGAGCUGUUGAUGAUGGAGUCAAUACAUAUAAGGUUUUUUUUUGCUGAUCAUUUUCUUUGAAUGCCGUAUAAACCUGAUUAAAUUCUUUUAUUCUCACCUGCUGAAAUUGUCUUUUCCAUUUUUUUUGGAUGUAAAUUCCAAGGAAAGAAUCAGUAUCCCAUUCUUAAUGCCCAUUCAUUUUUGGUCAGGCAAUGUGCAGGGAUAGUCGUAUAGUACCUGGAGCUGCUGCUACAGAAAUCGAGUUGGCGAGAAGAUUGAAAGAGUUCUCCUUCAAGGAAACAGGGUGAUUUGUUUUUUCCGUGUGCUCUUCUUAAUGGAAAAUGCCAUCCUGCAUGUAUUGUUUCAUAUUUAGGCUACAAGUUUGUGCAUUACACUUGUAUGAAUGACAUGAACACAUUUGUGGCUUGAUGGAACUUUACCCAAGGUAGGCAGUACCACACUGGUCGGUACGACCGGAACCGAUGCAAAACCGACCAUCAUGAUUCUACCUGCUGAACAACUAGGUAUUGAGGCAUAGUGCUGGAGAGGUGAAUGAGUCAACUUCUGCAUUGUUGGCUGUCAAGUUAUUGAUAUCUUGCAUUGGUCAUGUUCAUUCUGAUAGCUGUGUUGAGAAUCUCCUACAGCUUUUUGGGAUUUAUAGUAGAUUAGAUAAGUACUAGAAGAAGCUAUUAGUAUUAACUACGGGAUAUUUUGCAGAUUGGAUCAGUAUGCCAUUGCUAUGUUUGCUGAAAGUUUUGAAUUGGUACCGAGAACCCUGGCAGAGAAUGCUGGACUCAAUCCAAUGGAUAUUAUUUCUAAGUUGUAUGAAAAGCAUGCAUCUGGGAAUGCUAAAGUGGGCAUCGACUUGAAGGGAGACGACCCUGAGGAUGGUGUUUGCAAGGAUGUCUCAACCGUGAAUGUUUGGGACCUUUAUGUCACUAAGUAAGUCGCUAUUUACAAUUAUUUCUGGCUCAGUUCUGUUCUCUUUUGCAUCGAAAAUUAACCUCAAAUUCUUUUAUAAUUUACAAUUGUUGACUUUUUUUGUCAGGUUUUUUGCUCUCAAAUAUGCUGCAGAUGCUGCCUGCACUGUGUUGCGUGUAGAUCAGGUAAUUUACUAGAGGCAGAAAGCUUGAAAAUGAAAAUCGCACUUAAAAUAGUUUGCUGAUGGGAUUAGAUUCUCAUGCAAAGCUGUAUUUGUUGCUUAGGAUCGCAUAUGUAUUUCAUUUUCCAAACAUUUUCUUCCACUAAGCUCAGUAAUGCCGUUGAUUCAAUGUUUGCAGAUUAUCAUGGCGAAACCAGCUGGAGGUCCAGCGAGGAGAGAUCAACCGGCAGGAAUGGAUGAGGACUAAAUCUUGCAUGGUAUGAUUGAUUUCCCAUCUCUUGUAUCUCACCACCCAUAUUCGGACUUUGUUUAGGCAUCUAUUUUAUUAUUAUUAUUUUUUCUUUUUAGAUGCUAAAAUGUGCUUGAAAGAAUUUUGCAUGUGAUUUUAGAAUGUUUACAGUGGGGAGUAGUGGUGAUCUAUGUUUUUAGUGUAUUACCCUAACCUAUAUUAGGGCCUGGGGUAGGGAGUUAGAAGAUCGUCUCAUUCAUAUCUUUCUCGAUUUUGCAUGGAUGUUGGUUAUAUCAUAGCCUAUUUUACACGAACCCAUUCAUUUUCUCUUAGUACCUAUAUUUAACACUUAUGUUUGAUAUAUAUCUAGAUAUGUAUAUAAAGGGAUUAUAUCAGUUUCCAUUGAAUAAGUUUGUUUGAACAGACUUUAUUAAAGGGAUUACAUCAAUUUGGGUCAGAUAAAUUGAUUUGAAUAGACUUUUAUGCAUUCCUAGUGAGGGAGGAUUUAGUGAUAACUUCAAUUAUUAUGUAUUAAAUGGACAAAUCUAAUUCAGAAUAAAACUUGAGAUUUAGUUAUUUCGUGCAAUUUCUCUUUAAGAACAUUUAUUUCAGAAUUUUGAUUGUAAGGUUAUAACAUUCUCGCUGUACUUUUCCCACCUUUUACUUUUACAAUUAAUUAAGAGUUUUUUUGGUUAAAUUUUUUCACAAGUCCCUGUACUUUUUAUAAAUUUAAAAUUUAGUCCCUACAUUGUUAGCCACUAAAUUAUAAUAAAUUUUCAUUUUGGUCACUUAACUAAAGAAAGUUACAAUUUGGUCACUAAACUUUUCGAAAUUAUUUUUUUAUCACCCAAUUAUUACGUAGCACUUUUUUUUAUUGGUAUAAUAACAAUUUUAGUCAUCAAUUUUUAAACUUUUCUAUCAAUUUAAAGUCUGUGUUUUGACUAUUGGUAUUGCAAUCUAUUGUCACAUGGCAAAAUUUUGUAUUAAUAUUCCAACAAAAUUGAAGUUUGUAAACCUCAUGAUUUUUAACUUAUCAUACGUGAGCAUGUAAUGUUUUAGUUUUGAAGAUAAUGUACCAAUCAUCUAACUACUUUCCCAUGAUCCAUACUCAAAUUUCUCCAAUAUCUGAAAAAUGUAUGCAAUUUUUUUGCACAUAUAAACUUGAGCAUACAUUAGAUUCUCUGAAGCAUAGUGAUUUUUCUUUCAUUUUCUUAAAUCUUAAAAUCAAUGUUGAGACAUUAAUCAAGACUAAACUUGUCUCCUUUAAUGAUAUAAGUAUCACCUAAUCCACAAUCCUACAUGAGGGAGAAAAACAGAUCAAAUUUCAAGGGAACGACGAAGAUUUUUGUCAGCAAUUUCUCUAUACAUUUCCAUUUUUUCUUCCAAAUGAAAGCGCGUAGGUGUGGAAAUUUGGGGAUGAUAGAUGAGUGAUAGAUGUUGUCUCCAGGAAGAAUCCAAGAAAGAGUCCACAAAAUUGAGCCUACAAUAAUUAUAAGUGUUGGACCGUUUGUGUUUUACAUUAUCAUAUUUACUUCAUAAUUAUAAAGUAUUAACUAAUUGUGUCUUACAUGCUUAACUAGUUUCGUAUGUAACAUACAUCUAAUUAUUUUUAUUUCAUUAAUUAUAUAUUUAUUUUAUUAAUUAUUGUAUUUAAUUAUUAUUUAAAGAUAUAUGAUUAUUUAUUUAAAAACGUUUAUUAUUUUAUGUAAUGUAAAAUAAUUAAAAUAUUUUAUUAGACUUAACACAUAAUUUAGUACUUGAGUUUGACACUUUUUUUUAAUGCGAUACUUAUAUUAUUUUUUGGUCCAAUUAAGUAUUUGUAUUUGACAAAAGUUAUAUAUUUUGACACCCAAAACUAAUGAUGUUAAGUGUUUAAUUCGAGUUUUAGGGCUGGUUUGAUGAAAAUUAAUUGCUAAUUAUGUAUUUUCAUCAAACCAACUCUAAAACCUGAAUUAAAUCACAUCCAUUGGACUGUAUUUGAUAAAUUAUAUAUUAUAGUUUUCCUUUAUGUAGCUAAUGCAAUGUAAUAUUACUCAAAAUAAUAUUUAACAUAAUUGUCAGCAGCCUCUUGGCCUAUUUACAAAAGCUUGAUUUUGUAGGCACGAGAGUUUGGAUUCAAUUCUAAGCAACCCUAUUUUCCUUCUUCAAAUAUAUAUAAAAAAACUGAGCACGAUAAACUCUAAUAACAAUUAAGUGAUAAUUAUAAUGAUAAUUUUAAAUUUAGUAAUAGAAAAAAAUAAAUAUCUUUUUCAAACUCGUUGAUAUAUAUAUUACAAAUUAAGUAUUAAAAUUGUGUUUUACGUGUCAUAGCAUUUCACCACCAUUUGAUCUUAUCUUUUAUCUUCCGUGUACCUUUCUUCGUGUUUGGUGAAGGCUUCUUCAACUUUUUCUUUGUUUUCUUAAAUCGGAUGGAUCCACAUCGGGGGCCAUAGAUGAGCCUUAGAUGUUCUUUCCGAGAAGACUCCAAGAAGGCGAGAGCUGUUGUUAACAUUUAUAGAGUUUUUCUUGGUUAAAAUGUGCCAGAAGUCCCUGCAUUUUUUAUAAAAUUAAAAUUUAAUUCCUAUACCAUUAAUCACUAAAUUAUGGAUAAAUUUUUGCAUGUAUCUUCACCUUUAAAACUCAAAAAAACAUAAUAUUUCUUUCUAGACAUAGAUGAGGAAUUCGAAAGUGACGAUGACAUGACGAUUUAUGAGAAGAAAAAAAUAUAUGGAUAUAGUGUUCAAAAUCAGAAAAUAGAUGGCUCAAUACCUCAGAAACAAUGUAGAAACAAUAAGUAUAUGAACAUUAGGAAGGAGAAAAACAGAUGAAAUUUACAGGAAACAACAAAGGACUUGUCUAGGAAAUUUGUGUAUACGUUUCCCACCUUUUACUUAUAAUACCUAUGAAAUUUGAGUAUUGCAAUCUAUUGUCACAUGGCAAAAUUUUGUAUUAAUAUUCCAACAAAAUUGAAGUUUGUAAACCUCAUGAUUUUUAACUUAUCAUACGUGAGCAUGUAAUGUUUUAGUUUUGAAGAUAAUGUACCAAUCAUCUAACUACUUUCCCAUGAUCCAUACUCAAAUUUCUCCAAUAUCUGAAAAAUGUAUGCAAUUUUUUUGCACAUAUAAACCUGAGCAUACAUUAGAUUCUCUGAAGCAUAGUGAUUUUUCUUUCAUUUUUCUUAAAUCUUAAAAUCAAUGUUGAGACAUUAAUCAAGACUAAACUUGUCUCCUUUAAUGAUAUAAGUAUCACCUAAUCCACAAUCCUACAUGAGGGAGAAAAACAGAUCAAAUUUCAAGGGAACGACGAAGAUUUUUGUCAGCAAUUUCUCUAUACAUUUCCAUUUUUUCUUCCAAAUGAAAGCGCGUAGGUGUGGAAAUUGGGGGAUGAUAGAUGAGUGAUAGAUGUUGUCUCCAGGAAGAAUCCAAGAAAGAGUCCACAAAAUUGAGCCUACAAUAAUUAUAAGUGUUGGACCGUUUGUGUUUUACAUUAUCAUAUUUACUUCAUAAUUAUAAAGUAUUAACUAAUUGUGUUUUACAUGCUUAACUAGUUUCGUAUGUAACAUACAUCUAAUUAUUUUUAUUUCAUUAAUUAUAUAUUUAUUUUAUUAAUUAUUGUAUUUAAUUAUUAUUUAAAGAUAUAUGAUUAUUUAUUUAAAAACGUUUAUUAUUUUAUGUAAUGUAAAAUAAUUAAAAUAUUUUAUUAGACUUAACACAUAAUUUAGUACUUGAGUUUGACACUUUUUUCUAAUGUGAUACUUAAAGCACGUUUGGUUCGCUGUAAUGGAAUAGAGGCGUAAUAGCAAUUCAAUUGUUUGGUUGAAUGUAAUGGAAUAGAGGCGUAAUAGUAUUCUUGUGUUUGGUUGAAUGGAAUGGAGGUGUAAUAGCAUAAGGGAAAAAACCGAAAUGACUAGAAUACCCUUAGCAGAAAUUUGUUUAAGUAAAUGAUUAUUGUUAUUGUUAUUAAAUUUUAAUAAGAUUAUUAAUAUCAAUAAUAAAUAAUUUAAUCAUAUUUUAACAUAAUUAUUAUUAAAUAUAUUUUAAUUAAAAUAUAUAAUUUAAUAAAAUUCUUAAUAAUCAAUAUUCUUAUAUGAAUUUACUAAAAUCAUAAUAUAUGAUACUAUAAAAUAUAAUUUGAAAUAAUUAUUAUUAAAUAUAUUUUAAUUAAAAUAUAUGAUUUAAUAAAAUUCUUAAUAAUCAAUAUUCUUAUAUGAAUUUACUAAAAUUAUAAUAUAUGAUACUAUAAAAUAUAAUUUGAAAUAAUUAUUAUUAAAUAUAUUUUAAUUAAAAUAUAUGAUUUAAUAAAAUUUAAAAUAAUUAUUACUAAUAAAUUUUCUUAUAUGAAUUUGUAUAAUUUAAAAUAAUUAUUAUUAAAUAUAAUUUAACAAUAUAUAAUUUCAUAAAAUUAUUGAUAAUAAAUUUUCUUAUAUAAAUUUGUAUAAUUUAAAAUAAUUAAUAUUAAAUAUAAUUUAAUGAUGAUAUAUAAUUUCAUAAAAUCCUUAAUAAUAAAUAUUCUUAUAUGAAUUUACUAAACCAUAAUAUAACUUGAGAAUUAUAUUCUGCAUAAACAUAAUUAACUUAUAUUAACAAAAGGUUAGAUGAAAAUGAAAUUCUACAUCAUAAUCCAUAUGUUACAUAGUUUUACAACAUCAAAAAGUUUGAACAUUGAUUUUUAAUGGUCAGAAAGAAAUCUUCUGACCCAUUCCAACCGUGCAUCAGAAGGUAAACUAAAAAAAUGAGCAUUUGAGUUGAAUGAUUUGAAAUUUUACUCAAAGCUUGAUGCUGCUCAUCCACGGUUAAACUUUCAAUUUCCCAUAAGGUUGAAUAUAAAUUUGUAGCUUUCUGUUGGAUGAUCUGGAAUUCUUCUGACUUCUGUUGAACUACCACAUCGGAGGCAAUACCCCUACUAAUUUGUUCGCCAAUGGCCCGCAUGUUUUCGGCCAAUAAAGUGGCAGCAUCAUUAAAUGAAGAAGAAAUAUUAUCACGAGCAUCAAAAUAAUUUACACUUGUAAGCAUUCAACUAGUAUUAAGAUCAAUCACAAAUGAUUUAGACGGGCAUGAAAUCUCAAAUUUUGCAAGGCCUGAAGCCACAAUUGUUAUGCCCACAACGCUAAGUCAACAAGUUAUUGGUAUGUUACAAAAAAAAAUCAUUAAUUAACCGUGAAGAAAUCUAAACAAAUAAAGGAUUAUCAUUUUCCUAAGAUAGUGAAAACAACUUAUUGCUUUAGCAUUGCUAGCUUUGCUCUGGUUGCGAUAAAGAUUUUGAAAAUUUUAUUGGUAUGUUACAAUAAUUCUUUAUAUACAUAUUUAUAAUUUAUCUUUAUUUUUAAUAAAAUAUAUAUUACAUUUUAAAAUCAUUAAUUAAGUUAAAAAACUUACUUUAAAAUUUACAUUUUAUUUUCUAAUGCAAGUAUAAAAAGUAAAAAUGAUUGAAGACAAGAAAACGUUUAAAAAAAAGGUGAACCAACUAGGCAAACUAAUACACAUCAACACAAGCCCCUAUUAAUAGGAACUGGAGAAACAAAUCCAUAUUUUGUUUGAAAUGAAUUUAAAAUCAAAAUUGUAAGUGCCGACGUGUAAAACUGGUACCAAAAUGAUACAGACCACCACCAUAGUUUACCUGCCUACAUUAUCUAUGUCCUCUAAUUGGGGAGAAAGCAAAUAACAGAGGCAAGAAGAAAGAAAAUAUGUGUGAGUCUGUGCAAUGAACACAAAAAAAGAGGAAAAUUAAACAACAUCAAAGACACAACAAAUAAGAGCUACAGACCAAGAAAAAAAUAAGUCAACAAGUUCAAUUGUCAAUAUGAGUCUAUCAAAUGUUUCAUUUUCUCACUUUGGUCUCAAAAAAUUCAUAACCAUGUACAGGUACAAAUCUAUACAGUCUCAGUAUGAAUUGAUACCAUCCUACUAUACAGAAAAAGAAUAAACUAACAUAAAUCCCACUCCACUACUUGCAUCAACCUAAAUAAUAUCGGAUGCACAAAGAAAAUUAUGUUUAAGAUCAUCAUCAAUCCUAAAUCAAAAAUUUUCUUUUAUAACCAGAAGUCCACAAAACAGAAAGUGAACCAAUAAGCAAAAUCAUGUCCAGCUGAUAUAAAAGUUUCGCCAUCACUAGGUAAAAUAAGAGACAGAAAGAGACCCAGUAAAUCUUGGAAUGAAGGUAAUGAUAAAAACUAAUAUAAUCCCAUAAAAUAUAAAACUGCAAACAAGCCUGAAUGAAAGAAGCUUAAAUAUUAUGGAUUUCAAAACAAAAAAUUACAUGAAUAACAAUUGCAUAGAAACAUGGUGUGCAGGCAAUCCAACAUCAAGAUAAGGACUAGAUAAUUCGGUGAUAAAAUAUGAUGCAAAUAUUUGGUAUGAGCUAAAAACUAACAUACUUCAAGGGUUGAAUGGCAUAAAGCAUAUUCAGUUGAGGAUAGAUUAUCAUAGUUUUUAUGCAAAAUGAGAAUGCAAUAGAUCAGAGGCUUCAAAAGACAAAUAAUUCCUAAAGAAAACUCCACUCAUAGUAUUUUAACCUUUUACAGUUUAGAAGUUCCCUGCAGUUGUCAAGAUUAUUAAUCAGCAGUUCAUUUUUAAUGCAUGGACAGUAUCCUCAGAGACCAUUUCACAAGUAAAACUCCUUGCUUGGCCACGACAAAACAGAAAGUUCAGCCACAAAACUUCUUGCUUAGAAAUUAAAAUCCACCAUGUAAUUACGACAUUAUAAACUCAAUCAUACUUUAUCAUUAUUUAAUGGCUUGACCACACAUGAAGUUUGAAUGGCGAAAUAAAGGGAAAAAAAAAACUAAAAGCCUAAUCCACGCAGUUUUAACUUUCUACUCCAAACUAGAGUUAUUUCAACAAACAACUGAAGGAUACAAGAUAGAAUGAUAAUGCAGGAGAAUUGAAAAUUUAUCCCAAAAACACCCUAAUUUCAACAGACAAAACCCACCAUAGUUGAAGAACACAAAUCUGUUUUUUGUUGACAAAACAAUCAUGAGGAAGAAAAUAAAAAUCCGAAUUAAGUAAAAAAAGAGAAGAAAUACUUGCCGCUUCUGUUGAUGUUGGCGAAAGAUGCCAAGAUGCCAAGAUGAAAGUCGGCGAAAGAUCUGAGCGGGUGGAGGUUUGGUUUGCUGGCAACUGCUGUUGAUGUUGGGAGGGAGAGGGUGGGGUGGAGAUCAAUUUCGGCUGGGGAGGGUAAAACAGAGACUGAUUAGCUAAUCCUUGCUUUUGGAAGGGAUUAGAAAUCGUCGUUGAAGCAGAGAAAAUGAGGAAUACGUCCGUAACCUAAUAGGCCCGUAUUAGGGCAAUACAUUGAACCAAACACGGGAUUAAGUGGACCCACGGAAUAGGGGUGUAAUGGCUAAUCCAUUACACCCAACUAAACAUGGUGUUAUGUUAUUUUUUGAUCCAAUCAAGUAUUUGUAUUUGACAAAAGUUAUAUAUUUUGACACCCAAAACUAAUGAUGUUAAGUAUUUAAUUUGAGUUUUAGGGUUGGUUUGAUGAAAAUUAAUUGCUAAUUAUGUAUUUUCAUCAAAUCAACUCUAAAACCCGAAUUAAAUCACAUCCAUUGGACUGUAUUUGACAAAUUAAAUGCAAAAUUAAACAAAUCUAUAAUUGACACUAAAUUUAUUCUAUUAAAAAAUCAUGAAAAAUUCAAAGUUAAUAAUAUUAGCAAUUAACUUUCAUCAAAUCAAUUCCCAAGCUUGAACUAAACACUAAAAAGUUAAUCUCAUUACUUUUGAAUACCAAAAUAUAUAACUUUUGUCAAAUAUAUGUAACAAAUUGAACCAAAAAUAAAAAUAAAAAAUAAGAGUACCGCAUUAGAAAAAAGUGUCAAACUCAAGUACCAAAUUAUGCAUUAAAUUAUUUUAUUACAAGAUAUUGUUUAAUUAUAAAUUUCAAUAUUUAAAUUUAAAAAAAAGUGUAAUUCAAAAACAAAUGUAAAGUGAAAUUCAAUAUUUAUCUAAUUUUAUCUACUCAAAAUAUUUAUUCAGGCCCUAUUUGAUAAAUGGUUGAAAAAAAAUCAAGUAAAAAAUGAAUAUUUUCAACAGUUUUAUUUAUUUUAAUAUGUUUGAUAGCCGCUGAUAUAAACCACUUCAUAGAAUUUUUUUUCUUCAUUUUUUUUGUGAAUUACAAUAAUAUGGCAAAAUCCAAACAAGUACAACUAACAUGAUUCGAAUCCAAGCUAUUGUUUUAUUGUUUUAUUCAACAAAAUUUUCUAUGACACAUGAACCUUCAUUUUUUUAUAUUCUCGGUAUAAUAUUUAUUUUUCAUAAUGUUUAUAAUAUUUUAUAUGUAAUACUAUAAUUUACUACAAAUAUUUCAUAUUUAUAAUAACAUUAUUUAAUAUAUGAUUUUGCUUAAAAUAAUGUGCAAUGUUUAAAAAUUAUAAAAUAAAAUUGUUUAUAAUUUAAUAUUUAUAUUUAUCAAACAAUUUAAUUAUAUUUCAAGUAUAACACCCACCAUUGAAACAUCACUUCCCAAGCUUUCCAAGAAAGAAAAAUAUGAUCACAGUUCUCUUCAACUUAAUUGCACCAACAACAUUUGAUAGAACCUUAACUGUUAGAAUACCUCGAUCCCUUAAAAAAACAUUUUGAAGGUAUACCUUUCUGGAAUAACAGCAGAAAUAUGGUUUCGUCAAUAUGGGAUCUUUGUUAGCAGGAACUGAAGCCAUUUAAGUAGUGUUAAGGACCUAUAUAAACUACAAAAUGUAGCUAUUUAAAUACCAUUUAAGCAACACAAAAACAGAGUACAGGUUCCCAUGGCGUUUGAUGACAAAGAUAAAAGAUGAUUUUAUUUCGCCCAAUUACCUGCUUCUUCAUGGAGCAAUCCAACUUUCUCCACACUUUUGUCUCAAAGUUGGAUUAUAUUUUUUCAACCUAUAUUGAAAAUAUAGAUGUAAGUUUAUUACAUAUAACAAAAUAUUUAAUAUUUUGAGAGAUAGAGGUAUCCUAAUUGUAGAGCCACCUCUCUGUUGGCUAAACCAUUCUGGGAUUUCACUUCCAGGUAUAAUAACAUCAGUCUCUUGGUAAAUAGAACCAUAAAUUCCCAUGUAUGGGAGGGAAAGAAAGAGAGAUUAGUUAACCUUAUGAUGUUUUAUCAAAAAUGUUAGUGCACUGAUGUUCUCAGCCAAUCUGUAGCAGUUAAUGGCUUUAAUGGAAGCUAAAUCCAAUAAAUUGCAUUGUUACAAGCAGCAGCUCGAACACAUGAAGCAGCUAAAUCUAAAUAUGGGUAUUGAGACAUGAUCCUUCAAGAACUCUUUAAUACAUGAAAAAAAAACCUUUUGAAAAAACAAUCAACAUACACAUUUCAAAUACGUACUCAUAUCUAACAUGCACAUCUGACUUUAAAUUACUUAAGCCUAAAAAUACUAGAAUUAAUAUUUAGUGCUCUGGCAUUUUAUAAAAUUUAUGCAUUGUUAGCGAACCAAAUGAAAACACAUAAUGAAGGAUGAAAUCACUUGAAUUUAUUUUUUUAAAAAUUGAUUUACAUGUUAUAAUUUAGUUCGUAAAGUAUGAACAUUUGUCGACAAAAGUUUUCCUGACACUUUUAACUCCUAUUAUAGGUAAGAUACUUUUCAACAAAGUCAUGUUUAUAUUUUGUUAGAAUUUAGUGACUCGAAUCCUUAUUAAAAUGAAAUACUAUGGUAAAAUAAAAUAAAAGUAAAAUUCAUAUAGAACUACACUUUUUUUUUAUUUUAAAAUAAGGUUUUUCAACCUUAUUACACUUCAUCUAUUUGAUAUUGAUUAGAAUUAGGCGUUUCAACCUUAUUACGUUUUCCGGGUUCAUCAACACAUUUUUCUUCAACAAUUUUUCUUCCCAUUUCUUGCAACAAGGCAUGCAUCCUCAAAUAUUGGUUGUCAUCACUGACUUUUAUGAGGGAUUUCUUAAUGAGAAUAUCGUCUUCAAUAUCUGGAAAAAACCCACAACCAUCCAAUACUUUCAUUACCAAAUCUUUCUCCUUCCCAUUGAAAAAGCAUGCUAUAUCUAGAAAUAUAUUCUUCUCCCUUUCUUCGAAUCCAUACUUUCAUUAACCUCUGAUUCUUUUAUAAUUUACAAUUGUUGACUUUUUUUGUCAGGUUUUUUGCUCUCAAAUAUGCUGCAGAUGCUGCCUGCACUGUGUUGCGUGUAGAUCAGGUAAUUUACUAGAGGCAGAAAGCUUGAAAAUGAAAGUCGCACUUAAAAUAGUUUGCUGAUGGGAUUAGAUUCUCAUGCAAAGCUGUAUUUGUUGCUUAGGAUCGCAUAUGUAUUUCAUUUUCCAAACAUUUUCUUCCACUAAGCUCAGUAAUGCCGUUGAUUCAAUGUUUGCAGAUUAUCAUGGCGAAACCAGCUGGAGGUCCAGCGAGGAGAGAUCAACCGGCAGGAAUGGAUGAGGACUAAAUCUUGCAUGGUAUGAUUGAUUUCCCAUCUCUUGUAUCUCACCGCUCAUAUUCGGACUUGGUUUAGGCAUCAUUUUAUUAUUAUUAUUUUUUCUUUUUGGAUGCUAAAACGAGCUUGAAAGAAUUUUGCAUGUGAUUUUAGAGUGUUUACAGUGGGGAGUAGUGGUGAUCUAUGUUUUUAGUGUAUUACCCUAACCUACACUAGGGCCUGGGAUAGGAAGUUAGAAGAUUGUUUCAUUCAUAUCUUUCUCGAUUUUGCAUGGAUGUUGGUCAUAUCAUAGCCUAUAUUACACGAACCCAUUCAUUUUCUCUAAGUACCUAUAUUUAACAGUUAUGUUUGAUACAUAUCUAGAUAUGUAUAUAAAGGGAUUACAUCAGUUUCAACUGAAUAAGUUUAUUUGAACAGACUUUAUAAAAGGGAUUACAUCAGUUUCGGUCAGAUAAAUUGAUUUGAAUAGACUUUUAUGCAUUCCUAGUGAGGGAGGAUUUAGUGAUAACUUCAAUUAUUAUGUAUUAAAUGGAUAAAUCUAAUUCAGAAUAAAACUUGAGAUUUAGUUAUUUCGUGCAAUUUGUCUUUAAGAGCAUUUAUUUCAGAAUUUUGAUUGUAAGGUUAUAACAUUCUCGCUGUCAAAUAGAGGUGAACAUUUGAUAAUUUCAUUCUAAUCAUAAUCGUGCACCAAUUAUAAAGUCAGAGGAAAAUUGAGCACCAACCAAAUGGAAUUUGCUUCAAUCUAUCCUUUAUUUAAGUUGGAGGAAAAGAUGGUACAGAUGAGAUGAUACUUGAAAAGUUUAAUGUUGAAUUAAAAUGAAUUCAUUAUUCAUGUCACGUUAAUAUCAUUAAAUUAUCGAUUUAAUCAACAUUUGCGACAAAAAAAUCCAUAAUUUGACUCAAAAUAAAAUGUUGAGGUUUAAAUUGUUGAAAAGAAAAAAAAUGAGGGUCAAAUUGUUAAAAUUUAUAAACUCUAAGAACUUACAAAUUGAAUUUACAUUACAAUUAGAUUACUAUUUGAAUUUACAUUUUGAAAGCAACAAAUUGAAAAAAUUUCAUUUAAAAUAAUAGAACUUACAUUACUUUAUAUGUAAAAAAAAAAAAACUAAUUAUAUAUUAACAUAAUCUAUAUCAAAUUUUAAUUCUCAAAAUUCAUCCGAGCAUAUAAUCUCCCUAAAAUUUACUUUAUUAGACUUAUUUAAUUUUUAAAAUUUUAAACUAGUAAAUAUAAAAUUACACUUUAAUUUUCUUAAAAUUGAUAAAAAUUUGAUUAAAUUAUUUAAAAUUUAUAAAGAUUUAGACUAUUAAAAUAGUUUUAAUAUCGUAAAAAUUAUUAUUUAAUUUUAACUUCCCUAAAAAUUCUCAAAAUUCAUCUGAGCAUAUAAUUGCGUAAGUGUCUGCUUCCAUUUCAACUUGAUAACCUUUGUUGGUCCUUCGCUUGCACGAUCCUUUGAGCAGACUUUCAUGUUUUUACCGGUCUAAGGGAUAAACAUAAAACACCAAGAUUAUUUUUGUUGCAUUGAGAUGAUCUAUAUCACUGGUAUAUUAAUUUACUUCAAAUCAAGAAAUUUUUCUUAAUAUCAUAGAAAACACAAUCCUUGAAAAUCUUGCUCAUGUUAAACAAGAACAAAAAAUGAAUCUAUUGAAUUUUAAAAAAUAUAUUGGAUAUGAAUAUGUUUCUCACAUAGAAAAAUUUUUCCAAUUAAUUUAAAAGAGUAUACUUUAUACUUAUAUUUGAAUAUGUGUUAAAAAUAAAUGUCUAAACAUAGAUACUUUAUAAUAAAUAUAAAGUAAAUAGUUGAAAUAAUAUUAUUUGUACUUCAAGCCAUGAAAUUUAAAUGCUACUUUUAUUAAAAGGAAUUAAAUCUAUUUAAGUACUAGUAAGGAGUUAAAUUUAAUCUUUCAAAUAUAUAAAAACAAUUUUGAUAUAUUAAAUUGAACACAUAAAUAGAUCUCAAAUAAAAAUGAUGAUUUUUAACUCAAGUGAAAUUAGAACCUAAUCCUCAUUCGAGGAUUUUCACAUUUUUAUUACGUGCUUUGUUAUGGAAGAUAUUAUUUUUUCUAUUUUUGUCACAAAUUGAUUAUGUUUACUUCAGCUUACCAAUAAAAUAUAGAUGUAAGUGAAUAUAUAUAUAUACUGAAAAUAAAAAUUUAAUAAAAAAAAUGAAACUAAUAUGAAUGUAGACAUUUCAUGAAUUACGAAUGAAUUAAGUGACAAAAUUUUAAUGGUAUAAAAACCUAUGUUAUCAAUAUUUGCAAUAUGCAUAGAAUAUGCACUCAUGUUCAAUAUGAGUAUGAAUAAAGAUUUUAAUACUUUUUGAUAUAUAAUAGAAAGAGCAUAUCUCGUUAGUAAAUAAAUUUAGAAUGAUUACUUUGAAUGAAAUAAAAGCUACAAAUUUGUAAAAAAAAUAAAAAUCAAUAGGAGGUUGGUUAAUGUUGGUGUUAGAACAGAAACUGACAAGCUCAGCUUGUAUCUUGUGCAACAAGCCUCGAUGCUUGCUGAGCAGGCAAUCGGAUUCGAGCAAAGAAAAAAAGAAAACUGAAGAAAAAUGGAGAGUAUUUUUUUUGAUGAACAAAAUCUGAUUCAUUCAUAAUUUUUAAUAGUGGCAUAAUGCCAAUACAUAAAUCAAGCACUAAGCUUGUUCAAAACAGCAAGUAAUCACCUAAACAUUACCUACCUCCACUAAUUACAUAGAAACUUGAAAUCUAAACUUGAAAGCUUGUACAAAGCUGUGUUUACAGCUCACACAUAAGCUAAUUACAUCAAUCAUAUACCUAACAUAGUUCUAAAUGAACUAAAUUACAUUUCAUUAACUAAUAGUUACAAAAUGAACAAGAACAAACAAACUGAGCUUGCUGCUGUAGCUCCUUCCUUGCUCGAUCUUCAUGGUCUGCAUGUUGGCUAAUUUCAUCAUGCAGCAUGCUAGCCAACUUCAUCAGUUAAGUAGUUUACCACAGUUAAUGCUUCUUCCCCUAUUAGCGCACCAUAAAAUUGAAAAAUUUCUGCACCCGUUUUGGUUGCGGCCCUUCUUUCUUCGCUUCAUCGUAGAUAUUAGCUUUUCGUUUUAUGUGAGAAGUGCUAUCUGUUGAUCCAUCGUUGUGAGCAGGGUGUUGAUGGAUGUGUUCAAAAUUUGGAGAAGAUUGAGUGGUAUGGCACUGCAACUCUUUUAUUUCUUCCAAAUCUUUCUCAUACACUAUUCUAACACCACACUUCUUCACCUUAGGUCUGUAUUCAAAUAGAUGUGUGAAACACACCUCAAGCUCAUCCCAUUUCUGAUCUAAGCAAUCUGUUGCCCAUAAAUUAUUGGUUUCACAAUGACCAUUUUUAUCCUCCAUGGAAAUUGGAUAUAGUUUAUCACGCGACCAAUAACGAAGAAAAAGGUGAUCUUUCAUUAUGGGCUCGUUAUAUCUUUUACCCACCAACCAGCCGCUCCCAUCAAUCUGUCUACGAUUUCUACCUCGAAAAAUAGAUCCAUCACAGCUGGCUUGUUCAGAAUUUCUGCAACAGAUAAAUGUACUACAAUUGAUAACCUCGUCAUCCCUUGAAGCAUCAUUAUUGAUAAAAAUGCAGCAAGAAGCAACUCCAAUCCAUUGACUAUCUUUCCGAAGGGGUAUCUUAAUUGAAGAGUCAUUUUUUUGUUGGCUAAACCAUUCCGGGAUUUCACUUCCGGGCAUAACAAUAGUAAACAUUUUUAUUGAAUUUGCAGAUGCCUGCAAAAUAAAACACAAGUCGUUUGGUAACUAAAACCAUAAAUUCUCAAGUAUGAGAUUUUGUAAGGGAGAAUAAAGAGAUUGAUCGACCUUAAGAUAUUUUUUCAGCAGUGUUAAUGCAUUGAUAUUUUCAGCCAAUUUGAAGCAGUUAAUGGCUUUAAUGAAACCCGAAUACACUAAAUUGCAUACUUUUGAUGGACUUGCAACUACUUCAAGUGAAGAGCAAUCAUCUAUACUCACAUCUGCUAUACUUGUUAGAAGCUCUGGCAACGAUUUAAGCAUCUUGCAAUUUGAUAAUCCCAGUAAAUAAAGCCUGCUAAGUUGAGUAAGAGCCAAAGGAAUGGUGAUGAAAUUGUUACCCCUAAGAUAAAGAUGACUCAAAGAGGAUAGACAAUGAAUAUCUGCUUCACCAAGUGUGCACAUGUUGCAAUUUGACAAGUCAAGAAACUUAAGCUUCGAGAGCCGAGUAAGACAUGCAGGUAUGCUGAUGAAAUUGUUACCACUAAGAUCAAGAUCUCUCAAAGAGGAUAGACCAGAAAUAUCACGUGGAAUAUCUCCUUUACAAAGAUUGCAGUCCCUUAGAUUUAGCUUUCUUAAUGAACUCAAACCUGACAACAAAGGCAACAUCGGAGCUAUGGGAUUCGUCCUUCUUCCUUGGAUUACCUUGAAAAGAAAAGGCAAAUUUGGUCGUGACUUAUAUGAUGGUCCCUUGCAUCCACUGAAAGACAAAACUUUAAGAUUUUUCAAUUGAGAAAUGAAGGAUGAUGGUUCUUUUAUGGCUGUUUCACUCAAGUCAAGCUCUUCCAAAGAUUCUGCUUGCUGCAAAUUCUCUGGUAAAUAUUCAACUUUGAAACAACCAGAAAGAUGAAGAGUUUUUAGAUGUUCCAUUUUCCCAUCAAUAUCUGGUAACCUUGCAAGAUUUGAGCAACCUGAAAGAAUUAAUGUUUCAAGAGAUUCCAUUCCAAUUUUGGUUGGAAGACUCCUAAGACUUUUGCAGUCUCUUAAAUUUAAAAGUUUAAGGCUCUUAAGCACUCCGAUUGAUGGAUGGACAUCUACUAAUCUGGUACAACCUUCCAUAAUCAAAGCUUCAAGUUUUGGUGCUGUUGUGAAGUCAGGUGUCUUGAUCAGGUUUUGGGACCCUUUGAGGUUGAUCAUUUUCAACUUAAACAAGGGCUGUUGAAGACAAUAAUAAAUUAGGCCGAAGACAUAAUAAUGCUAAUUUUUUGUUUUUUUUUUUACCUUAAUCAAAGUUUAAUCAUUUAUAUUAAAAUAAGCUAAAACACAAGGAUAAGAUGAGUUAGUUCUUACUCUAUUCCCCUUCCAUAGUUGUUCAAUAUGACUAUAUGGUAAAAGAAGUGCAGCAAGAUUAUCUGGGUGGAAAUUUGAAGGCAAAAAUUUUAAAGGACAUUCUAUCUAAUUUAAAAGCCGUAGUUCAUUAGAAAGAUAUUUGAGAUGAUCAUCACAAUUUGAUACGCAAAACACUUUGAGCAAUCUCAAAUUUUUCAUCUUCGAGAAGGUAUCGGCGCUCAAAUUGAACAUCUUGCUCGAUUCCCUAAUAAUCAUGAGUAAAAUAAAAAUGAGCUUCAAAAUAUACAAAAACAUUCUAUAUCUAAAAGCUAUGUUGCAUUGAUAUUUUUUUAUGUACCCACAUUCAAUACUUAUAUAUGUAAUGCAUAUAUAAAUACGGUAUUGCGAUAUAAUUGAAUAUAUUAGACAAUACUUAAUCUAACACUUAUUUCACACUUUUAAUUACCUAAGCCUAAAAAACCUAGAACUAAUAUUUUUAUUUAUGUUUAGUUCAUUGAUGUGUAAUUCUAUACAUUACUAGCGAAAUGAUGGCAUUAUUUGGAUUUACUUUUGAAAACUUUUAAUGAUAUGUUAUGGUCUAGUUCAUUGAUAUAUACUAUCACUACAUCAUAUAUAAACCAUUAAUAUUAACAAAGACAAUGACAUUAAUUUUUUUAUAAUUUCUUUUGAAAGAGUACUGUGUUUUUUUUUAUAAAUUUCUUAAAUAUAAGAUUGAAAAAUUAAGCAUUAAAAAAGUGUUUGGUUAGGUGAAAAAGUGAAGGGAUAUGAGAAUAAAGUAUGCUUGGUAGAAAAAAAAUGAGAGAAAAAAGAAAGAAAGAGAUGAUCAUUUACGUGUAUGUUUUCCUACCAUUUAUUGCCGAUGAUCAUGCCUUCAACCAUUUCGGUAGCCUAGAAGUAAUCAAGAAUAGACAAUAAGAAGAUAAAAUAAAUGCUCUAAAUUGUAUGAUAAAACUUUUGAAACUUUACACACAUGUUCAACAUUAUCACAAUAUUUUGGUUGGAAUAUAGUAAAUAAAAUAUUUUUUAAUGAAAGUAAUUCAAUAAAAUUAAAGCUACUCAAUGUCACUUAAGGAUCAAUAUAUAAACCAAUUAGACUAAGCUUUGGAGUUACAUCAUAUAUUGAUAAAAGAAAUUUUUGUAUGUAAUUUUUGUUGAAUGAUUUACCGUAUUUUUUGUUAGGACAUGAUGGACAUCCCUUUUCUUCCAUAAUCUACAACGUUUUCCGAGUUCAUCAACACAUUUUUCUUCAACAAUUUUUCUUCCCAUUUCUUGCAACAAGGCAUGCAUCCGCAAAUAUUGGUUGUCAUUACUGACUUUUAUGAGAGAUUUCUUAAUGAGAACAUCAACUCCAAUAUCUGAAAAAAACCCACAACCAUCCAAUACUUUCAUUACCAAAUCUUUCUCCUCCCCAUUGAAAAAGCAUGCUAUAUCUAGAAAUAUAUUCUUCUCCCUUUCUUCCAAUCCAUCAAAGCUAAUUCUUAGUGUGUCAAGAAUUUCUUUGUUAGAAUCUUGUUUAAGUCUUUCGAUUGCACUUCUCCAUUGAACUAUAUCUCUACCGCACAAAAAUGAACCCAAAACUUCAAGAGCUAAGGGGAGACCAUCAGCAUAAUGUACAACUUGUUUAGAAAGCUCAAUGAAAUCAUAUUUCGGUGUUGUAUCACUAUCAAAAGCUUUCAAAUUGAAAAGCCUAAGUGCAUCGUUGGGAUUCAGUGUUGUAGGCUUAUACACAUCAUCGAUUCGAUGAGAUCUGAGCAAAUGUUCAUCUCUUGUUGUUACAAUGAUCCUACUCCCUAAAUUGAACCAAUCACGCCUUCCAACCAAGCAUUUCAAGUGUUGUAUGUUAUCAACAUCAUCAAGAACAACAAGAACCUUUUUACCUGACAACCUGUGGCUAAUUAUGGCAUCCCCUUCAUGAACAUUGAAAAAAUUGAAGCAUUCAUCCGGAAAGAUUUGGAAAGAAGUUGUUUCUGUAAAGAAGUUGUUUCUGUAAAGAAACAAGUCCAUGUUUGUUUGAAACUUCUCGAAUAUCAGCAAGAAAGCAUUUACCCUGAAAAUGAGCUAACAUUUGAGUGUAAGCAACCCUCGCAAGAGUUGUUUUACCGAUGCCACCCAUUCCGCAAAUUCCUAUAAUGCGGACAUCAUCUUCCCCAAUAUUUAUUUUCGAAUACAACUCCUCCAAAUGUAAACUAAUUCCAAUCAACUCAUCAUGAACAACUGGAUAUGUCUGACAUAGUUUUGCUGAUAUCUUCUUAACAACGUUCUCUAAUAAACUCUGAUUCGUGCCUACAAUGAAAUUAAAAUCCGAUAUGCACUUUUUCAUUUUUAGUUUAGUGAAUCAUGAAGUAUAAUAUGGUUGGAAGCAAACAAAAAGUAUGAAUAAGACAGUAAGAUAUAUUAUAGCAUCAAAAUACACAACUUGCUCGUUAGUUGAAAUAUGGGAAUUCUCAAUAAAACGCAAAAUUAUAAAAAAUAACAUGCAAUCCAAUAAAAAAACAAUUUUUUAGUCAUUAAAAUUAGGAGAUAGAGAAGAUAAGAAAGAAAUACCUAUUAUUUAAAUGCCAUCCCUUGAUGUUAGCCACUUCAGUCAAAGCAUUUCGCCACUUUUGGAUCUUGUCUUUAUCUUCCUUGUAUCUUUCUUCGUGUUUGGCAAAGGCUUCUUCAACUUUUUCUUUUUGUUUUCUUAAAUCGGAUGGAUCAACGUGGUAGAAAAUUGGAAAUACUUUAUGACCCUUGUCAUUUUUUUGUUUAACAAUCUCCGCAAGCUCCUCCAAGCACCAACCUGAAAAGGCAUAGGUCUCGGAAAAAACGAUUACCGAGCACCAUGAUUGCUGAAUUGCGUUGAAGAGUUCCGGUGCGAUCUCUUCACCAGUUUCCAACUUUGGAUCAUCUCUAAAAGUGACGAUCCCAGUUCUAUUUAGAGCAUCGUAGAGAUGAUCCGUAAAGUUCUUGCGAGUAUCUUCACCUCUAAAACUCAAGAACACAUCGUAGUUCUUUCUAGAAAUGGAUGAGGAAGUCGAAAGUAACGACGACAUGAGGAUGUAUGAGAAGAAAAAUAUGUGGAUGUAGUGUUCAAAAUCAGUCGCUCAAUACCUCAGAAACAGUAAGUAUAUGAGCAUAAGGAAGGAGAAAAACAGAUGAAAUUUCGAGGGAAGAACAAAGGGAGUAGGUGUGGAAAUUCGGGUCAUACAUGCUCUUUCCGGGAAGACUCCAAGAAGGUGAGACUUCACAAAAUGCAGCCUACAAUUUUUUUGAAAAUUAAAUUCAUUAAUUCAGCAGUAAGAAAAUAAUAAAUACUCGUUGUAAGAAAAUAAUAAAUACUCGUUGUAGAUGAUGAAGGGUAGACUCUAUCAACACAAUAAAAGUUUUAGUCUUAACAUCAAUAGAACAUCAUGACACGUUAACAAUUGAAUUUGUCACAACUCAAGUGCGACAUAUUUGGAGUAAUUGCAAACACUUAAUAUGAUAAGGAAAUCAACCUCGGAUGGUCCAAAGCAACGAGCAAAAAUUGACAAAAGAAUCGAACAUUCACCAAACUAGAGAGGACGACAACAAAAUCAUCCCUAAAAUCACUUAUAAAACUAAGAUUAUAUGCAUAAAUAUACUUAUUAAAUAAUGGAAAAAAUAUAUAAAACUUAACAGCACUAAAAUAGAUCCUACAAGUAUUAUCAAGUAACGUGUUGGACAGUUUGUGUUUUACUUUUUUUAUUUAUUUAUAUUAUCAUAUCUACUUUAUAAUCAGUAGCUUAUGUUACAUAUGUGAUUUUACGCAUUUAAUAUUUGAUUAAAUUUUCUUAAAUAUUAUACUUUUAAUUGAAGUAAUUAGUAUAAAAUAAUAUUUUUAUUUUAAUUAUUGAAUAUAUGUAAAAUGUAUCAAUUUAUCAAUUCAAACAAAUAUUAUAAUAGAAAAUUUUUAAAUAAUAAUUAAAUAAUUUUAAACAUAUUCAACAUAUAAUAUAGUUUUCUUUUAUGUAUCUAAUGCAAAGUAAUAUUAUUAAAAAUGAUAAUAACUACUUAACAUAAUUGUUAACAAGGCCUAUUUACAAAAACUGGAUUUUGUAGGUAUGAGAGCUUGGGUUCAAUCCUAAGCAACUCCAUUUCCCUCAUUCAAAUAUAUAAAAGAAUACUGAACCCAAUAAACUCUAAUAACAAUUAAGCGAUAAUUAUAAUUAUAACGAUAAUUUUAAAUUUAGUAGUAUAAAAUAAUAAAUAUCUUUUUCAAACUCGUUGUUAUAUAUAUAUAUAUAUAUUUAUAUUACAAAUUAAGUAUUAAAAUUGUGUUUUACGUGCCAAAGCAUUUCACCACCAUUGGAUCUUAUCUGUUAUCUUCCUUGUACGUUUCGUCGUGCUUGGUGAAGGCUUCUUCAACUUUUUCUUUGUUUUUCUUAAGUCGGAUGGAUCCACAUGGGGGGGCCAUAGAUGAGCCUUAGAUGUUCUUUCCGAGAAGACUCCAAGAAUGUGAGAGUUGACAAUUGGUGCCUACUUUAAUAACAACUAAUAUUUAUAGAGUUUUUCUUAGUUAAAAUGUGCCAGAAGUCCCUGCAUUUUUUAUAAAAUUAAAAUUUAAUUCCUAUAUCAUUAAUCACUAAAUUGUGGAUAAAUUUUUGCAGGUAUCUUCACCUCUAAAACUCAAAAAAAAAUAUAAUAUUUCUUUCUAGACAUGGAUGAGGAAUUCGAAACUGACGUUGAAGUGACGAUUUAUGAGAAGAAAAAUAUAUGUCGAAACCAUUUUUUGCUAAAAAGGGGUCGAUUUGGAUUUUGAAAAAAAACGAAUAUGAGAGUCGCCACCAAUCCUUUUUAAUGGGAUGUGAUCGGGUCACCUCCAAAAAUAAUUAUUUUAACAAACGAUUUGAUUUAUUAAAACAAUGAUUUUGGUCCACAGAAUUCAAAAGACGAGUUCGGGAGUCAAUUACGUAUGAGGAAUGAUUAGCACCCUCAUAACGCCCAAAUUGGUACCUAGUUAAUUAAUUAAUGUCUUGGUGUCGAAAAUUAAAAAUUUUGAAGAGAUUUAAAAAUAGGAUCUUUUUGUUAAAAUAUUGAAAAUUUUUCGAGAACAGGACAUAUUUCAUGUUAAUCGAGAAAAAGAAUUACAUCCCGUAAGUUAAGACACAAUGUCUUAGAUUCCCGAAGCGAGAAUAAAUGCCGAAAAUUUUACUUAUUCGAAAGAUAUUCGAUUAUCUCGGUUUAAAAAAGAAGAUCAUAUUCAGCAAGUUAGAACACGAUCUUUUAUUAAUUCCCGGUAUUAUUAAAAAAAAUUACUUAAAAAAAUUCGUAUAUUUGGAUUUGUCAAAAAAUCGAAACCCCGUAAAUUAGGACACAAUCUUAUCGAAUCAAAAAUACAAUCUCAAAAUACAAAGUUUACUAGUUUUAAAGACAUGAUUUAUACCUCGGGUAAAACUAAUGUAAUGUGACUUUAUAGGAAAAUGUAAGAAUAAAACACGAUGCUAAGGUGCAUAGAAUCAUAUACGCAAUAACAUAAACAAAAGCAAAAAUAAAAUACAUAAAUGAGAUGAUGAUAAAUAAUAAUAAAAAAACUAAAAUUAGAUAAAAAGAUAAACAAAUAUGUAAAUAAAUGGUACGUAAAACAGCUAAAAGAAAAUGAUAAUAUUAAUAAUAACAAAAAUAAUAAUGUUUGGAAUUAUAAAAGGGUCUAAAUAAAUAAAAAAUAAGAUAAUUAUUAACAGAAUAGUGAAUUAAUCUAAAAAGAAAUAAUAUAUGAUAAAAACCAAAAUCUUAAAAUUUUAGAUAAGUAAACAUAGAUAGAAUAAUAAUAAUAAUAAUAACAUCAAAUUACUAUAAUAUAAUAGUAAUGAACAAGUAAAUAUAAAAGAAACUAUAAUUAUUAUAAUAAUUAAGUCAAAAAUAACAAACAAACAAAAAAUAAGAGUAGAUAUUAGAUAAAACAUUUUAAAAUAAAUAAUAUAUAACACUUAAAAGAUAUAACAAUAAUAAAAGAGCCAUUUUUUUAAAAAAAUCUAAAAAAAGAAGAGAACUAAGGACGGGAUUGAAAUUGAGUCCAAAAUUCGGAGUUUAAAUUGCAGAUAAAAAGAAAGGGGUCCCCGGCGACCAAAAUAGGAUGCGUUCAAAGAACCGAGGGCUGAUUAGGAAAAUAUUCCCAUCCUUAUGCGCAACGUUUUGGCAUGGGCUAAAAAGAAACGCGCAGAAAAUCAUGUGGCCAAAUUAAAAAAACAAGAGCGACCAGAUUGCACUACGGUGAAAAAGCAAAGGGACUUGGCGCAUAAAUAUCAACUUUAGUGCAGAAACACGCGGACCCUGACGGUGGACGGGUUGGGUCGUGGGUCAGGGUCAAAACGUCGUCGUUUUGGCACUUGACCCCUAGUUCCAAAACGGCGCAAAUGUUUUUUUUAAAAACUUUCAUUUUUCUCCUUCCUCAGAAAAAAAAAAACUAGAAAACUCUUUGCCCUUCCCCUUUUUCCUCCGGCCUCUGAGUUUCUCCAGCCUCUGUUGUGCCGCCGCCGUGGCCAGUGGUCGGCGUUGCACAAAAUGGGCUUUUUGGCCCCCGUUGUACAGCGUCCUUGAGAGCCGAGCUCUUUCAACCCACAAGGAUCAGAAAAAAAUGGGGACUCUCGAGCCCUUUUGACCCGAAUUGGGUGACGGAGGAGAAGCCCUUCGAUAGCGCAUCCGCGGCCGUCCGGUGAGUUCCCUUUUCCCCCUUUUUAUUUCUUAUUUCAUUAUAUAAAAUAAAUAAAUAAAUAAAAACAGAAGGAAAUAAACCGAAUCCGAAGAAAAAUAUUCACCUUUCAAAAUCGUUCUCUUUUUUUUAUAUGUUCGUAAAAUAAAAAAAAACCCUGUUACAACUUUGUUCUAUGGCUUAUAUAGCCAUUUCAUACAUUUUUUAAUAUUAUUUUCUACGGUUCUUGUGUGGUCUUUGUUGUCCUUUCUCCUUUUUUCUUGCAGGCUGCGCUGGAGAAGGUGGGUAGAGGGUGUCUUUUGUGUUGAUGAAGUGACAGCUGCGGCGCUGAAGGAGCGGCAGCUGCAGAACAGUUGGUGGCUAGGGUAGGUUAGGGUUUCUGUCACUUGUUUAGGUUACGGGCUAGGUUUAUUUUGGGCUGAAUUGGGUUUGGGUAGUUGGGUUUAUAUUUGGAUCAAUUGUUUUGGACUUAUGGACUAUUUUAUUGAUUGGGUUGCUGGGCCGGGCAAAAUUUGAGUUGUACAAUAUAUAUAUAUAUGGAUAUAGUGUUCAAAAUCAGAAAAUAGAUGGCUCAUUACCUCAAAACAAAGCAGAAACAAUAAGUAUAUGAACGUGAGGAAGGAGAAAAACGGAAGAAAUCAUUAAACUUUUCAAAAUUAUUUUUUUGUCACCCAACUAUUAAGUGACACUUUUUUAGUUGGUAUAAUAUACGUGGAUGUAGUGUUCAAAAUCAGUCUUUCAAUACCUCGUAAACAAGAAGUAAAUGAGAAUGAGGAAGGAGAAAAACAGAAGAAAUUUUGCAGGAAACAACAAAGGACUUUUCUAAGAAAUUAGUGUAUACAUUUCCCACCUUUUACAUUUCCAAAUGAAUCUAUCUUGAUUAUAAUACAUAAGAAAGGGAGUCGGUAACAAUUAAUUAAGAUUUUUUUGGUUAAAUUUUUUCAAAAGUCCCUGUACUUAUUAUAAAUUUAAAAUUUAGUCCCUACAUUAUUAGCCACUAAAUUAUAAUAAGUUUUUGUAUUGGUCACUUAACUAAAGAAAGUUAUAAUUUGGUUAUAGAAUUUUUUGAAAUUAUUUUUUAUCACCCAAUUAUUACGUAACACUUUUUUUUAUUGGUAUAAUAACAAUUUUAGUUAUCAAUUUUUAUACUUUUCUGUCAAUAUAAAGUCUAUGUGUUUUGACUACUGCUUAGGGGGAUAGGACUAAUGGCUUAAAUCUACUUCUCCAUUGUCUUGGGAAGAUAAGAUUCACCAUCUUCGAUCUGCUCCACUACUGCUUAGGGUGGCAGAAUCUGUAAUCUUUGACCUAUUCCACUACUGCUUAGGGGGAUAAGACUAAUGGCUUCAAUUUACUUCUCCAUUGUCUUGGGAAGAUAAGAUUCACCAUCUUCAAUCUGCUCCAUUACUGCUUAGGGUGAUAGAAUCUGUAAUCUUCGACCUAUUCCACUACUGCUUAGGGGGAUAGGACUAAUGGCUUAAAUCUGCUUCUCCACUGUCUUGGGAAGAUAAGAUUCACCAUCUUCAAUCUGCUCCACUACUGCUUAGGGUGACAGAAUCUACAAUCUUCGACCUAUUCCACUACAGGACUUGCUAUCUUUAAUCUGCUUUGUUACAAACUAUGGUGUCUUCGAUCUGCUUCGCCAUCAGUACAGAAAAGCAAGAUUUGCUAUCUUCACUGAUAUGUUCUCUGGGGAACAUGACCUGUAUAAUCUGUUUUAUGAACCUAAUUGUGCCUAGUGAUUAGGAUGACAUGAUCAGAAUGAAUCAAAUGUUCCUAACUAGAUGUGUAUGAAUGACAUUUGAAUGAAUGCAAAAUGUCAUGAAGAUGAUUCCUUAAUGCUUAGGUUAUCAUCACGCAAAAGCUUAUUAAGGGUUUAUCACUGACGUGCUACAACGCCUUCUUGCUCGGCUGGCAUACUUAAUCUGAUUGUCCCCCACUGUGAACGUCAAAGUUCAAUCCACUAGGACAUAAAAUUUUUACCAUCAAUCUCCCACUAUAACCCAAGGGUAGAAAGAUAUGGUUUAUUUUUACCAUCAAUCUCCCACUAUAACCCAAGGGUAGAAAGAUAUGGUUUUUCACAAUCUUCUCUUAUCGCAAUUCAAGGAUACAGAAUGUGAAGCUCUUUGGUCCUUUACCCCAUUCCCAAGGUGUCAUACCAAAUGCUCAUGCACAAUUGCAAAAUUUUCUUCUACGAGAAAACCUUUUCUUAUCACUUGGUGAUCAUUGCUUGUUUGUUCAUUGAAGCUUUGUCACCAAAACAACAUCUUGUCAUUUUGUUCAAUCAAUGUUUUGACGACAAAAUCCAAAAGGACGGUCUUAAUUUAGACUCUUCCUUCUUAGAUAUUUCAACCUUUAAACUUGGUGUGUUCUAAACAAUAAUCAUGUUUCAGGUUCCUAUAUUAUUUAGAGACUUCUAGAGUAAUAUGCAAAACUUCCAUUGUGAAAGUAUUAUUAGUCCAUUAAUCAUUAUUCCAAUGCAACAUGCUUGAAAAAGAUCAUAACAAUGGAUGAACAUAGAAUUGAUUUGGGAGCAUAGCUCGAAAUGAAUAAAUUAUCAAGAAUAAAAGAGGAAUUGAUUGGAACAUGUAUCUUGAAAAAGAAUGAAGUAUUCCAAGAACAACAAAUUCAAUAUAUAAAUGAAUGUCAGGUGCCUCGGAUAUCACAGCUUGAACUUCUCUGUACAAACUUUUUGAAGACCUUUCUGAGUUUGACAUAUGUUUAGAAGAUCUACAGGACUUUGUCGAUGCUCCAAUAUGUUGCCUACCCUUUCCUGUUGAUUCAGGUAUAGCAAGAUCACCACAUGCCCCAAUUUGAUCAAAAUUUGAGCUACUCUGAUUACCUCAUGCCCCAUUUUGUUCCAAAAUUUGAGCCGCCCUUUUCGAGUUUUCAACUCAAAAUCCCCUUUGGUCUUAAGGCGCCCUUUGCGGGUUUUCACCUUGGCCUCUCCUUUUUCCUUUUCUUUUUUCUUCUUUUUCUUUUUCUUUUUUUUCUUUCUUUUUCUUUUUUUUCUUUUUUAAAAAUUUUUUUUAUUGAAUCUGAACUCAUAGUAUUAGACAUGUCCUCGUUAUCCCUUCCGAUCAAAAUUGACGCUUUUCCAGAUAAGGCCAUCCACACAAGGUUCUUCCCAGCUUGGUAUGAAGUUCUUUUUGUAUGGAAAGGAUCUUCUUCAAUACCAGGUCCUCUCAUGGAGUCCUCUAGGGCAAACUUCUUCUUUUUCCCUCUUUUUUUUUGUGCUUGCAUCAUUUGCUUUUGGCGCAUUUGACCAUGAUGGAUAACUUUGAACAUUCCUCUUCAAUCAGGAUUGGAUCCAAAAACUCAGAGAGAAAGACUCUUAUCUUUAACAGGCAAAACUGUAAUAAGCUAAAGAGAAAGAUAUUGCCCCGGUAGAGAUUUUUUUUGACGAUAUGGUGUUAAUCUUGAACAGACUACAAACUUCUGAUAUCGUGCUCUUGUUCAAAUUUAGUGCACUUUCAGAUAUAAUCCUUUUCAGUAUUUCAUACUGACAUGAUUUUUUCCAAAAAUUUACUGUUGACUUUGUGACAUUGGCAUAUAAAGUAGCUUCCACCCACUUAGUGAAGUAAUCGACGGCUGCAAAGAUGAAUUGUUGACUGCCAGAAACUUUUGGCAAGAUUGGCUCAACGACCUUCAUGCCCCACAUAGGGAGAAGUCGUGGAUUCCAAUGAUUCUUUAUAGGGUAGGAUCUAUUUUCCAUAUUAUUCUACCAUCCUCAAUAAGUCCAGAAAUAGGCUACAAUCUAUGUCAUUUUCAAAGUUGUGAGAUCCCUCUAAACACAUGUCUCGCUCAAAAGGAAAUUUUGAGUCUGUAGCAGUGUCAUUCAUGUCAUUGAUAUUUAGGGACCUAUUGUAAGUACAAAAGAAUAUACUAAGAAUAUAUGAAGUUAUGUACAAUAUGAUUAUGAAUGCAAUAAUGAUUUAGAAGAAAGAAUAAAAGAAUAAAAAUAAUCAUUCAUAAGAAAUGAAAGAAUAUUGGUUCAAAAAGAUCGCAAAGAUGCAUUCCAUUAAAAUAAUGACGUUUAGACAUAAGCCUAUUUCACAAAAGAGUUCUUAUUGCCUCUAGGUUAAAAGCAACAAGUGUGUUCUGAAUAUUACUCUAAGUAGGCUCUAAAUACUACAGGGAUUUCUUCCACAGUCCCUUCUUCAGAUAACAGAUGUGAACAUUCCCCAACUUCUUCAUGCAUUGUAAUCACUCCAUUAUCAAUCAUGAUUGGGUAGCAGAUCCCCUGCUACGUUUGUUCUUGAUGGCUCGCCAAAUUUUACGAUCCCCAUAUUAAUAAAUCUCUCAACCAACUUCUUGAAAGUAGUACAAUUUUCAAUCGAGUGCUCCGUAAUUACCGCAUGAUACUCGCAUUGGGCAUUCGCGUCGUACCAUUUAGGAUAUGGAGGUUGCAUGGGUUUUAGAUAAGAGGGAGAUACCAUAUGUGCAUCAUAUAAGUUCUGGUACAGCUCUCUAUAUGUCAUUGGGAUAAGUGUGAAUUUGGGUCUUUCUUCAUUUGGCCUUGGAUUAGUUUCCUGCCUUGAAGAACCUUGAUGGUUAGUGGUUACUGCUCUUGCUUGUCCCACCGUGAUUGAUUUAGAAUAGCCCUUGUUAAACACACUUGCAUUGUUUAUCUCGUGCUCUUUCUUCCUUGGAGUCGACCUCUGGGCACUUUCUCCUGCUUCUAUCUUGCCGCAUCUUAUGGCGUUCUCUAUCAUUUCCCCAGACAUCACUAUGUUUGAAAAGCUUUUAGUGGCACUGCCCAACAUGUGAUUGAGAAAUGGAGCUUUCAAAGUAUUGAUAAAAAGCAUGGUUAUCUCUUUCUCUAAAAGUGGUGGUUGAACUUGCGCUGCCACCUCCCUCUAUCUCUGAGCAUACUGUCGGAAGCUCUCAUUAGGCUUCUUUUCCAUGUUUUGCAAUACAAUUUGAUCUGGUGCUAUAUCCAUCACAUGUCUGUACUGCUUUAUAAAGGCUUGCGCCAAAUCUUUUCACGAGUGGAUGUUAGCCCAACUCAAUUAAUUGUACCAUCUAGCCGCUGACCCGAUCAAACUGUCCUGGAAGCAGUGAAUCAGUUGCUGAUCAUUGUUGAUGUAUCCGGCCAUCCUUCGACAAAACAUAGUGAUAUGAGCUUCGGGACAACUUGUUCCGUUAUACUUCUCAAAUUCUGACAUUUUAAAUUUGGGAGGGAGAACCAAAUUGGGUACCAAGCUCAAAUCUUUAGCGUCCAUUCCUCGAUGGUAAUCAGCAUUUUCCAUGGCUUUAAACUUCUCCUCUAGCCAUUUACAUCGGUCCUCUAAUUGCUUUGACAGAUCCACUUUUGAUUUUUCCACUUCUGCCACGUCAUCGGGAUCAAGAACCAUGAGAUUGGUACGAUUCUCUCUGGGAUUAUUACCUACUCCGAUUUGAAAGUUCAUUGGCAUUGAAAGACCCGUCUGAAACUGCUGGGAUCUGAUUGUAAUAGAGGAUUUUUGUGGGUAAAGCUUAGCUUGAGUAUGCGCGUGCGGAGGGGUAAAGCCUGGAGGGUAAAGGGGUUCAUCAUUAUUUCCCUCUUCAACAUCAACUAUAGGGUCCUUUCCCUUGUCAUUUCCUUCUCUCAAUAGCUGCGUUAACUUUGCCAUCAUGUCAUUCUGGGACUCUCGCAUCUUUUCUGUCAUCUUUUACUGAAUUCUUUCCAGCCACUCUUGUAUCUGAUCUUGCAUAUCUUUUUGGAGCUGUUCAAGCUUUUCUAAUCUCUGAUCCAUGUUCUUUGAUUUCGCUCGAGUUCCGUAAGGGUGUCGAUUUUCAAGGUUAACUAAAAUAAUUUUAUUCAAUUAGGGUCUUUUAAUGGUUCUUAAUGCACAUGAUGUUAUGUAAUGCAAAUGCAUGAAAUGAAUGCAGAAAGAGACGUUGAUUCUUGGUUCAAUUCUUAUUGGAACAACUUUACUAGAAAACAAAUCUCUUUACAUAAAGCGGAUAUAUAUACGGCUUUGCCGUCAUUCUAAGACAACGAUCCUUUUCUUCAUUCGUGCGUUAAGAUUAAUCUCACGAACUCUUCAAAAUAGACGUAUCCUCUAUCUCCCUUUUGCUUGAUCUGGGCUAUGACUCGUUGCUCGCUUAUCUUCGUGAUGCUCAUGGCUUCUCUUUAAGAAAGUUCAGCGGCUCUCGAAUAAUCUUUGUCAUCUUGAAUUCUCGGGCAACGGAGCAAUGGUCGUGUAGUCCUCCAUUAAACUAUCAUCCUUCUCUUAUCACGUUUUCUUAGACCAUAUUCGGACAAUCGUAUUAUUAUCCACUUUAUCAAGAAACCCAUUUCCUUAUGACAAGCUCUCUAUUUAACAACCGAACGUGAAUCAACACCUCUUUUUAUGAUGAAAAUGCAAUGCAAUCAUAACAAAAAAAAAACAGGUUAGUACAAAGUAAGAGCAAGCAAGAAUAAAUAGAACACCUAUUUGGGUGAAUACUAGGGGUUCGAAGUGGUUCUACCUAUGGUGGGCUCCUAAGGUUCACUACAUGAGGUUUGGCUCUAAAGUAAGGGUACCCGAACUAGUAGAUUCCUCGAUCUUCACCCAUUAUAGGCUCAUAUAGACCUAGUUCGGUUCAGGGGAAUACAUUUCCCUAUGGCUGCACGGAGAUGAAAAUCUCACGAAGACAUAGGUACGGAUGUAUCCCGGAAGCGAUUCACUAUCCCAUGCGGAGGUGAAAACCUCACGAAGGCGUAGUUUCUCACUCCCACUUAAAAAGGUGUGACCAAAGGUCAUGCAAUGCAAUAUGCAGCAAGAUACCAAAAUUUAAAUCAAUACAACAAUUACACCGAUGAGAAUUGUGAUAAAACGAGUGAAAUGCAAUGAAAGGAUCGUAUAUUUAAAUCAAGUUUUCAAUUUUCGACAAAAAAAAACAAAAGGUAAUCAACUCGUGGCUCGACUCACUUAUUUUGAAAAAGUCCCCAGCGGAGUCACCAAACUGUUGACACCAUUUUUUUUGGAUAAAAACAGGGUCGACUUGGGUUUUGAAAAAUGAAAACGAAAGUGGGAGUCGCCACUAAUCUUUUUUGAUGAGGUGUGAUCGGGUCACCUUUAAAAGCGGUUGUUUUUAAUAAACAAUUUAAUUUUAUUAAAACAACGAGUUUGGUCUACGAAAUUCAGAAAACGGGUUCGAGAGUCGGUUACGUACGAGGAAGGAUUAGCACCCUCGUAACGCCCAAAAUUGGUACCUAGUUGAUUAGUUAAUGUCUUGAUGUCGAAAAUCGAGAACUUGGAAAAAUUAAAAAUACGAUCCUUGUAUUAAAUAAAAAUUUGGGAAAAGAAGCAUAUUUCACGUUAAUCGAGAAAGAGAAUCAUAUCCUGUAAGUUAAAAUACAAUGUCUCAAAUUCCCGAUACGCGAAUGGAAAAUGCUUAUUUAAAAGAUAAUCCUGAAAACACUUGUGCAAUAUUUUAGCUCCAUCAUAUCAUAUCUUUCCCCAGCUUAAAAGAAGUUGAACUUAGUUUUCUUCAAAUAUAAAUAGUGGAAUUUGAGGUGAUGAUAAUCGAAUUUCAGCAUGAUUUCUCAAGGAUUAUUACAAAAAAUAUGGAGCUUCUGAAUUCGUUAAAAAAGAACAAGGUAAGCAAUUAUAGACAGUUGUUCCUUGGUUAAUUCUGUUGUUAAGGUGGAAAUGAUCACAGCAUUGUUAAGCUCUUGCAACUUCUAAACGGAGGCAAGGGCCCUGUUUGUACCAACAUCACUCUCGGAAAACACAAAAUUGCUGGAUAAAUCCCACAAUUCCACCACCCCUUCAUCAUGCAAACUUAUUGGUUUGACACCAGCUAGAAUGAGAUUCUUUGCUGCACAAUGAAGAAUAAAAAUUGAUCAGUAAUGGCAAUUUGCUUCUUCGCUAUGUGUAGUGUAGAGCAGUUAAUAAAAAUGAAGAAUAAACAUUGCCACCUAAUGUGGGGGAAAUGAAAGAGUAAAAAUAAAGUGCCCUUAAAACUAAUAUAUGUUGUAGUGGGCAAAAAUCAAGUCGGUUGCUGCAUAGAUAUGUCGCUGAACCAAUCGUCGCAACUCUUUGCCAAAUGUGCAUCAAUCCAUACAGUGCCACUACUCUAUAGAUAGCUCAUCAGCGUCUCUUAUCAUUUGCAUAUUCGAGGAAGUUAAUUUUUCUGGUUACAUUAGCAAGAGGUAAGGCUUAUCAGUGAAGAUGGAAGAUUACGGGUGCGGUAUCAGUUCGAUAGCCAUGAUGCUGUUGGUGGUUGCUCUGCCGUUUUUGGGUCCACUUGGAAUGCCACCGUUGCGGCCUCCUCCCGCUUACAUUUUCCUCAUCUUCGCUUUCGUCUUCCUCUUCCUUUUCAUCUACCUCUCUCAUGCCUCCAAAUGAUGAUCCAUGGCGAUUUCAUUUGCUUUCCAGUAUUAUUACUCUUUUAUUCAGUCGUUAUCUUAAACAAUACUAUUAACCGUACAAAUAUAUAUAUUUGAAGGAUGAUAUUUCAUACUCAUAUUAUGAGUAAAGAUAUCGAAAAUAAUUAUUUUAUGUAAACAACGUAAAUGUGUAAAAGAAAAGGAAUUAAUAGGACAAAGGUGGUUAAAUAGAUUACUAUAGUUAAUGCUUCUUCCACGACUGGCCAAUUAUAAAAUUGAAAACUUUUUACAUCUGUUCUGGUUGCAGCUCUUCUUCCUCCGCUUCCUCGUAGACAAUACGUUUUCGUUUUAUGUGAGAAGUGUUACCUACUGAUCCAUCGUCGUGAGCAGAGUGUUGGUGGAUGUGUUCAAAAUUUGGAGAAGUUUGAGCGCUAUGGCACUGCAACUCUUUUAUUUCUUCCAAAUCUUUCUCAUACACUAUUCUAACACCACACUUCUUCACAUUAGCACGGUGUCCAAAUCGAUCUACGAAAGACACCUCAAGCUCAUCGCAUAUUUUAUCUAAGCAAUCUGUUGCCCAUAACUUAUUGGUUUCAGUCACAAAAUUUAUCCUCCAAGGAAAAUGGAUAUAAUUUAUCACGCGACCAAUAACGAAGAAAAAUGUGAUCUUUUAGUAUGGGCUGGUUAAAUCGUUUACCCAACAACCAGCUUCUCCAAUCAAUCCGUCGAGGAUUUCUACCUCUAAAAAUAGAUCCAUUACCGCUGGCUUGUUCAGAAUUUCUACAAUAGAUAUAUGCUCCACAACCGAUAUAUUCCUCAUCCCUUGAAGCAUCAUUAUUGACAAAAAUGCAGCAGCUAGCAACUCCAAUCCAUUGACUAUAUUUCUGAAGGUUGAUAGGCAGCGAUAUUUUAAUUGAAGAGUCACUUGUUUGUUGGCUAAACCAUUCUGGGAUUUCACUUCCGGGCAUGAUAAUAUCAAAGAUUUUUCUUGAAUUUGCAAAUGCCUGCAAAACAAAACACAAGUCGUUUGGUAACUAAAACCAUAAAUUCUCAAGUAUGAGAUUUUGUAAGGGAGAAAAAAGAGAUUAAUCGACCUUAAGAAGUUUUUUCAGCAGUGUUAAUGCAUUGAUAUUCUCAGCCAAUUUGACGCAGUUAAGGGCACUAAUGAAAGCAGAAUCCACUAAAUUGCAUACUUUUGAUGGACUUGCAACUACUUCAAGUGAAGAACAACCAUCUAUCCACACAUCUUCUAUACUUGUUGGUAGCUCAGGCAACGAUUUGAGCAUCUUGCAAUCUGACAAUCUAAUAGAAUAAAGCUUGGAAAGUCGAAUAAUAGUUGCAGGUAUGCUGCUGAAAUUGUUACCCUUAAGAUUAAGACGUUUCAAAGAGGAUAGACCAGAAAUAUCACUAGGAAUAUCUCCUUCACAAAGACUGCGGUCCCUUAGAUUCAACUCUCUUAAUGAAGUCAAACCUGAAAACAAAGGCAACAUUGGAGCCAUGAAAUGCGUCCUUCCUCUUUGGAUUACAUUGAAAAGAGAAGGUAGGUUUGGUAGUAACUUAGAUGAUGGUCCCUUUCUCCCAUUGAAAGACAAAACUUUAAGAUUUUUAAAUUGACAAAUGAAGGAUGGUGGUUUUGUUAUGGCUGAUUCACUCAAGUCGAGCUCUUCCAAAAACUUUGCUUGCUGCAAAUUCUCCGAUAAAUUUUCAACUCUAUAACAACCGGAAAGAUCUAGAGUUUUUAGACAUUCCAUUAUCCCAUCAAUCUCCGGAAACCUAACAAGACUUGAGCAACCCGAAAGAAUUAAUGUUUCAAGGGAUUCCAUUCCAAUUUUGGUCGGAAGACUCCUAAGACUUUUGCAAUCUCUUAAAUCCAAAAGUUUAAGGCACUUAAGCACUCCGAUGGAUGGAUGAACAUCCACUAAUUUGGUACAACCUUCCAAAAUCAAAACUUCAAGAUUUGAUGCUGUUGUGAAGUCUGGUGUCUUGAUCAGGUUUUGGGACCCUUUGAGGUUCAUCAUUUUCAACGUAUACAAGGGCUGUUGAAAACAAUAACAAAUUAUAAUAAUGCUCUUUUUUUUUAUCUUAAUCAAAGUUUAAUUAUUUAUAUUAAAAUAAGCUAAAACACAAGGAUCAGAUGAAUUAACUCUUACUCUAUUUCCCUUCCAUAGUUGUUCAAUGCAACUGUAUGGUAAGAGAAGUGCAACAAGGUUGUCCGGUUGAAAGCUUGAAGGCAAUGAUCUUAAAGGGCAUCCUUUCCAAUCUAAAAGCCGUAGUUCAUUAGAAAGAUAUUUGAGAUCAUCACAAUUUGAGAGGCAAAACACUUUGAGCAAUCUCAAUUUUUUCAUCUUUGAGAAGGCAUCGACACUCAAGUUGAGCAUCUUACUCGAUUCCCUAAUAACCACGAGCAAAAAAAGAAAAAGGAAGAGUUUCAGAAGAUACAAAAAUAUUCAAUACCUACAAGCUAUGUUGCAUCGAUAUUGUUUUUUAAAGCACCCAUACCCAAUAAUUAUAUCUAAUGAAUAUCCGAAUAUGGUUUUGAGAUAUGUUUGAGCAUACCCAUGAUAGACAAUACUCUAUCUAACACUUGCAUUCGACUUUUAAUUACCUAAGCCUAAAAAAACUAGAAUUAAUAUUAAUAGUACAUAUUGAUAAAUUUAUAAGUUUUUUUACCUUUUAUUGUCGAUAAUCAUGCCUUCAAUCACUUCGGUAGCCUAUAAGUAAUCAAUAAUAGACAAUAAGAAGACUGAUAAAACUUUUGAAAAUUUACAUACACAAUCUUUUGGUGGAAAUAUGGCAAAUAAAAUAUUUUGAACAAAGUAAAACAUUUUCUAAUGAGAGUAAUUCAAUAAAAUUAAAUGCUUAUAUUACAAAUUCUUAUUAAUAUUUAUGAUCAACAAAUGAAAAUCAUCUUAAAGCUACUCAAUGUCACUUAAGGAUCAAUAUAUAAAUCAAUUAGACUAAGCUUUGGAUUUACAUCAUAUAUUGAUAAAAAAAUUGCAUGUAAUUUUUGUUGAAUGAUUUACCGUGUUUUUUGUUAGGACAUGAUGGACAUCUCUUUCGUUCCACAAUCUACAACGUUUUCUAGGCUCAUCAACACAUUUUUCUUCGACAAUUUUUCUUCCCAUUUCUUGCAACAAGGCAUGCAUCCACAAAUAUUGGUUGUCACCAUCGACUUUUACGAGAGAUUUCUUAAUGAGAACAUCAAUUCCAAUAUCUGAGAAAAACUCACAACCAUCCAAUACUUUCAUUACCAAAUCUUUCUUCUCCCCAUUGAAAAAGCAUGCUAUAUCUAAAAAUAUAUUCUUCUCCCUUUCUUCCAAUCCAUCAAAGCUGAUUCUUAGUGUGUCAAGAAUUUCUUUGUUGGAAUCUCGUUUAAGUCUUUCGAUUGCACUUCUCCACUGAGCUAAAUUUCUACCACACAAAAAAGAACCCAAGACUUCAAGAGUUAAGGGGAGACCACCAGUGUAAUUUACAACAUGUUCAGAAAGCUCACUGAAAUCAUCUUUUAGCAUUGUGUCACUGUCAAAAGCUUUCAAAUUGAAAAGCCUAAGUGCAUCGUUGGGAUUCAAUGUUGUAGGUUUAUACACAUCAUCGAUUCGAUAAGAUCUGAGCAAAUGUUCAUCUCUGGUUGUUACGAUGAUCCUACUUCCUAAACUGAACCAAUCUUGCCUUCCAACUAAGCAUUUCAAGUGUUGUAUAUUAUCAACAUCAUCAAGAACAACAAGAACCUUUUUGCUAAACAACCUAUGGCUAAUUAUGGCAUUCCAUUCAUAAACAUUGAAAAAGUUGAAGCAUUCAUCUGGCAAGAUUUGAGAAAGAAGUUGUUUCUGUAAAGAGACAAGUCCACAUUUAUUUGAAACUUCUCGAAUAUCAGCAAGAAAGCUUUUACCUUCAAAAUAAGGCGACAUUUGAGUGUAAACAACCCUUGCAAGAGUUGUUUUACCGAUGCCACCCAUUCCGCAAAUUCCAAUAAUGCGGACAUCGUCUUCCCCAAUGUUUAUUUUCGAAUACAACUCCUCCAAAUGUAAGCUAAUUCCAACCAACUCGUCAUGGACAAUUGGAUAUGUCUGACAUAAUUUUGCUGAUAUCUUCUUAACAAUGUCUCCGAUAAACGCUGAUUCGUGCCUACAAUGAAAUAAAAAAUCGCUGCUAUCUUUCAAAUGCACUUUUACAUUUUUAAUUCAGUGAAUCGUGAAAUAUAAUAUAAUUGGAAGCAAACCAAAAGCUAGAAUAAGACAGCAAGAUCUGUUAUAGCAUCAAAAUACACAACUUGCUCAUUACUUGAAAUAUGAGAAUUCUCAAUUAAACACAAAGUUGCAAAAAAUAACAUGCAAUCCAAGAAAAUAUACAAUUUUUUAGUCAUUAAAAUUAGGAAAUGGAGAAGAAAAGGAAGAAAUACUUAUUAUGUAAAUGCCAUCCUUUGAUUUUAGCUACUUGAGUCAAAGCAUUUCGCCACUUUUGGAUCUUGUCUUUAUCUUCCUUGUAUCUUUCUUCGUGUUUGGCGAAGGCUUCUUCAACUUUUUCAUUUUGUUUUCUUAAAUCGGAUGGAUCCACAUCGUAGAAAAUUGGAAAUACUUUAUGUCCGUUAACAAUUUUUUGUUGAACAAUCUCAGCAAGUUCCUCCAAGCACCAUCCUGAAAAGGCAUAUGAUUCCGAGAAAAUGAUUACCGAGCACCACGACUGCUGGAUCGCUUUGAAGAGUUCCGGUGCGAUCUCUUCGCCAGCCUCCAGCUUUGGAUCAUCCCUAAAAGUGAUGAUACCACUCCUCUUUAGAGCAUCGUAGAGAUGAUCCGCGAAGUUCUUGCGGGUAUCUUCACCUCUAAAACUCAAGAAAACAUCGUAUUUCUUUCUGGAAAUGGAUGAGGAAGUCGAAAGUAACGAUGACAUGACCAUGUAUGAGAAGAUAAAUAUAUGUGAAAGGAGAAAAACAGAUGAAAUUUACAGGGAGCAACAGACGACUUUUCUUAAAAAAUUCUGUAUAUGUUUCCCACCUUUUACUUGUCCAAUAAAUUCGUGGGCCAUAGAUGAGUUAGAUUUUCUUAUAGAUUUUCAGAGUUUUUUGUUAAAAUUUGCCACAAGUCCCUGUACUUUUUUAUAAAUUUAAAUUUUAGUCCCUAUACUAUGGGUAAGUUUUUAUAGAUUAAAAAAGUUUUAAUUUGAUCAUUGAACUUUUCAAAAUUGUUUUUUUGUCACCCAACUAUUAAGUGACACUUUUUUAGUUAGUAUAAUAACAAAUUUAAUCCUCAAUUUUUAUACUUUUUUGUCAAUUUGACCCUAAUUUUAUAUAAAAUAAUAAAAAUUGAAAUUCAUUUUAAAAAAAAAUUAGAGAACUCUAAAAUUUUAAAUUAAAAUAAAAGUAAAUAAAAAUUUCAAAAAUAGAUAAAUGAGAAAGUGAGCGAAAACUGUUUAUAAACCUUCCAAAAUUUCUCUCAAAUUAUUGGUUCUAUUUUUUUUACCUCUUUUGUUUCAUGGUUCUAGAAAAUUUAAAAUUUAAUUUGUUUUUACUAUUUAAAUUUAUAAAAAAUAAUUAAAAUUUUGAAUCGAGUCUGCAAAAUAAAAAUUUUAUGGUAUAAUUUGUUUUUUUUUCUAGAAAAUGGCAUUAGAGUCUAUUUCUUAAGCCUCUGUAAUAUUAAUUCUAGAUGUUCUUCAAGGACAUAAAACUUAACUUGAAGAUAUUACUAAUUUAGUUUUAAGAAACAUUGAAGAAACACGUAAUAAUCUAACAUUUUUUGGUUUUGUUCUAUUUUUAAUUUAUUCUAAGAUUCUAUUGAAUAAUAAUUUUCUAUAUUUCCCAUACAGUUCUUCACAAAUUAAGAGAUAUUCGUGGACAGAUGUUCAGUAGCAUGUAUUGGGGUUAUGAAGUCAAACGAAUAAGUUGUGAUUUGGGCCCAUACCAUCUCCAUUUCAGUUUUCAUUUUUAAGUUACUAUUAUUUUAUUUUAUCUUAAUUUCUUUUCAUCAUUCUUUUCUUUUUGCUUUUGAUUGUUGGAAACUUGGAGUACUUGGGCAUUCCCAAGCCUCGCUUUGGGACUUCUUGAUAGCACACCGGCCUUAUAGCAAAUUAAAUGGGAUAUAAACAUUGUGACAUUAAUCUCAUAUUUUGAAAGUUUUCAGAAUCAAAUUGGUGAUUGAAUUAAUUAACUCAUUGGUUUUUUAUUACUUCAUUCGAUUUAAUUAAUUAAAUUAUUAAAAAUUAUAAAUAUUAAAAUAUUACAUAAUAGUAAAAAUCAAUUUAACUGUUGAUUCAACAUGUUUCGAGCUGUUUGUGAGUUGUAAAUACACUUUCAGAAAAUCUCCACCAUAUCACAUCUUUCCCCAGCUUGAAAGAAGUACAACUUAGUUUUCUUCGGAUAUAAAUAGUGGAAUUUGAGGUGAUGAUAAUCGAAUUUCAGCAUGAUUUCUCAAGGAUUGUUACAAAAAGUAUGGAACUUCUGAAUUCAUUAAAAAGGAACAAGGUAAGAAAUUGUAGACUGUUGUUCCCUGGUUAAUGCUGUUGUUAAGGUGGAAAUUGAUCACAGCAUUGUUAAACUCCUGCAACUUCUAAACAGAGGCAAGGGCCCUGUUUUUACCAACAUCACUCUCGGUAAACACAAAAUUGCUGGAUAAAUCCCACAAUUCCACCACCCCUUCAUCAUGCAAACUCAUACCUCUACAUUGACAUGAUGAAAGACAACAAUAUGCAAUAAAAGAUCUAAGAGAAAAAACCAACGUUAUGUCAUGAAAAAGAACAACCCCCCCCCCAACCCAGUGGAACCUCCUGUUAAAAUUAAUCACUAAUGGCAAUUUUCUUCUUGCUAUGUGUAGUGUAGAGAAGAAUAAAAAUGAAGUUAAUAAAUGUUGCGGAAAGGAUCGAUUCGAGAACUCCGAUAUGACUACAAGUAAAUUGACCGGAACGAAAAAAUAAAGUGAACACAAGGAUUUACGUGGUUCGGCUUUAAUGCCUACGUCCACGGGCAGAGGCGAAAAGAAAUUUCACUAUAACAAGAUGAAGAUUACAAGUGUUUUACACUCAAGACACAACCCGAGAACCUCACAACUCUCAACCCCUAUAGAAAACCCGAAAGCUAAAAUCCUAGCUUUCAAAGAACAAGCUUUGCUCUCUCUUGGUUUGGGAUGAUUUAUAUGGCUAAUGAACCUCUCUAUUUAUAAGAGAGUUCAAGGACAUAAUUGUCCAAAACUUUGGCAAAGAUUUGUGGUUGAAAAUGGACACCAACAACCAUCCACUAAUCCACUACCACCAACAACCCACUACCAACAACAACAAUCCACUACCAAUUUUAAGCCAUUUCUUAACAAAUCUCCACCUUGGCUUGAAAUUUACCAAGCUGAACAUCAUAGUGAAUUCCUCGAACUGGAUCACCUCUUCCAAACGCCUCUCUGGCGCUAAUCAAUCCCGAAUACCUAUCAAGUCCAAGCAAUGCUUGAACUUAUAUGCAGGGAUCACCUUAGUUAACAUAUCUGCAGGAUUCUUCUCGGUAGCAACCUUGCUGAUAACAAUGUCACCUUGCGUAACAUGUUCCCGAACAAAAUGAUAUCUGACAUCAAUGUGUUUGGUCCGUUCAUGAAACAUCUGAUUUUUAGUCAGAUGUAUGGCACUCUGGCUAUCGCAAAAUACAACAGUGAAAUCCUGUUGUAAACCCAAACUGCUUACUAGACCUUUCAUCCACAAUGCUUCUUUCACUGCUUCUGCUAACGCCAUAUAUUCCGCCUCAGUCGUAGAUAAGGCUACGGUAGACUGUAACACAGCUUUCCAACUAAUGGCUCCUCCAGAAUAAGUGAAAACAUAACCCGUCAGAGAUCUUCUUUUGUCCAGAUCUCCAGCAUAAUCAGAGUCCACAUAGCCCGUGACACUGCUAGUGCAGUCACUCUGAUCAUAUACCAAGCAUAAAUCUGCAGAACCUCUCAAGUACCUGAGAAUCCAUUUCACGGCCUGCCAGUGUUCCUUGCCAGGACAACUCAUGUAUCUGCUGACCACACUAACUGCAUGUGAAAUGUCUGGACGAGUGCAAACCAUUGCAUACAUCACGCUUCCAACUGCACUCGAGUAUGGAAUGUGAGACAUUUGCUGCUUUUCUUCAUCAGAUUGUGGUGACAACUCUGUAGAGAGUUUGAAAUGUGGUGCCAACGGAGUACUCACAGUUUUCGCUUUAUCCAUGCCGAAGCGUUGAAGAACCUUUUCAAUGUAGUUCUUCUGCGACACACGAAGCUUGCCCGCCUUGCGAUCUCUGUGAAUAUCCAUGCCCAAAAUUUUCUUGGCAGCACCCAGAUCCUUCAUCUCGAACUCACCACUCAACUGCGACUUUAACUUGUUGAUUUCCGACAUGUUUUUGGAAGCAAUUAACAUGUCAUCAACAUACAGCAACAAAUAAAUGUGCGAACCAUCUGAGAGCUUCCGAUGAUAGACACAAGCAUCAUAGUCACAUCUUGUGUAACCAUGCUGAAUCAUGAAGCUAUCAAACCGCUUGUACCACUGCCUUGGGGAUUGUUUCAAUCCAUAUAAAGACUUCUUUAAUAGACAGACAUGGUCUUCUUUACCAGGAACUGUAAAACCCUCUGGUUGACGCAUGUAGAUUGUUUCCUCGAGCUCACCAUGCAAGAACGCCGUUUUUACGUCAAGCUGCUCAAGUUCUAGAUCAGACUUGGCCACCAUGGCAAGUAAUAUACGAAUGGAAGAAUGCUUUACGACUGGGGAGAAAACUUCAUUGUAGUCAAUCCCCUCUUUCUGAGUGAAGCCUUUAGCAACCAAUCGUGCCUUGAAUCUAGUUGCUUCAACCCCUAGGAUGCCUUCCUUUUUCUUGAAGACCCAUUUGCAACCAACUAUCUUCUGGUUACUUGGCGGCUUAACCAACUCCCAAGUAUGGUUCUUGUGAAGAGAUUCUAUCUCCUCACUCAUAGCAAUUGCCCACUGUGCCGACUCAUCACACGUGACAGCCUCAUUAUAACUGGAAGGUUCUAUACCAAUGGACUCCGCCACACUGAGCGCGAAAGACACCAGAUUAGCGUAACGCGGAUUUGGUUUGAUUUGUCUCUUCGUUCUUCCAGUGGCAAUGCUAUAUGGUUUUUCUUGAGGUGACUCAUCUUCAUCGGAAUCUUGCACCUCAACUUGAUCAUCCUGGACUGAAGUACCUUCCGUAGGAAUUGGAGCGUCCACCUGACACUCCACCUGCUUCUCAACACCGUGAUCUCCCAUUCUAUCUGACUCCUCCUUUUCCCGGGAAUUUGUGGUGGAUCGAAGCAUGGAUGACUCAUCAAAAGUCACAUCUCUGCUGAUGAUGAACUUGGACGAAACCGGAUCAGGACACCACAACCUGUAUCCUUUCACCCCUUGGCCGUAUCCAAGAAAUAUGCAUUUCUUCGCCCUCGGUUUGAGUUUUCCCUCAUUUACAUGAGCAUACGCAGGGCAGCCAAACACUCUUAAACCAGAGUAAUCAGCAGGAGAACCAGACCAUACUUCCUCAGGAGUCUUCAGCUCAAUAGCUGUUGACGGAGAUCUGUUAACCAAAUAACAAGCAGUAUUAACAGCUUCAGCCCAAAAUUCUUCACCGAGCCCAGCAUUUGAUCGCAUGCAACGAGCUCGCUCCAAGAGAGUUCUAUUCAUGCGUUCUGCAACUCCAUUUUGUUGUGGUGUUCGACGAACAGUGCGGUGUCUCACUAUUCCUUCAUUUUUGCAGAACUCAUUGAAUUCACCUGAGCAAAACUCCAAGCCAUUAUCCGUCCGGAAUCGCUUGAUCUUCUUUCCUGUUUGAUUUUCGAUCAAAGCUUUAAAUUGCUUGAAGUUGAUGAGAACCUCAUACUUGCUCUUCAGAAAAUACACCCAAACCUUUCUCGAGUAAUCAUCGAUAAAGGUAAGCAGAUAUCUGUAACCACCUUUAGAAAUUGUCGGAGAAGGCCCCCAAAGGUCAGAAUGGAAGUAAUCCACUGUGCCUUUUGUCUUGUGAAUCCCAGUGCUGAACUUUACCCGAGUCUGCUUACCGAAGACGCAGUGCUCACAGAAAUUCAACUUUCCUGUACUCUGCCCAGACAAUAAUCCUCGUUUGCUUAGCACCGAUAAGCCUCUCUCGCUCAUAUGCCCGAGCCGCAUAUGCCAUAACUUCGUGGUGUCAGAAUCUAGAUCAUCUGAUGAUGACACUCCCGCAACACCUGUAACCGAGGAACCAUCGAGGAAGUAAAGGCCCCGCUCCAAAUUACCACGUAUCACAGUCAAAGCACCCGAGAAUACCUUGAGAACUCCACCUUCAGCAGAGUACCGAAAGCCUUUCUUGUCCAACGUACUCAAAGAGAUCAAAUUUUUCUUCAUUUCUGGAAUGUGCCGAACAUCAGUUAGAGUUCUAACAAUACCGUCAAACAUCUUUAUACGAACUGUGCCAAUCCCCAUGACUUGACAUGCGUGGUCAUUUCCCAUUAGUACUGAACCAGAAUGCUUCUCGUAUGUUGAGAAUGCAUCUUUCGAAGUACUUAUAUGAAAUGUAGCUCCCGUAUCAAGAAUCCAUCUCCCACCAGCGUAAGAGUCGGAUACUGCAAGAACGAUCUCGGCAUCACUUGAAGAAUCUGCAUCAGCUACAUUCGCACGAUCAUUUUGUUGCUCCUGUGAUUCUGAUUUCUCCUUCCUUUUCGGACAAUCUACCUUCAUGUGCCCGUACUUCUUACAGUAGUAGCACUGUAUUCUCUUCUUGGACUGCGAUCUAGGAUGGCUUUUACUUGAACUUCCACCCUUUGCCUUGGAUCUUCCUCGAGCAACCAAGCCUUCGCCUUCAUUGUUUUCGACCACCUUACCAGUGAUUUUCUUCCUCAACUCACUGGAACUUAAGGCAUUUUUCACCUCCUCUAGAGUCAGGUCAUCACGACCGUACAUCAUUGUAUCAACAAAAUUCUCAUACGAGGGAGGCAAAGAACACAAAACAAUUAUUGCUUGGUCCUCAUCAUCGAUUUUGUUAUCGAUAUUAUUCAAAUCCAUGAUAAUGGAAUUGAAUUUAUCCAGGUGCUGGGAAACAGGUGUACCUUCCUCCAUCUUCAGGGCAUAGAGUCUUUGCUUGAGGUAGAGCCGGUUCGUCAAUGACUUCGUCAUGUACUUGCUCUCUAACCGGAGCCACAAACCGGACGCGGUUUUCUCAUCCGCUACUUCUCGUAGCACUUCAUCUCCUAGACAUAGCAGAAUAGCACUAUGUGCUCUUUCUAGCAUGUCAUCCUUUUGCUCUUCCGAAAGCGUGCUUGGUAAUUUAUCUUUACCAGACAAUGCUUUUAGCAAUCCUUGUUGAACCAGCACUGCCCGCAUCUUGAUGCGCCAUAAACUGAAACUAUUUUUCCCGGUAAAUUUCUCGACAUCAUACUUAGUCGAUGAAACACUUGUAGCCAUAAUUUGGAACCUUUGAAUGAAUGAUAAUAUUUUCUUCCUGAUGUGAAAGAUCAGACAAAGCUGCAGUCACAGGGCAAUUCAGAAAAUAUUAUCACUCCUUCAACUACGCUCUGAUACCAAUUUGUUGCGGAAAGGAUCGAUUCGAGAACUCCGAUAUGACUACAAGUAAAUUGACCGGAACGAAAAAAUAAAGUGAACACAAGGAUUUACGUGGUUCGGCUUUAAUGCCUACGUCCACGGGCAGAGGCGAAAAGAAAUUUCACUAUAACAAGAUGAAGAUUACAAGUGUUUUACACUCAAGACACAACCCGAGAACCUCACAACUCUCAACCCCUAUAGAAAACCCGAAAGCUAAAAUCCUAGCUUUCAAAGAACAAGCUUUGCUCUCUCUUGGUUUGGGAUGAUUUAUAUGGCUAAUGAACCUCUCUAUUUAUAAGAGAGUUCAAGGACAUAAUUGUCCAAAACUUUGGCAAAGAUUUGUGGUUGAAAAUGGACACCAACAACCAUCCACUAAUCCACUACCACCAACAACCCACUACCAACAACAACAAUCCACUACCAAUUUUAAGCCAUUUCUUAACAAUAAAUAAGCUGUUUCAGCCAUUGGCAUAGACAUUGCCACCUAAUGUGGGGGAAAUGAAAGAGUAAAUAUAGUACAAGGAAGAUUACAGAAUCUCUUUAACUAUCUAUUUAUUAAUUCAGGCAUAAAUAUAUUGCAGGUCUAAAAUAUGAAGGUAAACCUUCGAACAAGAGAUAAGUAAAAAACAUAUUCUUGGUGCAUGGAUAUCCCGUGAUUAAUCCUCCAUUUAAGUGUCUAAGAAAGUAAGAAUUCAAUCCAAUUAAUUCCUCAAUCAGCCCAAUUACAUAAGCAUGCAGCCUACCUCUACUCUAGUAGUACUAUACAAUACAGCAUCCAACGUAUCACAGAAGAAAAUCAUUAGCAGCAACAUGUUGAAUGUGCGAUAGAGUGGGCACUAUUAUCAGGUUAUCCUAUAACUUUUAUUUUAAGCUGAAUCCUCUUGUUUUUUUAUUUUUUGCAAAGUCAGCGAAAUACACUGAAUCCCCUUGUUAGAACACUAUUCUUACCGGCCGACGAAUUAAUAAGCUUGAAAUUGGAAAAAUCUUAUAGAUCCCCUCUUAUAUGCCUCUGACCCAAACAUACAAGCACAGAAUCAUCACCAGAUCAAAGUUUUUGACUAAGAACUAGCGUAAAGCUAGUGAGGUUACAUAUACACUCAUAACGCCUAAAAACCCAAGAAAUAAUAAAAAAAACCACCUGUAAAUAACUCCUAAAUCAACUCAUUAUAACGAAUUUCAAAACACUAAAAUUUAAUAGAAAACUAAUAUAUGUUUUAGAGGGCAAAAAUCACGUCGGUUGCUGCAUAGAUAUGUCGCUGAACCAAUCUUCGCAACUCUUUGCCAAAGGUGCAUCAAUCCAUACAGUGCCACUACUCUAUAUAUAGAUCAUCAACGUCUCUUAUCAUUUGCAUAUUCGAGGAAAUAAAAUUUUCUGGUUACAUUAGCAAGAGGUAAGGCAUAUCAGUGAAGAUGGAAGAUUACCGGCGCGGUAUCAGUUCGAUAGCCAUGAUGCUGUUGGUGGUUGCUCUGCUGUUUUUGGCUCCGCUCGGAAUGCCACCAUUGCAGCCUCCUCCCGCUUACAUUUUCCUCAUCUUCGCUUUCGUCUUGCUCUUCCUUUUCAUCUACCUCUCUCUUGCCUCCAAAUGAUGAUCCAUGGAGAUUUCAUUUGCUUUCCAGAAUUAUUAUUCUCUUCUAUUCAGUCGUAUCUGAUGAUAAUAUGCUUUGCUCGGGAUAUUAACCGCCAAUAAUACACGGUUAUUUGUUGUUUUCAGUCGUUUAUUAAUUAAUUAUAUGAAUUUGAUGGAAGAAUGUUUGGGUUUAUGUAGGACGUAAAUAAAUCAUGCAAUGCAUGCAUACUUAUGUUGCGACACGAUGCCUUUCACUAAUAUGGUUCUUUCUUUCACUCCCAUUGACUUACGUACGUUGCAUGCGUUGUCCCUUCAUGCCGUCUAUUUACUACUGGAUUAAUAAUGUCGUUAAUUCAUCAAUCAUGUCUUAAAAAUCAAUUUAAGUAUGGAGGGACUAAAGCUCUUUUUUCGCUAGUCUUCUUAUGUAAAUUUAAUUUACUCAGGUUGUGCUCAUGAACUUAGAUUCAAAAUAUGGAUUUAAAUUUAGUCUAUGCUUCCUGCUGCAGUUGUGGUUAACUUUCAAGAAAGUACAUAUUCAGGAAAGCCAAACAAUUCAAGAUCACUUAAAUUGUACGGAUCAUACGUUGUCAUCAACAGUAGUAGAUAACAAGUAGGUGGAAAAUUGCAUAUAUGGGUAAUUAGAGAAGUAGCAGGUAGAGCUGGAAAAAUAGAUGGAUCGUACAUGAGAGAGCAAGCAUUUGGGUUUUCGUCGCUAAAAAUUUGAGGAUAAGCAAACUCGGAGUAGUACUUGGAUGGGUAAUAUUCACUUCGUUCCAUAUGUCACUCAUCUUCUUGCCAUCGUCUCCAUCCAUCUCCUUUGCCUUGAUCUUCUUCUUUCUUCUCAUCUGCAUCUUUCUUCUUUUCUUCCCUUCGUCAUUCACUAUACAUUAAUUAUGGUAUUAUACAAAGAAAAAAAAGCGCCAACUACGGAUCCAGUGGAAUUUGUAGUGGAGAUUCCGUUAAAAUCUUGAGACAUAAAAUUUUACUAAAUUUCAAAAAUAAAAUUUGAAAUAUUUGAUGGAAUUUUGAAAUUAAUGAGUUAUCAAUUUUGAGCAUUGUAAGGAUGCUAUAACCUUUAAUUUAUAAAAAUUGAAAGGGGUUUAUAAAAUGUGAUUUUAUAGAUGGCGGAUUACACAUGGCCAACAAAGAUUUGUUUUAUUAUAUGUGAAUAGUUAAAAUUGAAAUUUAAAAAUAAGAAAUCUAAUAUUUAACUAUGAUCCCGUUUUGAAAAUUAAUAAAUUAUCAAUUUUGGGCGUCGUAGUCGUAGGAGUACUAUAACCUUUUCUACCCAUAACUGAUUCUCCAACCUAAUUUUUCUCUAGAUUUAAACACGGAUCUUAAAAUUGUUCUUAAAGGCAUUUUAAAAUUUCUUUAUAAAAUUUGAUUUUAUGGGUUACUGGUCACAUCUAGUAAAAAUAGAUAGUGAUGAGUUUUAAUUUGAAACAUUCAUGCAUUGUAAUUUAAUUACUAUUAGAUUCCUUGAUUCAUUUAUUCUAAAAGCAUUCACGCUUUACUCGACCAAAGUCAUCCAUUCAUGGGAUGCCUUCCUUUGCACUCAAGCAAUGCUCGACUUGGAAGGCACUUGGAAGGCAAUCGAAGUUGCUUGUGGUAGAAGGCCGAUCGAAGCCAGAGCGCUGGUAGAUGAAACCUUUCUCGCUGACUGGAUAAUGGAUUGCUAGGAUAAAGGAGAUAUUCUGGCCGCUGUCGAUGGGAGGUUGGGAAAGAAGUUUGUGUCUUAUGGUCGCGCCAUUCCUCCAACUACAGAGUCGCUUGUGUCUUAUUCAUCAUACAAAUAUUUUUUUUUUAAGGAUUUGUGAUCCAAAUUCAAAAUAUUUGGUGAUAGAGCGUACUGCAGCUUCAAAGGCCAAAGUUGUUGUAAAUUUACAACAAUUGUAUAAAGUGUUGCAUAAGCCCUCGAAGCCCCCAUGUUCUUGUUGGAGUUGGAAUCCUCAUUUGUAACAGGCACUGUAUCAAAUAUUUCAACCAUUAAUCAAAAACUUGUUUUUCAGGGAAUUGAUUUUUUGCAUCUGAAUCGAAGGUUUGAAAAGUUAAUCUUAUCAUUUUUUAUUUAUUAAAUGUGUCGUAUUUAUAUCAAGGAUUGUCGUAUUUAUAUCAAGGGUUUUAUUUUAAACUUUUAAUUUCAAAAUGCAUUUUGCCUUCUUUGAUUUAGUACUCUCUAUAUCAAUUUCAUGUUUGUGAAAUUCAUCCAUUCUAAAUGCAUUUUGCGUUCUUUGAUCAUCAACUAUAUCAAUUUCAUGUUGGUAUUAUGAACACCGAUAUAUUUGUACGAAAUGGCUAGUGAAGUAGUUUACACAAUUAUUGCUUCUUCCCUUAUCGGCCGGCCGUUAUAGAAUUGAACAUUUUUUGCAUCCCUUUAGGCUGCGGCCCGUCUUCUUCUGUUUCCUCGUGGAUAUCACGUUUUCGUUUUACAAGGGAAGUGCUGCUUGCGGAUCCAUCAUUUUCAAUAGUGAUGAUGGAUAUGUUCAACGUUUGGAGAAGAUUGAGUGGUAUGGCACUGCACCUAUUUUAUUUCUUCCAAAUCUUUUGUUGUACAUUAUUCUAACACCACAGUUCUUCACCUUAAGAGAAGAAGACCUUUUUGAGUCUUGGAAAGACAUCUCAAGCUCAUCGCAUUCAUGAUCAGCAAUCCAUUGUCCAUAAAUUCUUGGUUUCACAUUUAUCCUUCAAGGAUAAUGGAUAUAAUAAUUAACGCGAGAAAUAACGAAGAAAAAGGUGGUCCUUUGUUAUGGGUCGUCGAUCAAAAUUAAGGAAACUGGAAUCGACCUCUUGAGGAUUUUUAACUUGAAAAACAGAUCCAUUACUACUAUGUUGUCCAGAAUUUCUAGAAUGGAUAUAAGUUGGACCACCGAUAACUUUUCUCUUGGAAUCACCAUCAUCGCCGAAAAUGCAGCAGAAAGCAACUCCAAUCUAUUGACUGUCAUUCUGAAUAUUUAGAGGCAAAGGUAUUUCAAUUACAGAGCCGCCUCUCUGCUGGCUGAACCAUUCUGGGAUUACAUUUCCAGGUAUAACAACAUCAAAUCUUUUUCUUGAAUUCGCAAAUGCCUGCAAAUUAAAACAUCAGUCGUUCUUGAAUUUGCUAAAUAAAAUAUCUGUCACAUUUAAGUCAUUAAACAAGAAUUUUGAAAGAUGAAAAAUAGAAGCAAAAACCGUAUGUUGGAUUGAGAGAAGAAGAUGACUUAUCUCAUUACUUGAAUAAGUAACAUAACAUAUACAUAAAUAGUUCUAUUGCAUUGGAAGAAAAUAAACAUUGCUUGUGCAAGUAAGCAAGCUGUAAAAUCAGCUUAAUGAUAACAUAAAGCCUAUUAAAUCUGCUAAGUACAUGGCUGAACCUCAGCAAAACAAAAAGUUACAAUCAAAUCAAACAUAAGUCACAUGUUAAAAAAGUUAAAUGACCGAAAUACAGCAUGGAGAUUUGCAUGUUGCUGCAUUGUUGCUUGGACACUUGCAUGCUGCUGCAUUGUUGCCAACUUUCAACACUCCUCCUUGGCUACAAAGUAGUAGACUCCAAUUUCCUUCCUCAGAUACUCAAACCUUGUGGCAGCUAAUGGCUUGGUCAAAAUGUCUGCGAGCUGAACCUCCGAGCAGCAAUGAAUCAAGUUGACUUCCUUUAACAAUUCUGCCUCCCUUACAAAAUGAUACUUGAUCUUGCCAUGAAAUACAAGAUUCUUGGCAACGGCAACAGUUGACUGAUUAUCUACUUUGAUAUCUGUUGCUUCCACUUGAUCAACAUUCAAGUCACUUAAAAGCUUUCUAAGUCAAAUUGCUUAAUUAACAGCAAUAGCAGCUAUAACAUACUUUGCCUCUGCAGUGGAUUGAGUUACUGUCUGGUAUUUCUUAGAACUCUAACUAAAAACUGCUGAGCCUAGAGUGAAAAAGUAGCCCGAUGUACUCUUCAUGUCAUCAACUGAACUAGCCCAGUCAUUGUUUGAAUAGCCAACUAGUUUCAGUUCUUCAGCUUUCACAAACUUCACUCCAUAGCUUAAGGUUCCUUUGACAUACCUUAGGACCCUUUUGGCAGCCUUGAAAUGAGCAAAAUUACAAUAAUGCAUGAACCUCGAUAAAUGGCUAACUGCAUAUAUGGUGUCUAGCCUUGUUGUUGUGAAAUAGAGCAGACAACCAACUAGACUUCUAUUGCUCUUCUCAUCAACUCGAGCAUGUCACUGUUGCUGGAGAGUUUUUCUCCUUGUGCCACAGGAGUGUUAGCAGGUUUGCUAUUUGUCAUGCAAAUCUUGCUUAAAUUUUUUGAAGCAAAAGACUGUUGGCUUAUGAAGAUGCCAUGUUCAUUCUAUUUCACUUCCAUACCAAGGAAGUAGGUCAUCAAUCCUAGAUUAGUCAUCUUGAAAACAUCUUGCAUUUGCUUCUUGAAUUCUUCAAUCAACUCACUUCUACAACCAGUAACCAACAAGUCAUCCACAUACAGAGACACAAUCAACAAGGUUUCUUUCUCAACCUUCUUUACAUAGAGUGUAGGCUCAUUAGUUCUCUUCUCGAACCCCAGCCUUGACAGGUAAGCAUCAAUCCUGUCAUACUAGGCCCUUGGAGCCUGUUUUAGGCCAUACAAGGCCUUCUUGAGCUUGUAAACCUUGUGCUUUUCACCAAGAACCUUGAAUCUAUCAGGUUACUCAACAAAGAUCUCCUCAUUGAGAAAUCUAUUCAGAAAACUGAUUUAACAUCCAGCUGAUGCAUUUUCCACUGCUUCUGAGCAGCUAAGGCAAACAACAACCUUAUGGUGUCUAGCCUUGCAACUGGUGCAAAUGUUUUAGAGAAAUCGGUGCCAUACUGUUGACUAUCCCUUUCACAACUAGUCUUGCCUUGUGCUUGUUCAGUGACCCAUCUGCAUUGUUCUUGGUCCUGAACACCCAUUUUACACCAAUAACUUUCCUAUUUACUUGCAUGUUAACCAGCUCCCAUGUGUCAUUUUUGUGAAUCAUCUUCAUUUUUGCCUCUAUUGCUUCUUUUCAAUAGCCUUCCUUUGCAGCCUUAUCAAAGUUAGAAGGCUCAACAAUGGUCAUAUCACACCUAUCGUAGAUGUCCAUAAUAGUCAUUGUACCUCUAACAGAUACAUCAUCAUAAUCAUCCUCAAUUUUAGCUUCAGUCUUAGCAUGCUACAAAUCAAGAUCAUGCUGGUCUUGCUCAAACAAGCUUGCAUUUGCUCCAUCCCAUUUCCAACAGUUGCCCUCAUUGAAUUUCACAUCUCUGCUUAUAAUAAUCUUCUUGGUGGAUGGAUCAAAGACCCUGUACCUUUUUUAUGCUACUAUAGCCAACAAAGACUCCAGGUAUGGACCUUUUUUCUAGCUUGGUUCUCUUCUCAACUGGCACCAAUGUGUAGCAUAUGCAGCCAAACACUUUCAAGUGUGAAACAAUUGGCUUAUGUCCAAACCAAACUUCAAAUGAAGUUUUACCUUUGACUGCAUUAGUUGGCAGCCUAUUUAGCAAAUACACAAAUGUAUUACUGCCUCGGCCUAAAAAUUGUUAGGCAUUUUGCCUUCAAACAAUAGACCCUGGCCAUAUCGAGAACAGUCAUGUUCUUUCUCUCACAAACACCAUUAUGUUGUGGUGUGUAAAUGAUGAUUAAUUGGUGCUGAAUUCCAGCUUUAUCACAAAUCUUCUGGAACCUUUGAGAUACAUAUUCAGUCUCAUUAUUAGACCUCAAUAUCUUUAACUUGCAACUGGCUUGAUUCUCAGCCAAUGCCUUGAACUUGUAAAAGAAAUCAACCACAUUUGACUUUUGUUUUAGAAAGCUUACCCAACAAAAUUUGGUGCAAUCAUCAAUGAACAAUGCAAAAUACCUACUGUCAUUCAAAGAGGAGGUCUUCAUAGGUCUACAAAUGUCUGUAUGGACCAAUUAGAGCCUUUCUUAAGCUCCCCAAGCUCUAUUAAAAGGAAAAGGUAGUCUGGUCUGCUUGCCAAACUGGCAGACUUCACACACAUCAUUUCUAGGCUCGAUCUUGGACAUGUCUUCAACUAGGCUCAUCUUGUGCAGUAAACUUAGUGAAUUAUAGUUCACAUGCCUCGGCCUCUUGUGCCACAAACAUGAUUCAUCAGUUAGAGCUAUAUGUGCCUUUGCUUUUAACUGAUUCACAAUGCAUAGCUACUGUCACUAGCACUUGAUCAAAAGCAUCCUUAAUCAGACAAGUCUUUUCUUCAAAAAUAAGGGAAUAACCCUUCUCUAACAACUGACCAACAUUAAGUAGAUUCUAGUUAAUAUAAGGUACAAAAAGAACUUCUAAAAUAGUUUUGUUACCUGACUGAGUGCAGAUCACAGCCUUGCCUUUACCUUUGGCCUCGAUAAACUCACCAUUUUUAAUUUUGACUUUGGACACAAAACUGGUGUCUAGCUCCCUGAACAUGCCUUUAUCUGAAGCUAUGUGAUGAGUGUAGCCACUGUCAAUUAACCAAUUCUUCCUAACUUUGCUUGAACUUGCAAAACAAGAGGCAGUGAAAUCAUACUCCUCUUGAGCUUGAAUAUCCUCAGUAGCUUGAGCUUGAUUCUGUUGCUGUGGUUGUGUUUUUGCUUUGUUCCUGCAAACUUUUUUCAAUGUGGCCAAGUUGCUUGCAACUUCUACAUUGAAUGUUAGGCCUGUACCAACAGUACUUUUCUUAGUGAGUUGACUUUUCGCAGUGAGUGCAUGGUGGAAACUUCCUUUUAGUAGCAUCCUUCUUUCUUUUUUCUUUCUUUUCUGACCAAGGCCUCUUGCCCUUGUUGCUUGAGCUCGAGCUUGAGCUUUCUCUGCUUCUAUCUUGAAAGGCUCCUUCAGAAUUCUCCUCCAUUCUAUUUGCUCUUCUUUGCUCUUGUGCAUAGAGAACAUUUAUCAGCUUUGUCAAGGGUAUAGCUGAUAGGUCCCUAGAGUCCUCCAAAGAAGAGAUUUUUGACUCAUACUUCUCUGGAAGAGUUGUAAUGACUUUUUCAACUAUCCUUUUGUCACUGAACUAAUCCUCAAGAAGCCUUAUGUUUUUUACUGUAGCCAUAAUCCUGUCAGCAUACUAGUUGAUGGUUUCUGACUCUUUCAUCUUCAGAUUCUCGAAGUCCCUUCUCAGGUUUAUCAACUGCUACUGCCUGGUCUUAUCUGACCCUUGAAACUCUUCCUUGAGUCUGUCCCAAGCCUACUUUGGAGUGUCAAAAGCCAUUAUCCUUAUGAAGAUCACAUCUAAAACUCCAUUUUGAAGGCAUGACAUAGCCUUAUACUUUUUGGCACAGUCCUCAUUGUGCUGCCUAAUUUGAGCUAUGGUUGGAUUAGCACUCAAAGCUGGUGGCUCUAUGUCAGCUAGAACAACGCUCCACAAAUCAUGAGCCUGCAGAUAUAUCUUCAUUUUCACAGCCUAAAUGUUGCAGUUUUCACCAGCAAAGAUAGGUGGUGGUGGUGGUGAGAAACUCAUUCUUCUACAGCAACUAAAAUAAGCCAACAAAAACAACUUUUGUUUCUUUUCUUUCAAGCAUGAGUCACUCAAGGGAUAGCUUAUAGCAAAAUGCCCUCAAAGAUGAUAGGCUCUUGAUACCAUUUGUUGAGUUUAAAUCAUUAAACAAGAAUCAAAACAAAGAAUUCGUGUUUGAGAGAUGAAAAAGAAAAGUAAAAAUCAUAUGUUGGAUUGAGAGAAGAAGAUGACUUAUCUCAUUACUUGAAUAAGUAACAUAACAUAUAAAUAAAUAGUUCUAUUAUAUUAGAAGAAAAUAAACAUUGCUUGUGCAAGUAACCAAGCUGUAAAAUUAGCUUAAUGAUAAUCUAAAACCUACUAAAUCUGCUAAGUACAUGGCUGAACCUCAACAAAACAAAAAGUUACAAUUAAAUCAAACAUAAGUCACAUGUUACAAAAGUUCAAUGACUGAAAUACACCAUGGACAUUUGCAUGCUGCUGUAUCGUUGCCAACUUUCAACAAUAUCGGCAGUUCUGUAACUAAAACCAUGAAAAAAGAGAGAGAGAUCAAUCUACUUUAAUAUUGUUUUCAGCAAUGUUAUUGCACUAAUGUUCUUGGUCAAUCUGUAGCUAUUACCGGCCAUAAAGUAAGCCCAAUUAUGUUUCCAAUCUGUUGUCAUCCUUGUUAGAAGCACAGGCAACAAUUCAAGCUCACUGCGAUUUGACACUCCAAGAUAUUGAAGAUUGGAAAGACGAGUAAGAGACGCAAGUAUGCUGGUGAAAUUGUUACCACUAAGAACAAGAUAUCUCAAUGAGGAUGGACCAGAAAUAUCGCUAGGAAUAUCUCCUUCACCCAUAUUGCAGAGGCUGCAAUUUGACAACCUAUCUUUAAGCUUGAAGAGUUGAGCAAGAGAUGCCAAUAUGCUGUUGAAAUUAUUACCGCUAAGAUCAAGAUCUUCCAAAAGAGGAUAGAAAAGAAAUAGUACUAGGAAUAUCUGCUUCACCAAGAUUGUAGUCCUUUAGUUUCAAGUUCGUUAAUGAACUCAAACUAGAUAAUGAAGGUUGCAUUGGAGCUAUGGAAUUCAUCCUUCUUCUUCGGCUUACCUUGAAAGAAGAAAGGUGAUUUCUUUUUAACAUAGACAGACCCUUGCAUCCAUCGAAAGAAAAAACUUUAAGAUUUUUCAAUUGAGAAAUGAAGGGUGGUGGUUCUUUUAUGGCUGUUUCACUCAAGUCAAGCUCUUCCGAAGAUUCUGCCUGCUGCAAAUUCUCUGGCAAAUGUUCAACUUUAUAACAACCAAAAAGAUUAAGAGUUUUUAGAUGUUCCAUUUUCCCAUCAAUCUCUGGAACCUUGGCAAGAUUUGAGCAACUGGAAAGAAUUAAAGUUUCAAGGGAUUCCACUGCAAUUUUGGUUGGAAGACUCUUAAAUCCAAAAGUUUAAGUCUCUUAAGUAGUCCAAGCGACGGAUGAGCAUCUACUAAUCUGAUACAACCUUCCAUAAUCAGAACUUCGAGAUAUGGGGCUAUUAUUAAUGGUAGUAACAUUUUAAUUAUUUUAAUAUACUUUUAUUUUUAGAAAUUUUGUACCAUUCUUUUGUUUCAUGUCAUGUUCGAAAAAGAGUUUGAAUAAUAGAUUUGGAGUACGAAAAAAUGGCUCAUUUAAUAUUAUAAUAAUAUUUGUUACAUGUCAAAUCGGUUUCAUGUCGUCUUAAUAUCUGGAAUUUGUUUUCUAAUUAUUAUUAUUAUUAUUAUUAUUAUUAUUUUAAAACAUUGUUAUACGUUCUUAUCAUCUUCGUUCUUUUUUAUAUAAUGCCUAGAACUAUCCGUAGUCCCUCUCUCACCCUUAAAUAGGAGGAUAACGCGCUUCAGCAUACUCAAACUCACGUCCUCCUGCACUAGUAACAAUAUUGAUGCCAAUCGAGUUAGGACUCAAACCCACGUGUUCUUAAACGACUAGGUUUGACGACCCUAGGAAGUUAUCAUAGGCUAGACGAGGUCAGGAGAUAAGCGAGUAUAAACCAAUCGAUUACUUAAUUAGAGCUCGGGAGGUAAUAAUUGACUAAUUAGUAGCUAAUCUAUCCUAAAACCCUAAUCUGAAGUUUAUUACAAAUCUUGAAGCGAGUUAAUCUUCCUGAUUGGUUUAUUAAUUUUAGUGGAUUGUUAUUUUUCUUAUUUAAAUUCUCUCAUUAAUCUAUUUUAUGGUUUAUCUUAAUAUAGAGAUUAAUUACUACUACUUAGACUUAUUAUUGUAAAAAAGUUUCCGUAAAUUUAUUCCAUCCUCUUAGGUACGGUCCUCAAAAUACUUCCAAAUAUUUUAUUGUACUAACUUUAUUAUACUUUGACCCGUGCAUUUGCAAACACCGCUAUUCUAAAUUCUUAUAUAUUUUUGGUGUAUUAUUUUAAUAUAAACAAUAACCCCUUUACCACUCCCUUGGCCCACUUUAGCUACAGACCCCUGCUUCAAACGAAUUGGGUCAGUGGUCCGACCUUCCCCACUACCUCCAGCCUCAACGAAGACACCCUUUCCUUUUUUAUUAGCUUCCAGAAUUAUCUCCCUUAUUUCCUCCCAUCAUUCCCCAAUAUCAUUGACAGAAUCAAGAACUUUAAAUCUGGAAUCCCCAAUCAAAACCCCCGAAUUAGCGUUGCCUGGCUUCCAAGGAUCCCUAAAAUUACGCCUUAACUUUCUCUCCACAAGCAUCCUUGGUCCGUAGACUGGUGACUCCUCUGGUCUAUCAUCUUCCACCAUCACCUGCCAUAUCCGCCAUAGAGUGUUUCGCAUAAGCCCUCGAAGCCCCCCUGUUCUUGUUGGAGUUGGAAUCCUCAAUUGUAAAAGUCGCUGUAUAAAAUAUUUCAACCAUUAAUCAAACAAUAACAGAGAAACUUAACUAAAUAGGAGAAAAAAUCAAUUUGUACGAAAGGGCUAGUGAAGUAGUUUACACAAUUAUUGCUUCUUCCCUGAUCGGUCCGUUAUAAAAUUGAAAAUGUUUUGCAUCCUUUUAGGGUGCGGCCCUUCUUCCUCUGUUUCCACGUCGAUAUCACGUUUUCGUUUUACAAGGGAAGUGCUGCCUGCGGAUCCAUCGUUUUCAGUAGAGUGAUGAUGGAUAUGUUCCAAGUUUGGAGAAGAUUGAAUGGCAUGGCACUGCAGCUCUUCUAUUUCUUCCAAAUCUUUCUCAUACAUUAUUCUAACACCACACUUCUUCACCUUAACAGAAGGAUACCCUUUUGGAGAAGAUUGGAAAGACAUCUCAAGCGAUAAAUUAUUGGUUUCACAUUUAUCCUUUAAGGAUAAUGCCGAGAAAUAACGAAGAUAAAGGUGGUCCUUCGUUAUGCAUCGUCCAACAAAAUUAAGGAAACUGAAAUCGACCUUUCGACUAUUUUUAACUUGAAAAACAGAUCCAUUACUACUAGAUUGUCCAGAAUAUCUAGAAUGGAUAUAAGUUGGACCACCGAUAACCUUUAUCUCGGAACCUUUAUCAUCGCCGAAAAUGCAGCAGAAAGCAACUCCAAUCCAUCGACUGUCAUUCUGAAUAUUGAGAGGCAAAGGUAUUUCGAUUACAGAGCCGCCUCUCUGUUGGCUGAACCAUUCUGGGAUUUCAUUUCCAGGUAUAAUAACAUCAAAUCUUUCUCUUGAUUUCGCAAAUGCCUGCAAAUUAAAACAUCAGUCGUUCUUGAAUUUGCAAAAUAAAAUAUCGGUGGUUUUGUAACUAAAACCAUGAAAAAGAAUAGAUCAAUCAAUCAACCUUAAUAUGUGUUUUCAGCAAUGUUAUUGCACUCAUGUUCUCAGCCAAUCUGUUGCUGUUAAUGGCUAAAAAGUAAGACCAAUUAUGUUUCCAAUCACUUGUCUUCCGUGUUAGAAGCACAGGCAACGAUUCAAGCUCUCUGCAAUUACACACUCCAAGAUAUUGAAGAUUGGAAAGACGAGCAAGAGACGCAGCUAUGCUGGUGAAAUUGUUACCAUUAAGAUACAGAACUUUCAAUGAGGAUAGACCAGAAAUAUCACUAGGAAUAUCUCCUUCACCCAUAUUGCACAGGCCGCAACUUGACAAACUAAGUUCUUCAAGCUUGGAGAGUCCGGUCAGAGAUGCCGGUAUUCUGUUGAAAUUGUUAUCUCUAAGAUCAAGAAAUGCCAAAGAGGAUAGACAAGAAAUAGCACUAGGAAUAUAUCCUUCACCAAGAUUGCAGCCCCUUACUGCCAACUUUGUUAAUGAACUCAAACCGGAUAAUGAAGCUAGCAUUGAAGCUAUGGAAUUCAUCCUUCCUCUUUGGCUUACCUUGAAAAGAGAAAGGAGAUUUCUUUUUAACUUGCACGGACCCUUGCAUCCAUCGAAAUAUAGAACUUUAAGAUUUUUCAAUUGAGAAAUGAAGGAUGGUGGUUCUUUUAUGGCUGUUUUACUCAAGUCAAGCUCUUCCAAAGAUUCUGCUUGAUGCAAACUCUCCGGCAAAUAUUCAACUUUAUAACAAUCAUAAAGAUGAAGAGUUUUUAGAUGUUCCAUUUUCCCAUCAAUCUCUGGAAACCUUGCAAGAUUUGAGCAACCCGAAAGAAUUAAAGUUUCAAGGGAUUCCAUUCCAAUUUUGGUUGGAAGACUCCUAAGACUUUUGCAAUCUCUUAUAUUCAAAAGUUUAAGUCUCUUAAGCACUCCAAGUGAUGGAUGAACAUCUACUAAUCUAGUACAACCUUCCAUAAUUAAAACUUCGAGAUAUGGGGCUGUUGUGAAGUUUGUUGUCUUGAUGAGAUUUUGGGACCCUUUAAGGUUGAUUAUUUUCAACUUAUACAAGGGCUGUGGAAAACAAUAAUAGAUUAGAGAGAAAAGAGAAAACAACAUAAUUAACCUCAUUAUUAUUAUUAUUAUUAUUAUCUAGUUCAGAUUUUAAUCGUUUAUAAUAUUAAACAAAUUAAUUGGUUAUAUUAAAAUAAGCUAAAACAUAAGGAUUAGAUGAAUUUAAUUCUUACUCUAUUUCCCUUCCACAGUUGUUCAAUGCGACUAUAUGGUAAGAGAAGUGCGACAAGGUUGUCCGGUUGAAAGCUUGAAGGCAAUGAUCUUAAAGGAUAUUUUGUCCAAUCUAAAAGUCGUAGCUCAUCAGAAAGAUAUUUGAGAUCAUCACAAUUUGAGAGGCAAAGCACUCUGAGCAAUCUCAAUCUUUUCAUCUUCGAGAAGACAUCGUCACUCAAAUUGAGCAUCCUGCUUGAUUCCCUAAAAACCACGGGCAAACAGAAAAUGAGCAUUAAAAUAUACAAAAACAUUCAAUACCUAAAAGCUAUGUUUCUCCAAUACUAUUUUUCAAGGACUUUUAUCCGAUACUUAUAUCUAACAUAUGUCCAAAUAUAAGCAUUGAUAUAUGAUCCUUCAAGAACUCUUUAAAUACAUGAAAAGGACUUUUAAAAAAAUCAUACAUACCCAAUUUAGACAUAUAUAUAUAUAUCAAACACUCACUUUUGACUUCGAAUUACUUAAAGCUUUAGAAACUAUAAAUAAAUCUUGAAUUAUAUUAGUGCAAUGAUAAUGCGUAAUUCUAUUUUUAAAAACUUUGAUGACAUAUUAAAAUCUUACUCUCUGUGAUAUACUAUCCGUACAUUAAAUAUAAGCACUUAAUAUUAGCAAUGAUAUAUCUCUAUCGUGUUUCUUUUGAAAGAUUAAUGCGUUGCUAGAUAAAUUUCAUAAAAAUAAUAUUAAAUAUUAAGCAUUAAAGGUAUUUUCAUUGAUUUUUAUUGGAUACUUUUACUAAAAAAAAACACCAAUAACAAUAUUAAUAAUACACAUCAUAAAUGUAUAUAUAUAUUUUCUUACCCUUGAUUGUCGAUGAUUAUGCCUUCAAUUAUUUCCGUAACCUAAAAAAAGUAAGAAUAGAGACUAAAUUAUUUUAAUUAAAGUAAAACAUUUCCAAUGAGAGGAUGGAAUUAAUUACUUAUUUUUUCAAAUCCUUAUUAACAGUUACCAUCAACAAAAGGAAUUCAUCUCAAUGCUAUUGAACGUCACUUUUUUAUGGACUGCUAUAUUAAUCAACUGUACUAAGCCUUACUCCAUUUUAUUCCAGAAAUAAAGUAAAACAUUUUCUAAUGAGAGUAAAUCAAUCAAAUUAAACACUUAUUUUAUAAAUCCUUAUUAAUAUUUAUAUUCAACAAAUGGAAAUUAUCUUAAAGCUACUCAAUGUCACUUAAGGAUUGAUAUGUAAACCAAUUAAACUAAGCUUUGGAUUUACAUCAUAUAUUGAUAAAAAGAAAACUUUAUAUGUAAUUUUUGUUGAAUGAUUUACCGUAUUUUUUGUUAGGACAUGAUGGACAUCCCUUUCCUUCCACAAUCUGCAACGUUUUCCAGGUUCAUCAACACAUUUUCUUCAACAAUUUUUCUUCCCAUUUCUUGCAACAAGGCAUGCAUCCGCAAAUAUUGGUUGUCAUCACCGACUUUUAUGAGAGAUUUCUUAAUGAGAACAUCGAUUCCAAUAUCUGGAAAACAGUCACAACCAUCCAAUACUUUCAUUACCAAAUCUUUCUCCUCCCCAUUGAAAAAGCAUGCUAUAUCUAGAAAUAUAUUCUUCUCCCUUUCUUCCAAUCCAUCAAAGCUAAUUCUUAGUGUGUCAAGAAUUUCUUUGUUAGAAUCUUGAUUAAGUCUUUCGAUUGCACUUCUCCAUUGAAUUAUAUCUCUACCGCACAAAAAUGAACCCAAAACUUCAAGAGCUAAGGGCAGACCAUCAGCAUAAUGUACAACUUGUUUAGAAAGCUCAAUGAAAUCAUAUUUCGGCGUUGUAUCACUAUCAAAAGCUUUCAAAUUGAAAAGCCUAAGUGCAUCGUUGGGAUUCAGUGUUGUAGGCUUAUACACAUCAUCGAUUCGAUAAGAUCUGAGCAAAUGUUCAUCUCUUGUUGUUACAAUGAUCCUACUCCCUAAACUGAACCAAUCACGCCUUCCAACCAAGCAUUUCAAGUGUUGUACGUUAUCAACAUCAUCAAGAACAACAAGAACCUUAUUUCUAGACAACCUAUGGCUAAUUAUGGCAUUCCCUUCAUGAACAUUGAAAAAAUUGAAGCAUUCGUCUGGAAAGAUUUGAGAAAGGAGUUGUUUCUGUAAAGAAACAAGUCCAUGUUUGUUUGAAACUUCUCGAACAUCAGCAAGAAAGCAUUUACCUUCGAAAUGAGGUAACAUUUGAGUGUAAGCAACUUUUGCAAGAGUUGUUUUACCGAUGCCACCCAUUCCGCAAAUUCCUAUAAUGCGGACAUCGUCUUCCCCAAUGUUUAUUUUCGAAUGCAACUCCUCCAAAGGUAAACUAAUUCCAACCAACUCAUCAUGAACAAUCAGAUAUGUCUGACAUAGUUUUGCUGAAAUCUUCUUAACAACGUCUCCGAUAAACUUUGAUUCAUGCCUACAAAGAAAUUAAAUUCUGAUGUUAUCUUUCAAAUGAACUUUUUCAUUUUUAGGUAAGUGAAUCAUGAAAUAUAAUGUAGUUGGAAGCAAACAAAAACAAGAAUAAGACAGCAAGAUCUGUUAUAGCAUCAAAAUACACAACUUGCUCGUUAGUUGAUCUAACGCCCACUUCAGAUUUGUUAAAUUUUGUCAUCAAUCAGUAUUUGUAUUAGUGGUUUAGUGUCUUAGUGUUGUUUGUGAGGUCUUGGGUUUAAGUCAUGUUUUUAUUUUGGGGAAUUAAAUUAUUUUUGUUAGACCUAGGUUAAUUGUUUUGGUUGGUGGUGUGGGAUUGGGUUUUGUUUUAAACUCUUAAAAAACGAUGGUAAGUUAGCAGGUUGUUGGAUUAGAUUUGAGAGGGAUUUUGUUCUUAUUUUUAUUCUUUUAUUCUUUUUAUUUUAGGUUGUUGGCUUCUUUACCUUCUUGUUUCGGUUCUUUUGUUACUUCUUUAUGGUGUAGCUUCUAUUUGGUUGGCCCCAAUCCUUAGCGGUAAGGUUCUAUCAUCUUUUACUGUGUUCUUUUGUGAAAUUGUUCGUUGGGCAUUUGGGGAUUUCGGAAUUUUGUUUGUAUGGUGCGAAAUUUGUAUUUUUUUGUGUUAUCUAAUUAAUCCGCUAUGUUUUAGGAGAAGUUCAAGAUGCGUUUUGUGUUCCUCCAGCGACUUAGGAUUUGCAUAGAAGCUGUUCGUUUAAUGGUAAGUAUGUGGAUGUAUUUUUGGAGGGUUGUAUAAGCUCGGUUGUGGUCAAUUCUUUGUUAGAUUUCGCAAAUCAUUAUUAAAAUUGGUUGUGUUAAUUGUCAAUUUAGGUGGGGGAUUACUCAUUUUUGGAAUCGUAUUCGGAUGUGUAAUGACCCGAAAAACAACAAAUGACAAAAGUUGAAAAACUGCACUGUCGACGCCACAUGGCCCUGUGAGAAAUUAUGUAGCCACAAAGUCUGGGCCAUUUGGACCCGUGUUGCCCACACGGUCGUGUGUGAGACUGUAUGGGCCCAAUAUUUUGAAUUUUCCCUAGUGCCAUAAACAUCAUUUGGGUCGAACGUAUGUUAUAAAUUAAGUAAAAUCUAUAAUAUGCUAUGUAUGAUCUGAUAUACGGUAAGCAUGACUUGAGUUUGAUAUUAAGCAUGUAUGACAUAUACAUUUUCGACAUCUAUGAUUACUAUAUGUUUGUGCAUUUGGGGAUGGGAUUGUGUAUAUGGAGGAAGUGUGAACAGAUAUAUUUCUACCGUAUUUGGUGGCACAACCAUACAUAUUUAUGUAAACGGCGAUAAAUCGCUUAAUAAACUGGCAACUCAACUACAAAUAAUUUGAAAAGUGUCAUACCGACGCUAAAUGGUGUGUAGGGAUGGAUGAGUAUAUAAUGUCAUAUAUGGUGCCUUGGGAUGAUCGGAGAUGAUGUGUAGCGGGUGGGGGUAGAACUAUAAAUUUGCAUCUAUUAUGUUCUAAUAAGCUCUGUUUCUAAUAUAUGUAUGUCUAAAUGAUUUCUGUAUGUGAUGUUACACAUUGGGUUUCGAAAACUCACUCUCUGUUUGACUGUCACUUUCAAGUAACCCUCAAACUUAGGCGGACUAGUGCGAUUGAAGCUUGGUUAUAAUAUUUUGAUUUCUUCUAACUUACUUAAAAUUUGGAAUUUACGUGUUUUAAAAAAUUUGGUCUGUCUUUGGUCAUUUUGGGACUGUUUAAAUUAUUGGACUUUACUUUAUGAUUUUAAUUGUUUUAUUGUUUUUGGUGGGAUUAUAAUAUGUUAUGUGAAAUGUUGAUUUAAAAAUAUUAAACUGUGUUUUAAAAACUGUACUUAAAUAAGAUUUUUCCCCUGCAAACUCAAAUGUUUUAAAAAUAUACUUAUGUAUAAACGACGAUUUUAAUAAUCAGAUAAGAAAGAUAAGCUUACAAACAAAUCAGAUUUUUAUGUAACGAAAGUUAACGACGUUUUGUAAAACUAAUGUACUCAGGGUUUUUAUAUAAUUUACAGUAAUAUCUCCGGAUCUAACCAUAACGUUUAGACCAAGUUUAGAGUGUUACAACUAAAAUAUGAUAAUUCUCAAUUAAAAACAAAGUUAUAAAAAAUAACAUGCAAUCCAAAAUAAUAAUAAUAAUAAUUUUUUUAGUCAUUAAAACUAGGAAAUAGAGAAGAAAAGAAAGAAAUACCUAUUAUGUAAAUGCCAUCCCUUGAUGUUAGCCACUUCAGUCAAAGCAUUUCGCCACUUUUGGAUCUUGUCUUUAUUUUCUUUGCAUCUUUCUUCGUGUUUGGAGAAGGCUUCUUCAACUUUUCCUUUUUGUUUUCUUAAAUCAGAGGGAUCCACAUCGUAGAAAAUUGGAAAUACUUUAUGACCCUUGUCAUUUUUUUGUUUAACAAUCUCGGCAAGCUCCUCCAAGCACCAACCUGAAAAGGCAUAGGUUUCCGAAAAAACGAUUACCGAGCACCAUGAUUGCUGAAUUGCGUUGAAGAGUUCCGGUGCGAUCUCUUCACCAGCUUCCAACUUUGGAUCAUCUCUAAAAGUGACAAUCCCAUUUCUAUUUAGAGCAUCGUAGAGAUGAUCCGUAAAGUUCUUGCGAGUAUCUUCACCUCUAAAACUCAAGAAAACAUCGUAUUUCUUUCUAGAAAUGGAUGAGGAAGUCGAAAGUAAUGACGACAUGAGGAUGUAUGAGAAGAAAAAUAUAUGUGAAUGUAAUGUUCAAAAUCAGAAAACAGAUGGCUCAAUACCUCAGAAACAAAGUAGAAACAGUAAGUAUAUGAGGGAAAAACAGAGGACUUCGUAAGGAAUUUCUGUGUACUUUGCCAAAUGAAUCUAUCAGUAUAAUAAUAGCUAUGAAAGGGAGUAGGUGUGGAAAUUCGGGGUUAUAGGUGUGGAGCCUACAAUUAUUAUAAAGUGAAGUGUUGGAAAUUCUAUUGGAAAUUUGACGUUUUACUUUAUUAUUCAAAAUAAUAACUAAUUAACUAAUAUUUAUUAAGUGAUAAUUAAUAUACUUAAAAUUCUAUUAAAAAAUAAUUCUAUUUUAUAUCAAUAAAAUUAACAUAACUUUUGUUUAUGUCAAAAAAAAAAUUUAAUAAUGAUAAAUUAUAAUUAUAAUUAUCACAAAUUUUUUUCCCUAUAUUUUAUUCUUAAGGUUCUAUUGAAGUUAUAACUCAAUUUUAACAUUAGUACAAGUUUUUUAAAUUAAUAAUUGUAAUUAUUUUUAGAUGGGUAAUUAUCACAACUUCUAUUAAAUUAUACUUAUUUUAUUUUGAUAAAAUGCCUAAAAUUAUCCAUAACGCUUCCCCAACCCUUAUAAAUGCACUUCAACAUGCUUGAACAUACAUCCUCUUGCAUUAGCAAUAAUAUCGAUGUCAACCGAGAUAAACUCAGUCAGCAAUUAUAAUUUUUUUAAAUGUAUAAUUAUCAAAAGUUUUAUUUUGUUUCAACUUUCUUUAACCAAUAAUUCUAAAUUAAAUAUUAUAAUUAUUUUUAAAUAUAAAUUUAAUAAUAUGAACGAAAAAAAAUGGUAUUCUCGUCAAUUCAAAAUCAAAAUUCCUAUUAAAUUAUAAUUUAUUUUUAAAUAUGAAUUAGUAAUAUAAAAAAAAUAGAGGUUAUUUUCAAAAUUAUUUUCAAACUCCUUGUUAUAUAUAUAUAUACAAAUUACGCACUCAUCUUCCUUUCUAAUAAAUUAACAAGUGCCAAAUUAUUCAACUCCGCUUGAUUAGUGCUGUUCAAAUCUGCUUUAACUUUACCUCCAUAAUACGCGGAGACCACGAAAAGCACUCAUUCCUUAAUACCAUAGUUCCCACGACGCCACUAUUGAAAACAAAGGCAUUUCUAUUGGUCAAAAGUCUCCAGCGGGCCAUAGCAAAAAGAUUACCCCAUUCACAGAAAAAGCAGCUUGAGUUUCGGAGAAAUUCACCGUUCUCCCAUUUCCUAGUGCCCAAUAGACACCAUCCACUACAUCUUCCCAAAUAUUGGACAAAGCCCUCCAGAAAAAAGUUUCUAUCUUUUCUUGAUUGGUUCAACAUUCAUUAAAAUAGUUUCCAAGGCUCUUUACCCAUUGCCUUAACAAAUUUGCAUUGGCUGAAAAUUUUCAACUUUGGUGGCAACAACUUCAAUAGAGAAAUUCCAUCAUGGUUUGGUCACUUUGCUGAGUUUCGAGUCUUACAGUUGCACAUUAACAAUUUCAGUGGCACUAAAAAAUAUAUAAACCAACACUUUAGUUUUAGCUCAUUCGUACAUCUCACAAAGAAAUUAAGGAUGAGGAGAUAUCUAACUCUAUUAUUCGCCAACUAUGGGAUUAUGGAGGUGACUAUGAGUUUUUUACACCAAUUAAGAGUUGCAUUGAAAAUCUUACAUUUUUUAGGAAUAUUAUUAAAGCAGGUUAUUCCAAUUAGCUUAUCUAAGAAGUUGGCUUAAUUGACAUCAAUUAAUUGGUAGAUGGCUCAAUUGUCAUAAAUAGAAAAAAAAUAUUUACUCUUAACUUUGCUAGAGCUAAACUUAAUGGUUAUUGUUUUAAAGUCAUGCUUCAAUAUUUAAACAAUUGUUCAUAGAAAUUGAAUAAGAAUGAACGAAUAAAACAAUAGCCAUGAAUUGCUUACAUUUGAGAUUGUUAUCAUCGAGAUACCAAGUGUUGAGCAUAGUUAAAAUUUCGAUUUCUGUAGGUAUAUAUACUUCCCUCUAAAUUGUUGAUAUACAAGGAUAAAAGCUUCAACUUUUUGCACUUGAAUAAGCUAUUUGGAAUUCUAUUAAAAAUUUGAUUCUCACUCAAUUUUAACUUUUCUAGUUUUGACAAAAUUUCCCAAAUAGAUGGAUAAGACCAGUGAAGUUGUUAAUGUGCAACUAUAAGACUUGAAGUUCAGCGAUGUGACCAAACGACAAUGGAAUUUCUCCAUUGAAGUCGUUAACCCCAAACUUCAAAAAUUUCAGUCGAUACAAAUUUGUUAACGCAAUAGGGAAAGAACUAUGGGAACUGUUUUCAUGAAUUUAGAGCCACGCAAGGAAAGAUAGAUUUUCCAAUUGAGAUGAAAUGGUGCCUGCGAUAUUCAUGCUUGAUAAAUUUAGAGUGGUGAUUUUGUGGUGUCUGGAUCCGUAUGUGAGACCAAUUCGGUUAUAAAUAGAGGUAGAAGUAGACCAAUUUGAUUAUUAAGAGGUUGUAAGGAUCAUGAGUUAUAUGAGAAUUCAGUUCUAGAAUGGCAGGUUGAUCAGUGGUGAUUUUGGGUGAAUUCACAGACAAAAUAGCCUCAAAGGUUACUAUUUGGCAGAGAAUGAGAUACACUGUAAAAGCCAAUUCCACUAAUUAUCCUCUUGGAUUUCAACACCUGAUAAGGCUCUCACCCAAAAAAGAGCUCUAAGCUUGGCAAGAAAGAGAGUCUCUUCAACCAGAACAAGUUUCGCAUUAAAAGUAAAAUCGUUACGCGGCAGUCAUAUCGACCAUAACCCCGCUGCACAGCAGAGGAGCCACCACUGUUUAAUAUCACCAUUAAACAUCCAGCCAUUGCAUUCAACAAAAAAAACAAGGAUUGAUGGUGAUAGACAGCCUUCAAUCCCCCCACAACGACAAAGUACAGUACCAAAAAUUACGCAUCAAGGAACAACUAAACAAUAAAUGGUCUGACGUUUCCAGAUCAGAGCUACACCAAGCUGGGAAGUUGAGAAUGAGAUCAAAGAAAUGCAAGAGAAAGUUGAUACUUUGCAAGAUCCCAGUUCGUUCAUCGCCGAGGGAAAAGCUUAUAAUUAUUCUCUUCUUUUAACAACAUAUUAUCUUUAAUAUUUAAAACAAGGAUAAACUGCACUUUUAGUUUUCGUUUUGUCCCCAAGUAACAAAAUGAUAACAUGGUAUUAAUUAUGUAAAUGGUUAUUUUUAAAUCCUUAAUCAUAUGGUCCCCCAAGGUUUUUACAUUGUUUUGUUUCUUUUGUCACCCAACCGAUAGUUGAGUAACAAAAUAAUAAUAUGACAUUUUUUAAUUGUCAUAAUAACAAAUUUAGCUCUUAAUGUUGAUAUAUUCUAUCAAUUUGGACAUGAUUAUAUAUAAAAGUUAUAAAAAAUUAAAACAAUAAAAAAUUCAAAAAAUAUAUAAAAAUAAGUAAGAAUUCAAAAAAAUUAUAUAAAAAAUUAAAAAAAUGAUGAGAGAUACAUAAAAAUAUAAAAAAAAACUUCAAAAUUUUAAAAAUAAAAAAUUGUUAAAAUUAUAAAAAUCAGUAGCCCACCACCACACAUCAGUCAACAUCUGAUAUAUAUUUUUUGUGUUUCAAGUGUCAAUUGCCAUGUAAAUCACUAGUGGUUUAUAGACAUGACAAAGGUUCACGACUAUUGUAAAAUCCCAUGAGCAAAUAGAAGUUGUAAAUUAAUGUAUAUAUAUAUAUAUAUAAUUAAAAUAUCUAUUAAUAUAUAUAAAUUUGUUGUCCUUAAUGAUCAUUUUGCAUUUUUAUUACAUAUCAUCUCACCAUCAUAAGUGAGUUAUUGAACCAUCAUAAGUGAGUUUACCUUCAAUAACAUAUCUCAUCAUUAAUUUUAUCUCACUGCUAUAGUAUUUAAUUUUAUUACUACCUUAAAUGUAUAUUUAAUCUCUUUAGAAAUAAUUUCACCAUUCAUCCAAAUAAACCUUGUGUAAGUCUCUAGGAUCUUAUUUCCUUUUCGCUCCAUAGCAAGGCAACUAUUAAUUUAUUUGUAGCCUUAAAAAAUUUUAAUUUUAGGAAAAAGGUCAAUAUAUAAAAGUCUUAAAUUUUGUUAUCUAUAUAUAUAUAUAUUAUAAAUUAUCACAUGAUAAGUUCUUUUUACUUUAGAUAUAUAUAAUAAGGGGAAGGAUGACAUGUAAGACUAACAUAAUUUUGCAUGCUUUCUUAACUCUAUUUUUGUAAUUGAUAUUUUAUAUUCACAUGUAAUUAUUAUCUAUUGUUAUUUCAAAUCAAUUAAGUAAAUUAUAAAAUGAUCAUUAAAUUAUUAAUUUUUUAUUUAAUCACUAAAUUUUUUGAAAUAAAAUAUUAUGAUCACUUUUCCGUUAAUUACAGUUUAUUAAUUUAAUAAUAAAUUUAGCCUUCAAAAUCUACUUUUCAGAAAAAAAGUUAUUAAAUGAAUAGUGAGGUGUUAAGGAAUUGUAUACAAUUAUUAAAAGAAGUUUGAUAGGUAAAUUAGAGAGGACAGAGCUUUUGAUGAUAUCUAGUGACUGAGAUUUGGAGUUUAGAUACACAAGGUUGACAUGAAGCAAUGGUGGAGUUGGAAGGCAGUGUUAUUAAAUACUAAAUAAUUGUUUUGUGAAAAUGGGAUAUUUUUACUUUUUUAUCCAUUACAUAUCACUGUUCCUGUCUUCCUUUCCAUGUUUUUGUAAAAAACAGAUUCCCACCAUUCUUUUCUCUUUGGUAAAUGUUGAUUGCUGAGAGGACAAUCUUUUUGCACAUUCCCGAACUCUAUGGACAUGAUUUUUUGCAUCUCAAUCAAAGGUUUGAAAAGUUGAAAUUAUAUUUAGGAUUUUAUUUUACUUCCAAAUGAUAUCCUAGUAUUGAACUUUCAUGCUCGUAUUAUGGACACGAAUAUACAUUAAGAAUACUUAAUUAUGGUAAAUAAGAAUCUAUUUGUACGAUUAAACAAAAACAGGGAAAAAGAGAAACUUAAUUAAAUAGAAGAAAAAAUCUUGAAAAGGCUAGUCAAGUCGUUUACCACAAGUAGUUUAACAUUUGAUAAUUUCAUUCUAUUGGUUUUUAAGUUGAAUACUUCAUUCAUUUGAAACAAUCAUAAUUGUGCAUCAAUUAUGAAAGAAGUCAGAAGAAAAUUGUGCACUAAUCAAAUGCAAUUUUCUUCAAUUUUAUCGUGUCUUUGAGUUGGAGGAAAAGAUGGUCCAAUUGAGAUACACUUGAAAAGUUUAAUGAUGAAUUGAAAUGAAUUCACUAUUAUGUCAUGUCAACACUGUUAAAUUAAUGGUUCAAUCAGCAUUUUGCGUUAAAAAAUUCAUAAUUUGACUUAAUAAAAUGUUGAGAGCCAUAUUACUAAAAAGAAAUGAAUACGGGUCAACUUGUCAAAUUUUAUAAACACUAAGAAUCUUUUUUUUUUAUCAUUUUGCCUAAUUUUAAAGGUUUUAUUUACAUUACAAUUAAAUUACUAUUUGAAUUUGCAUUUUAAAAACAACAUUCAUUUCAAUAUGUAUAAUUUACAUUACAACAUUACAUGAUAAAAACAACUAAUUAUAUUUUGCUAAUUCCCUAAAUUCGUCGGAGCCUAUAAUUGCUAAAGUGUCCGCUUCCAUUCCAACUUGAUGACUUUUGUUGGUCCCCCACUUGCAUGAUCCUUUGAGCAGACUUUCAUGCUUCCAUUGGUCUAGGGGACAAACAUAAAACACCAUCACUAUUUUUGUUGCAUUGAGAUCAUCUAUAUUAACUUACCUCAAAUUGAGAAAUUUUUGUUGAUAUCACAUAAAUACAAUCAUUGAAAAUCUUACUCAUAUCGACCAAAAAUCAUAUUUUUAUUUCUCUAAACAACAACAUUAGACAAUAACAAAAAUGAAAUUAUAGAAUUUUGAAAAAAAAAUUGGAUAUGAAAAUGUCUCUAACACGAAAAAGAUUUUCCAAAUAAUUAAAAGAGCGUACUUUAUUUUUAUAUUUAAACAAGUGUUAAAAAUAAAUGUCUAAACUUAAAAAACUUUGUGAAAAAUAUAAAUUGAAGAGUUGGAAUAAUAUUAUUUAUACUUCAAGCCAUGAAAUUUAAAUGGUUCUUUUGUUAGAAGGAAUUAAACCUAUUUAAGUACUAUUAAAGAUUUAUAUUUAAUCUUUUAAAUGUAUAAAAAAUAAUUUUGACUGAUUAAAUUAAACACAUAAAUUGGUCUCAAAUAAAAAUAAAAUGGUUUUUAACUCAGCCGAAAUUAUGAUCUAAUCCUCAUUAAAGGAUUUUCACCUUAUUAUUACCUGUAUCGUCGUCAAAGCUAUCUACUUUUCUCCACAUUUCUAUCUCAAUUGAUUAUAUUUACUUCAACCUAAAAAUAAAAUAUAGAUGUAAGUGAAUAUAUAUAAUGAGAAUAAAAUUUUAAUAAAAAAAACCAAUCAAAAUGUACACAUUUCAAUUAUGUAAAAAGAAAUGAAUUAAGUGAAUAAAAUUUUAAAUGGUACUUUUUUUAAAAAAAAUUAGUACAUAAUAAAAUGAUCAUAUCUCAUAUGCAAAUAAGUCUAGAAUGAUUACUUUAAAUGAAAUAAAAGAUGUAAACAAGGUAAAUGAGUAAAAAAAUUUAGUAGGACAAGGUUGGUUAAGUAAUUUACCAUAGCUAAUGCGUCUCUCCGGAUUGGCCAAUUAUGAAAAAUUGAAAAAAAGUUGCAUCCGUUUUGGUUGCGGCCCUUCUUCCUCCGCUUCAUCGUAGAUAUUUGGUUUCUAUUUUGUGUGAGAAGUGCUACCUACUGAUCCAUGGUUGUGAGCAGAGUGUUGGUGGAUGUGUUCAAAAUUUGGAGAAUAUUGAGUGGUAUGGCACUGCAACUCUUUUAUCUCUUCCAAAUCUUUCUCAUACACUAUUCUAACACCACACUUCUUCACCUUAACACAUCCCAUGAAAGACACCUCAAGCUCAUCGCAUUUUUUAUCUAAGCAAUGUGUUGUCCAUAAAUUAGUGGUUUCACAGUCGUCAUAUGUAUACUCCAAGGAAGGAUAUAAUUUAUCACGCGACCAAUAACGAAGUAAAAGGUGAUCUUUCAUUAUUGGUUCACGCAGCCCCCAGCCUCUCUCAUCAAUCCGUCGAUAAUUUCUACCUCGAAAAAUAGAUCCAUUACAAUUGGCAUGUUCAGAAUUUCUACAAUAGAUAUAUGCUCCACAAUCGAUAUAUUCAUCAUCCCUUGAAGUAUCAUUAUUGACAAAAAUGCAGCAGCAAGCAACUCCAAUCCAUUGACUAUCUUUCUGAAGGCUGAUAGGCAGGGGUAUGUUAAUUGAAGAGUCACUUGUUUGUUGGCUAAACCAUUCUGGGAUUUCACUUCCGGGCAUAAUAAUAUCAAACAUUAAUCUUGAAUUUGCAAAUGCCUGCAAAAUAAAACACAAGUCGUUUGGUAACUAAAACCAUAAAUUCUCAAGUAUGAGAUUUUGUAAGGGAGAAAAUGGAGAUUAAUCGACCUUAAGUCGUUCUUUCAGCAGUGUUAAUGCAUUCAUAUUCUCGGCCAAUUUGAAGCAGUUAAUGGCUCUAAAGGCAGUCGAAUCCACUAAAUUGCAUACUUCAAGUGAAGAACAACCAUCUAGCCAAACUUGUCUUAACCUUGCCGACAUCUCAGGCAACGAUUUAAGCAUCUUGCAAUAUGACAAUCCAAGAAACUGAAGCUUGGAUAGUCCAGUAAGAGAUGCAGGUAUGCUGAUGAAAUUGUUACCACUAAGACCAAGAUGUACCAAAGAGGAUAGACCAGAAAUAUAACUAUGAAUUUCUGCUUCACCAAGAGUGCACAUGUUGCAAUUUGACAAGUCAAGAUACCCAAGCUUCGGGAUUCCAAUAAGAGAUGCAGGUAUGCUGAUGAAAUUGUUGUUGUUCCAAUAGGGUCGGAAGCGUGUAAAUUAUUGUACUAAAAAAUCACACAAAGUUCAAUUCCCAGGGAAGAGAGGUGGAUCACAUGGAUCUCUUAAAUACCAAGUCUUUCCUUAGUCAGAAUAUCCCUUCUAUAGUAAUUUAAUAGCACAAUUAAAUACUACUAUUAUACCCUCAAAUAUUGAAAGAAAAAUAGGACAAAAAGAACAUAAGAGUUUUAACGAGGUUCGGUAAAUUAUACCUACGUCCUCGGGCACUAACACCAGAUGAUAACUUUACUAUCUCCAAAAUAUUACAAACAAAUAGAAUUCCUUAAGAAUUCUCAAAUGGGAGAAGAGAGAAAACUAAGAGAGAAAGAUUGGUUGGGAUGAAUUGAAAUGAGAAAUGAGAAGGCCUAUUUAUAGUUGAGGUUCAAGGACCAAACAAUAAAUAGCCCAUUAUCUCAAGGACCAAAAAAAAAUUAUCCCUUGCCACUUUUCCAAAGUUGGUGGUUGUCAUUAUUGAUUGUCUCCCAUUAAUGUUAAUGGCAACCAUUAUUAAUUGUCUUCCAUUAAUGUUAACAAUCUCCACCUUGAAGAUUUGAUUAGGAUAAUCACAUCUUUACACACUUCCUUCAACUCCCCAAAUUCGAUAAAGCUAUCUUUUGUAGUGCCUACAAAUGCGCUCUCGAGCGCCAUACACCUGAAGGUGCUCAAAUUCUCAGGAUGUUAAUCAAGUUCAAACAAUGAUUAAACUUGAUUGUUGUUACCACCUUGGUCAUCAUAUCUGCGGGAUUAUCUGCUGUCGGAAUCUUCUGAAGUAGAAUUUUUCCUUUUUCAAAGACUUCCCGCACAAAGUGAUAUCUUACGUCGAUAUGCUUGGUUCUUGAAUGAUAGACUUGAUUUUUCGCUAAAUGAAUAGCGCUCUGACUGUCACAAUAUAAACUUAUGUGACUUUGAACAACUCCUAAGUCUUUCAACAAUCCAUUAAGCGAAAUAGCCUCCUUAACAGCUUCUGUAACUGCCAUAUAUUCUGCCUCUGUAGUAGACACAGCUACUGUAGACUGUAAGGUAGACUUCCAACUCACUGGGGCUUUCGCAAGAGUAAACAAAUACCCCGUAGUUGAACGACGUUUAUCUAAAUCACCAGCAAAGUCGGAAUCAACAUAUCCAACUACAAACUGACCAAGUGCUUCAUCCUGUUCAAAAAUUAAACCAACAUCUACGGUUUUUCGAAGAUACCGUAGAAUCCAUUUCACAGCUUGCUAAUGUCCUUUUCCAGGAUCAUGCAUAUACCUGCUCACAACUCCAACAACUUGUGAAAUGUCAGGCCUCGUACACACCAUCGCAUACAUCAAACUCCCAACUGCAUUAGCAUAUGGGACUUUCGCCAUAUAUUCUCUUUCUUCUUCAGUUUUCGGAGAUAAUUGAGAACUAAGUUUCAAAUGAGAAGCAAGUGGGGUACUUACAUGUUUUGUGUUUUCAUUUACACCAAAACAUUGUAAUACCUUUUUCAGAUAUUGCUUCUGAUUCAAACAAAGCUUGCCUCUCUAUCUAUCUCUACUUAUCUCCAUGCCGAGAAUCUUCUUGGCCUCACCUAGAUCUUUCAUCUCGAACUCUUGAUUCAACUGAGCCUUCAGCUUAUCAAUCUCUUUUUGCCACUUCGAAGCGAUUAACAUAUCAUCAACAUACAAGAGUAGAUAAAUGAAAGAUCCGUCAUGCAGCUUCUACAAAUACACACAAUUGUCAUAUUUGCUUCUUGUGUACUUCUGCCUUCUCAUAAAGCUAUCAAAUCGCUUGUACCACUGCCUCGGGGAUUGCUUCAAUCCAUAUAGCGAUUUGUUCAGCUUACAAACCCAAUUUCUACCACCAGCAUAUGUGUAUCCUUCGGGCUGAGUCAUAUAGAUCUCCUCUUCUAACUCACCAUGCAAGAAAUCCGUCUUAACAUCAAGUUGAGCUAGCUCCAAAUUCAACUGUGCUACCAAGGCCAACAAAAUUCUAAUGGAGGAAUGCUUCACAACAGGGGAAAAUACAUCAUUGUAGUCAAUUUCCUCCUUCUUAGCAUAGCCUUUAGCUACCAAUCUUGCCUUGUAGCGAAUAUCCUUCUUGCUAGGAGAUCCAUCUUUCUUUGCGAAUACCCACUUGCAUCCGAUUGCCCUUUUACCUUUCGGUAAUUGCGCCAACUCCCAAGUAUUGUUCUUCUAGAGAGACUGCAUUUCUUCAUCCAUGGCGCUUUUCCAUUUAUCACUUUCUAAGCUUUGCAUUGCUUCUUGAUAAGUGAUAGGAAUAUCAUCAACAACGGGAAGGGCGUAGGCCACCAUAUUAGUAAAUCGAGCAGGUUCAUGAAUUUCUCUCCGUGGCCUUGCAACUGCAACUGGUUCUGGUGUACUUAGUGGUUCUUGGGUCAGAACCUCUUCAACCUCUAAUUCCUCCAUUGUGGCUGGAGAAUUAGACUUAUUAACUGGGCAAAUCCCCAUCUACUCAAACUCCACCUGUUUUGGAGUACACUCCACCUGCUGUGGAGUAUUGCUCGUCUGAAUAUCUUUAUCUGCUACCUUUUUCAAUGUGGCAGAUUCAUCAAAGGUAACAUCUCUACUACAGAUCAUUUUCUUUGUGCUUAAGCACCAAAGACGAAAUCCCUUCACUCCAGAAGUGAUUCUCAUAAAGAGAGCUUUCUUUGCCCUCGGAUCUAACUUUGACUCCUGCACAUGGUAAUAUGCAGUGGAUCCAAACACAUGUAAGGAAUCAUAAUCUGUAGCCGGUUUUCCAGACCAUACCUCCAUAGGAGUUUUUCUUUCUAAUGCAGAUGAUGGUAAACGAUUAAUAAGAUGGCCAGCGUAUGUCACAGCCUCAGCCCAAAAUUGCUUGCCCAACCCAGCAUUGGACAACAUACAUCGAACUUUCUCCAGCAAUGUUCGAUUCAUACGCUUUGCCACUCCAUUCUGUUGUGGUGUAUCCCUAACUGUGAAGUGUCGAACAAUACCAUACUCUUGGCACACAUCGAAGAACGGAUCACUUUUAUAUUCCCCUCCGUUGUCCGUCCUAAGCCGCUUGAUUUUCUUGCCAGUCUGGUUUUCGAUCAUAGUUUUCCAUUUAAGAAAAACUCUAAGCACUUCAUCCUUAGUUCUCAUGGUAUACACCCAAACUCUUCUGGAAAAGUCAUCAACAAAAGUAACAAAGUAGUGUUUUCCUCCCAAUGAAGGUGUCUUGGAAGGCCCCCACACAUCUGAGUGAACAUAUUCCAAAAUACCUUUUGUAUUAUGGAUAGCAGUAUCGAAUUUCACUCUCUUUUGCUUUUCCAGAACACGAUGCUCGCAAAAUUUUAAUUUGCAAGCCUUUGCACCUUUCAACAAUCCUUGCUUUGCCAGAAUUUGCAAGGAUUUUUCGCUGGCAUGUCCCAACUUCAUAUGCCACAACUGUAUUGAGUCCAAUUCUUUGUUGCCGGAAGCUGCAGCGACUGCUCCAAUAACUGUACUACCUUCGUAGUAAUACAAGUUAUUUUUCCUGAUGCCCUUCAAUAUCACAAGUGCGCCAGAUGUCACUUUCAAAACCCCAUCUCUCAUAGUAACAACUGAACCAUUGGAUUCCAGGGCUCCCAAUGAGAUGAGAUUUUUCUUCAAACUGGGCACGUACCGAACAUCAGUCAGAACUCUGGUUGAUCCAUCUUUAUUCUUUAAUUGGAUUGAACCUAUCCCAACAGUUUUACAGGCAUUGUCAUUGCCCAUAUAAACAACUCCUCCAUUUAGUUCUACUAAAUCAGAGAACCACUCCCGGUUAGGGGACAUAUGAUAGGUACAACCCGAAUCCAAUAUCCACUCAUCUGAAUGGAACGACGAUGAUGAUGCAACCAGUGAUAGUUCAGAGUCACUGGUAUCAUGCUUUGCAACACAAGCAUCUACAGCAGCUUUUCCCUUAUUCUUCAGCUUUGGACAAUUUUUCUUCCAGUGGCCUUUCUCAUGACAAAAAGCACAUUCAUCUUUCCCGAGUCUGGACUUUGACUUUGAUCUCCCAUUUUGAUUUUUCUUCCGAGUGUAUGAACGACCUCGAACUACUAAAGCUUCUGUAUCUCUGAUUGAGUUUUUCUGUUUGUCCUUCUUUCUCUGUUCAUAACUGUAUAAGGCCGCACAGACUUCGCUCAGAGAUAUAUCACUCCUGCCAUGAAGUAGAGUAGUUUCUAGGAACUCAAACUCCUCAGGAAGUGACCCCAACAGCAUCAAAGCCAAAUCUUCAUCUUUGAAUGUCUCAUCCAUAUUCAGCAAAUCAGUGACUAACUGAUUAAAUUUGGUGAUGUGAUCAUUCAUUAUGGUACUUGGGACGUAUGUGAAGCGAAACAGUCUUUUCUUCAAGUGGAGCUUAUUUUGACUGUUUUUCUUCAAAAAUUUUUCUUCAAGUGCCACCCACAACUUAUUUGCAGAAGUCUCAUUUGAAAAAGCAUACCUCUACUCUCAAGAAAGGCAUGAUCGAAUUGUGCCACAUGCCAACCGAUUGAUCGCCUUCCAAUCUUUCUCCUGUACAUCAUCUGGUUUCUCUUCAUCAAUGGCAAUGUCUAGACCCUGCUGAAAAAGGGCAUCUAGAACCUCACUUUGCCACAUACCAAAAUGGCCCGUGCCAUCAAAGAUCUCCACGGCCAAUCUUGCAUUUGCAAUUGUCGGUCUUGUCCACAUGGACGAUGUUGAAGCUCCUACACCGACCGUUUUCUCCAUAAUCUUUCAAUAUACCUAAGGAAAUCUUUUCUGAUGUGGAAGAUCAGUUUAAACUGCAACCACAGAGCAUACUACGAUUAACCUUCGGCUCUUGAUACCACUUGUUGUUCCAAUAGGGUCGGAAGCGUGUAAAUUAUUGUACUAAAAAAUCACACAAAGUUCAAUUCCCAGGGAAGAGAGGUGGAUCACAUGGAUCUCUUAAUACCAAGUCUUUCCUUAGUCAGAAUAUCCCUUCUAUAGUAAUUUAAUAGCACAAUUAAAUACUACUAUUAUACCCUCAAAUAUUGAAAGAAAAGUAAGACAAAAAGAACAUAAGAGUUUUAACGAGGUUCGGUAAAUUAUACCUACGUCCUCGGGCACUAACAUCAGAUGAUAACUUUACUAUCUCCAAAAUAUUACAAACAAAUAGAAUUCCUUAAGAAUUCUCAAAUGGGAGAAGAGAGAAAACUAAGAGAGAAAGAUUGGUUGGGAUGAAUUGAAAUGAGAAAUGAGAAGGCCUAUUUAUAGUUGAGGUUCAAGGACCAAACAAUAAAUAGCCCAUUAUCUCAAGGACCAAAAAAAAAUUAUCCCUUGCCACUUUUCCAAAGUUGGUGGUUGUCAUUAUUGAUUGUCUCCCAUUAAUGUUAAUGGCAACCAUUAUUAAUUGUCUUCCAUUAAUGUUAACAAUUGUUACCACGAAGAUCAAGAUGUUUCAAACAGGAUAGACCAGAAAUAUCACGUGGAAUAUAUCCUUCACAAAGAUUGCAGUCCCUUAGACAUAGCCGUCUUAAUGAACUCAAACCUGACAAGAAAGGCAACAUUGGAGCCAUGGGAGUUGUCCUUCUUCCUUGGAUUACCUUGAAAAGAGAGGACAAAUUUGGUUGCAACUUUGCUUGCUGCAAAUUCUCCGAGAAAUUUUCAACUCUAUAGCAACCAGAAAGCUCUACAGUUUUUAUACGUUCCAUUUUCCCAUCAAUCUCCGGAAACCUUACAAGACUUGAGCAACCCGAAAAAAUUAAUGUUUCAAGAGAUUCCAUUCUAAUUUUUGUCGGAAGACUCCUAAGACUUUUGCAAUAUCUAAAAUUCAAAAGUUUAAGGCUCUUAAGCACUCCUAUUGAUGGAUGAACAUCCACUAAUUUGGUACAGCCUUCCAAAAUUAAAACUUUAAGAUUUGAUGCUGUUGUGAAGUUUGGUGUCUUGAUCAGGUUUUGGGAACCUUUGAGGUUCAUUAUUUUCAACUUAUACAAGGGCUGUUGAAGACAAUAAUAAAUUAGAGAGAAAAGAGAAAACAUAAUAAUUCUCAUUUUUGUUUUUGUAUUUUUACCUUAAUCAAAGUUUAAUAAUUUAUAUUAAAAUAAGCUAAAACAGAAGAAUAAGAUGAGUUAAUUCUUACUCUAUUUCCCUUCCAUAGUUGUUUAAUGUGACUAUAUGGUAAAAGAAGUGCAACAAGGUUGUUUGGUCGGAAGCUUGAAGGCAAGCAUCUUAAAGGAUAUCCUGUCCAUUCUAAAAGCCGUAGAUUAUUAGAAAGAUAUUUGAGAUCAUCACAAUUUGACUGGCAAAGCACUUUGAGCAGUCUCAAGUUUUUCAUCUUUGAGAAGGUAUAGGCACUCAAAUUGAGCAUUUUGCUUGAUUCCCUAAUAACCAUGAGUAAAACAAAAAUGAGAUUCAAAAUAUACAAAGACAUUCAAUAUCUAAAAGUUAUGUUGCACCGAUAGAUGAUCAAUUUCCAUUGUAAUGAAAAAAACAAAAUCAUUCCAAAUUGGAAUUAGAAGGAAGACAAUGAGAGAGAUAUUUUAUUUUCAAAUGUUUUAUUUUCUUUCCUUCUCGCUUUUCGCUAUACCAAGCAAUAGUGAGGAGGAAAAUAUAUUUUCCAUUCAAUUUUCUAUCUUUCCAAUCAAGUUUUCCAUCUCUUUAGUUUUCCACCCUUUUGAUUUUCUUUCCACUCUGCCAAGCAAAGCCAAAAGGUUUUUUUUUUAUUGGAUUUUUUACAAAAAAUAAUAACAAUACUAAUAGUACAUAUUGAUAAAUUUAUAUGUAUGUUUUCUUACCAUUCGUUGUCGAUGAUCAUACCUUCAAUCACUUCGGUAGCCUAACAGUAAUCAAGAAUAGACAAUAAGAAUACAAAAUAAAUUAUCUAAAUUGUACAAUAAAACUUUUGAAAUUUACAUAUAAGUUCAACAUUAUCACAAUCUUUUAUAGGAAAUAAAAUAUUUUCAAAUGAGAGUAAUUCAAUAAAAUUAAACACUUAUAUUGCAAAUCAUUAUUAAUAUUUAUAUUCAACAAAUGGAAAUUAUCUUAAAGCUACUCAAUGUCACUUAAGGAUUGAUAUGUAAACCAAUUAAACUAAGCUUUAGAUUUACAUCAUAUAUUGAUAAAAAGAAAACUUUGUAUGUAAUUUCUGUUGAAUGAUUUACCGUGUUUUUUGUUAGGACAUGAUGGACACCCCUUUCCUUCCACAAUCUACAACGUUUUCCAGGUUCAUCAACACAUUUUUCUUCAACAAUUUUUCUUCCCAUUUCUUGCAACAAGGCAUGCAUCCGCAAAUAUUGGUUGUCAUCACUGACUUUUAUGAGAGAUUUCUUAAUGAGAACAUCGACUCCGAUAUCUGGAAAAAACUCACAACCAUCCAAUACUUUCAUUACCAAAUCUUUCUGCUCCCCAUUGAAAAAGCAUGCUAUAUCUAGAAAUAUAUUCUUCUCCCUUUCUUCCAAUCCAUCAAAGCUAAUUCGUAGUGUGUCAAGAAUUUCUUUGUUAGAAUCAUAUGGUCCCCCAAGGUUUUGACAUUGUUUUGUUUCUUUUGUCACCCAACCGAUAAUUGAGUAACAAAAUAAUAAUAUGAUAUUUUUUAAUUGUCAUAAUAACAAAUUUAGCUCUUAAUGUUGAUAUAUUCUAUCAAUUUGGACAUGAUUAUAUAUAAAAGUUAUAAAAAAAUUAAAACAAUAAAAAAUUCAAAAAAUAUAUAAAAAUAAGUAAGAAUUCAAAAAAAUUAUAUAAAAAAUUAAAAAUGAUGAGAGAUACAUAAAAAUAUAAAAAAAAUUCAAAAUUUUUAAAAUAAAAAAUUGUUAAAAUUAUAAAAAUCAGUAGCCCACUACCACACAUCAGUCAACAUCUGAUAUAUAUUUUUUGUGUUUCAAGUGUCAAUUGCUAUGUAAAUCACUAGUGGUUUAUAGAGAUAACAAAGGUUCACGACGAUUAAUGCAAAAACCCAUCAGCAAAUAGAAGUUGUAAAUUAAUAUAUAUAUAUAUGCCAUUAAUGGUUUAACGAGUAAAAUAUCUAUUAAUAUAUACAAAUUUGUUGUCCUUAAUGAUCAUUUUGUAUUUUUAUUACAUUUCAUCUCACCAUUGUAAGUGGUUUUGUCUUCAAUUACAUAUUUCAUCAUUGAUUUUAUCUCACUGCUAUAGUAUUUAAUUUUAUUACUACCUUAACUGUAUAUUUAAUCUCUUUAGAACUAAUUUCACCACCCAUCCAAAUAAACCUUGUGUAAGUCUCUAUGAUUAUCUUAUUUGCUUUUUGCUCCAUAGCAAGGCAACUAUUAAUUUAUUUGUAGCCUUAAAAAUUUUUCAUUUUAGAAAAAAAGUCAAUAUAUAAAAGUCUUAAAUUUUGUUAUCUAUAUAUAUAAUAUAAAUUAUCACAUGAUAAGUUCUUUUUACUUUAGAUAUAUAUAAUAAGGGAAGGAUCACAUGUAAAACUAACAUGACUUUGCAUGCUUUUUAAUUCUAUUUUUAUAAUUGAUAUUUUAACAAAUCAACUGUUAAAUUUUAUAUUCAUAUAAAUUUUACACAGUAUAAAUAUAUCUCUCUUUUAUUAUUUCCGUUGAAUUCAGCGACAACUUUUUAGAAUAAUAUGACUUCAAAUUGGUUAAAUGAAUUUCUAGUUUUAUAUUCAAAUUUUAUCUUUCAACUUAUUAGUAAUUUUAAAAAAAAAAUCAAAUUAUACAAUGUCCCUUGCAAACAAAUGAUGGCAGUUGGUUGUUCUUUAUAUCUCCAAGCAAAUUAAAUCUCUUGGUCUAAGUCAAGGUAUUCACAAUUGGUUAAUGCAUUGAUUGAGCAUCGUCUAGGAAUCUCAUGCCCUCUCUUUCUAUCAAUGGUUUCCUCUCAUUUUCCCUUUAAGGUGAUGGUUUUUAUUAUUCUUCUUCUUUUAUGAAAUGUGAUGGUUAAAUCCUUUUCCUCUUAUGGCAGUAAAGAUAUGAAAGGCCAAAAUACAAUUUAAAAUAUAAUACAAGGUCUGCUUUGAUACUUUUACUUAAUUCCACUGUGCAUCCCGUUUUUGUAGUGCAUAUGUCAAUAGCAAGCCAACUAUUUAUAUUUGUAGUCUUACAAAAUUGACUUUUCAGAAAAAGUCCAAAGCAAUCUCAAUUUAACAAAGUCUUAAAUUUUAUUAUCAAAGUAGUGUAUUAUCGGGUUAAAUUUUAAGUUAUUUGUGAUGUUAUAUUCAAGUAAGUAAUUAUUAUCUAAUGUUAUUUCAAAUCGAUUAAAUGAAUUAUAAAAUGAUCACUAAAUUAUUAAUUUUUUUAUUUAAUCACUAAAUUUUUUGAAAUAAAAUAUUUUAAUCACUUUUCUGUUAAUUACAGUGUAUUGAUUUAAUAAAAAAUUUAGCCUUCAAAAUCUAUUUUUCAAAAAAAAAGUUAAAUGAAUAGUGAGGUGUGAGGGAAUUGUAUACAAUUAUUAAAAGAAGUUUGAUAGGUAAAUUAGAAAGGACAGAGCUUUGAUGAUAUCUAGAGACUGAGAUUUGGAGUUUAGAUAUACAAAGUUGAAAUGAAGUAAUGGUGGAGUUGGAAGGCAGUGUUAUUAAAUACUAAAUAAUAGUUUGGUGAAAAUGGGAUAUUUUUACUUUUUUAUCCAUUCAGACAUAUUACUAUUCCUGUCUUCCUUUUCAUGUUCUUGUAAAAAACAGAUUGCCACCGUUCUUUUCUCUUUGGUAAAUGUUGAUUGCUGAGAGGACAAUCUUUUUGCACAUUCCCGAACUCUAUGGACAAGAUUUUUUGCAUCUCAAUCAAAGGUUUGAAAAGUUGAAAUUAUAUUUAGGAUUUUAUUUUACUUCCAAAUGAUAUCCUAGUAUUCGUAUUAUGGACACGAAUAUAUAUUAAGAGUUCCAUCACAUCAAUCACUGUUGCGGAUAUAAAGAAUACUUAAUUAUGGUAAAUAAGAAUCUAUUUGUACAAUUAAACAAAAACAGGGAAAGGAGAAACUUAAUUAAAUAGGAGAAAAUAUCUUGAAAAGGCUAGUCAAGUAGUUUACCACAAUUUCUGCUUCUUCUCUGAACAACCCAUUAUAAAAUUGAAAUUUGUUUUCAUCUGUUUAGGUCCUCUGUUUCCUCGUGGGUAUUACGUUUUCGUUCUACAGGGAAAGUGCUACCUGCGGAUCCAUUCUUGUCAGUAGAGUGAUGAUGGAUAUGUUCAAAGUUUAGAGGAGAUUGAGUGGUAUGGCACUGCAAAUCUUUCUCAUACAUUAUUCUAACGCCACACUUCUUCACCUUAAAAGAAGGAAACCCAUCUGCGCCUUUGAAAGACAUCUCAAGCUUAUCGCAUUCAUGAUCAGAGCAAUCCAUUGUCCAUGUAUUGUAAUUCACGCGAGAAAUAACGAAGAAAAAGGUGAUUGUUCGUUAUGGGCUGCUCAUAUUCCCCACCUAAACCAAUGAAACUGGGAUCGACCGUUCGAGGAUUUUUAACUUGAAAAACAGAUCCAUUAUGACUAGAUUGUCGGGAAUUUCUAUAAUGGAUAUAAGUUGUACUACCGAUAGCCCUUUCAUCGGAACCUCCAUCAUUGACGAAAUUGCAGCAGAAUGCAACUCCAAUCCAAUUUGUUUGGUAUAUGUGAAACGCUUUGUGAGUUUGUUUUUUAAAAUAAAGGUAAAUUUCAACAAUUAUUUUUUAAUCAUCAUUAUUAAUACAUUGAAAUCACAUUCAAUGUAUGUUAGUGAUUAUGAAAAAUUGGAAUGUGACAUACUCUUGAUGUGUUUAGAAAAUGUUAUAGUUAUAGAAAAAAUUAUAUAACCAUCAUGGCAUUGGUUGAGUUUGUUAAACUUAAAAGUUUUAGAAAUCCAAUGUUAUAGGUUUUAAUCUCAAUUUUAUAUAAAAAGAUAAAAAUAAUUACUAUAAUAAUAUUUGUUACUUUUAAAAAUAUUAAAUUUUCUAGUCAUUUUCCAAAUAAGUUAAUAUCUAAUUCACUUAUGAUUGAUAAGUAAAGUAUAAUAUAAAUUAUGUUUGGUUAAAAAUAAAAUUAUGUGAAAAUGAUAUAUAUUUAAAUAUAGAAUAUAUCAAAUUUUAUAUAAGGUAAGUUAUUAAUAUAGUAAAAUUGGAAGUAAUUUAAAGAUAAUUAUUAUAUUAGAAAAUAUAGGCAUUAAAGUUGAGGCAUUUUAAGAAGUUUACCAAAUUUUAUAUAAUGUAAAUCAUAAACACUGUUCCUUAAUACCACCGCGCACGAUUAGCGCUGUUGGAACCGUUAGUUCCCUGCUUUAACUUUAUCUCCAUAACAUGCCGAGACCAUGAAAGGCACUCAUUCCUUAAUACCAUAUUUAGUUCCCGCAACGCCACUACUGAAAACAAAGGCAUUUCUAUUUUACCAAAGUUUCUAGCAGCCAUAGCAAAAAGAGUACCCCAAUCAGUUCCUUCCACAGAAAAAGUUCUUUGAGCUCCGGAGAAACUCACUGCUCACUACUGCAAAUCAAACUUUUAGCGGAGUUAUUUGCGGCGUUUACAUCAAAACGCCGCCAAAGUUGCACAUUAGUGGCGGUUGUAAACAAACGCCGCAAAAGAUUGGAUCAAUAGUGGCGUUUGAAAGAAAAAACGCCGCAGAAAAUCAGAAUUAAAUAAACGCCGCAAAAACUCGAGCAGAAAAUCAAAACACAUCGUUUUACUUUAGCUUCUAGUCGAAUUAGCGGCGCUCUUCUAGAAACGCCGCUAUAGGUAGAGUAUUAGCGGCGAUUCCGAAAAAGCGCCGCAAAAAUGUUAAUCAGUACGCAUCGUUUUACUUUAGCUUCUAGUCGAAAGCUAUAUGUGGAGUAUUAGCGGCGCUUGUAAAAAAGCGCCACAAAAAAUGUUAAUCAGUACGCAUCGUUUUACUUUAGCUUCUAGUCGAACUAUCGGCACUUUUCUAAAAACGCCGCUAUAGGUAGAGUAUUAGCAGCGCUUGAGUAAAAGCGCCGCAAAAUGUAAAUCAAAACACAUCGUUUUAUUUUAGCUUAUAGUCGAAUUAAAGUCGAGAUCUUUAGCGGCAUUUUUUUUCAAAUAAACGCCGUAAAAUUUUUCAACAUUGUCAAUAGCGGCGAUUUUCACGGCGUUUGUGAAAGCGCGGCAAAUAGCUUUAGCGGCGCUUAUAAAGCCACUAAAGGACAAAAAAAUGCCGCUAAAAGUCUACUUUCCUGUAGUGGCUCUUCCAUUUCCUAGCGCCCAAUAGACACCAUUUACUACAUCUUCCCAAAUAUUGGACAAAGCCCUCCAGAGAAGCGAGCAAUUAGAAGGAUGUAUUGAAGCCGACCAUCUACUUAUUACCCCAUACUUGAUUCCAAGGACUUCGACCCAUAUCACAUUCACGUUAGAAAUGACAUUAAAAGCUACCUUAAUCAUGCAAGCUUUAUUGUGGUCUCGUACUUUCCUCAACCUAACUCCACCGUUCUUCAAAGGCAUACAAAAUUUAUACCAGCUCACUAAAGUUGGUUUCUGAUUGCCAAAUGUUGACCCCAAAUGAAUCCUCGAACCAGCUUCUCAUUUUUGUUGCAAUUGUUUAAGUGAUCAACUAAAAUAAGACCGUACAAAGAUUGAUCGGUCUAAAAUGAGAUAGUAAUUCCGGUCUUGCCACCUUGGGAACCAACACAAUAAGAGUUUGAUUCAAAAUAGAGGCAAACAUUUGAUGAUUUCGUUCUAUUGGUUUUUAAUUUGAAUUAGUCAUUCAUUUAAAACAAUCAUAGUUGUGCAUCAAUUAUGAAAGAAGUCAGAAGAAAAUUGUGCACUAAUCAAAUGCAAUUUUCUUCACUUUUAUCGCGUCUUUGAGUUGAAGGAAAAGAUGGCCCAAUUGAGAUACACUUGAAAAGUUUAAUGAUGAAUUGAAAUGAAUUGAAAUUAAUGGUUCAAUUAGCAUUUUGCAUUAAAAAAUUCAUAAUCUGACUCAAUAAAAUGUUGAGAGUCAAAUUACUAAAAAGAAAUGAAUAUGGGUCAACUUGUCAAAUUUUAUAAACACUAAGAACCUUUUUUUAUCAUUAUGCCUAAUUUUAAAGGUUUUAUUUACAAUACAAUUAAAUUACUAUUUGAAUUUACAUUUUAAAAACAACGUUCAUUUCAAUAUGUAUAAUUUGCAUUACAAUACAUGAUAAAAACAACUAAUUAUAUUUUGCUAAUUCCCUAAAUUCGUCCGAACCUAUAAUUGCUAAGGUGUCCGCCUCCAUUCCAACUUGAAGACUUUUGUUGGUCCCUCACUUGCAUGAUCCUUUGAGCAGACUUUCAUGCUUCUAUUGGUCUAGGGGACAAACAUAAAACACCAUCAUUAUUUUUGUUGCAUUGAGAUCAUCUAUAUUAACUUACCUCAAAUUCAGAAAUUUUUGUUGAUAUCACAUAAAUACAAUCAUUGAAAAUCUUACUCAUAUUGACCAAAAAUCAUAUUUUUAUUUCUCUAAACAAUAACAAAAAUGAAAUUAUAGAAUUUUGAAAAUAAAAAUAUUGGAUAUGAAAAUGUCUCUCACAUGGAAAAGAUUUUCCAAAUAAUUAAAAGAGUGUACUUUAUUUUUAUAUUUGAACCAGUGUUAAAAAUAAAUGUCUAAACUUAAAUACUUUGUAAAAAAAUAUAAAUUGAAGAGUUGGAAUAAUAUUAUUUAUACUUCAAGCCAUGAAAUUUAAAUGCUACUUUUGUUAGAAGGAAUUAAACCUAUUUAAGUACUAUUAAGGACUUAUAUUUAAUCUUCUAAAUUUAUAAAAAACAAUUUUAACUGAUUAAAUUGAAUACAUAAGUUGGUCUCAAAUAAAAAUAAAAUGGUUUUUAACUCAGCUGAAAUUAUGAUCUAAUCCUCAUUAAAGGAUUUUCACCUUAUUAUUACCUAUAUCGUCGUCGAAGCUAUCUAUUUUUCUCCACAUUUCUAUCUCAAUUGAUUAUAUUUACUUCAACCUAAAAAUAAAAUAUAGACGUAAGUGAAUAUAUAUAAUGAGAAUAAAAUUUUAAUAAAUAUCAAAAUGUACACAUUUCAAUUAUGUAAAAAGGAAUGAAUUAAGUGAAUAAAAUUUUAAAUGGUAUUUUUUUAAAAAAAAUUAGUAUAUUAUAAAAUGAUCAUAUCUCAUACGGAAAUAAGUCUAGAAUGAUAACUUUAAAUGAAAUAAAAGAUGUAAACAAGGUAGAUGAGUAAAAAAUUUUAGUAGGACAAGGUUGGUUAAGUAAUUUACCAUAGCUAAUGCGUCUUCCCGGAUUGGCCAAUUAUAAAAAAAUUGAAAAAAAGUUGCAUCCGUUUUGGUUGCGGCCCUUCUUCCUCCGCUUCAUCGUAGAUAUUAGGUUUCUAUUUUAUGUGAGAAGUGCUACCUACUGAUCCAUGGUUGUGAGCAGAGUGUUGGUGGAUGUGUUCAAAAUUUGGAGAAGAUUGAGUGGUAUGGCACUGCAACUCUUUUAUCUCUUCCAAAUCUUUCUCAUACACUAUUCUAACACCACACUUCUUCACCUUAACACUGCAUCCCAUGAAAGACACCUCAAGCUCAUCGCAUUUUUUAUCUAAGCAAUGUGUUGUCCAUAAAUUAGUGGUUUCACAGUCAUCAUAUUUAUUGUCCAAGGAAGGAUAUAUUGUAUCACGCGACCAAUAACGAAGUAAAAGGUGAUCUUUCAUUAUUGGUUCACACAGCCCCCAGUCUCUCCAAUCAAUCCGUCGAUAAUUUCUACCUCGAAAAAUAGAUCCAUUACAGCUGGCUUGCUCAGAAUUUCUACAAUAGAUAUAUGCUCCACAACCGAUUUCCUGUUUGUCAUCCCUUGAAGCAUCAUUACUGACAAAAAUGCAGCAGCAAGAACUCCAAUCCAUUGACUAUCUUUCUGAAGGUUGAUAGGCAGGGGUAGGUUAAUUGAAGAGUCACUUGUUUGUUCGCUAAACCAUUCUGGGAUUUCACUUCCGGGCAUGAUAAUAUUAAAGAUUUCUCUUGAAUUUGCAAAUGCCUGCAAAAUAAAACACAAGUCGUUUGGUAACUAAAACCAUAAAUUCUCAAGUAUGAGAUUUUGCAAGGGAGAAAAUGGAGAUUAAUCGACCUUAAGCUGUUUUUUCAGCAGUGUUAAUGCAUUCAUAUUCUCGGCCAAUUUGAAGCAGUUAAUGGCUUUAAAGGAACCCGAACCUGAUAAAUUGCAUACUUCACGUAGUGUUAAUGCAUUGAUAUUCUCAGCCAAUUUGAAGCAGUUAAUGGCUCUAAAGGCAGCCGAAUCCACUAAAUUGCAUACUUCAAGUGAAGAACAACCAUCUAGCCACACUUGUCCUAACCUUGUCGGUAUCUCAGGCAACGAUUUAAGCAUCUUGCAAUACGACAAUCCAAGAAACUGGAGCUCUGAUAGUCGAGUAAGAGAGAAAGGUAUGCUGAUGAAAUUGUUACCACUAAGACCAAGAUGUACCAAAGAGGAUAGACCAGAAAUAUAACUAUGAAUAUCUGCUUCACCAAGAGUGCACAUGUUGCAACUUGACAAGUCAAGAAACUCAAGCUUCGAGAGUCCAGUAAGAGAUGCAGGUAUGCUGGUGAAAUUGUUACGACCAAGAUCAAGAUGUUUCAAAGAGGAUAGACCAGAAAUAUCACGUGGAAUAUCUCCUUCACAAAGAUUGCAGUCGCUUAGACUUAGCCGUCUUAAUGAACUCAAACCUGACAAGAAAGGCAACAUUGGAGCCAUGGGAGUUGUCCUUCUUCCUUGGAUUACCUUGAAAAGAGAAGACAAAUUUGGUCGCAACUUUGCUUGCUGCAAAUUCUCCGAGAAAUUUUCAACUCUAUAACAACCAGAAAGCUCUAGAGUUUUUAUACGUUCCAUUUUCCCAUCAAUCUCCGGAAACCUUACAAGACUUGAGCAACCCGAAAAAAUUAAUGUUUCAAGAGAUUCCAUUCUAAUUUUGGUCGGAAGACUCCUAAACUUUUACAAUCUCUUAAAUUCAAAAGUUGAAGGCUCUUAAGCACUCCUAUUGAUGGAUGAACAUCCACUAAUUUGGUACAGCCUUCCAAAAUUAAAACUUCAAGAUUUGGUGCUGUUGUGAAGUUUGGUGUCUUGAUCAGGUUUUGGGAACCUUUGAGGUUCAUUAUUUUCAACUUAUACAAGGGCUGUUGAAGACAAUAACAAAUUAGAGAGAAAAGAGAAAGCAUAAUAAUUCUCAUUUUUGUUUUUGUAUUUUUACCUUAAUUAGAGUUUAAUAAUUUAUAUUAAAAUAAGCUAAAACAGAAGGAUAAGAUAAGUUAAUUCUUACUCUAUUUCCCUUCCAUAGUUGUUUAAUGUGACUAUAUGGUAAAAGAAGUGCAACAAGGUUGUUUGGUUGGAAGCUUGAAGGCAAGUAUCUUAAAGGAUAUCCUGUCCAUUCUAAAAGCCGUAGUUUAUUAGAAAGAUAUUUGAGAUCAUCACAAUUUGAUAGACAAAGCACUUUGAGUAGUCUCAAGUUUUUCAUCUUUGAGAAGGUAUCAGCACUCAAAUAGAGCAUCUUGUUCGAUUCCCUAAUAACCAUGAGUAAGACAAAAAUGAGAUUCAAAAUAUACAAAGACUUCAAUAUCUAAAAGUUAUGUUGCACCGAUAGAUGAUCAAUUUCCAUUGUAAUGAAAAAAAAAAUCAUUCCAACUUGGAAUGAGAAGGAACACAAUGAGAGAUAUUUUAUUUUCUUUCCUUCUCACUUUUCGCUAUACCAAGCAAUAGUGAGGAGGAAAUUAUAUUUUCCAUUCAAUUUUCCUCUUUCCACUCAAGUUUUCCAUCCCCUCAGAAAACCAGAAGGUUUUUUCUUUUGUUGUUUUUUAUUGGAUUUUUUACAAAAAAACAAUAACAAUAUUAAUAGUACAUAUUGGUAAAUUUAUAUGUAUAUUUUCUUACCUUUUAUUGUCGAUGAUCAUACCCUCAAUCACUUCGGUAGCCUAAAAGUAAUCAAGAAUAGAUAAUAAGAAUACAAAAUAAAUUAUCUAAAUUGUAAAAUAAAGCUUUUGAAAUUUACAUAUAUGUUCAACAUUAUCACAAUCUUUUGGUCGAAAUAUAGGAAAUAAAAUAUUUUCGAAUGAGAGUAAUUCAAUAAAACUAACCACUUAUAUUACAAAUCAUUAUUAAUAUGUAUAAUCAACAAAUGGAAAUUAUUUUAAAACUAAUAUGUAAGCCAAUUAGAUUAAGCUUUGAAUUUACAUCAUAUAUUGAUAAAAAGAAAAUUUUGUAUAUAAUUUUUGUUGAAUGAUUUACCGUGUUUUUUGUUAGAACAUGAUGGACAUCCUUUUCUUUCCACAAUCUACAACGUUUUCCAGGUUCAUCAACACAUUUUUCUUCAACAAUUUUUCUUCCCAUUUUUUGCAACAAGGCCUGCAUCCGCAAAUGUUGGUUGUCAUCACUAACUUUUAUGAGAGAUUUCUUAAUGAGAAUAUCGAUUUCAAUAUCUGGAAAAAACUCACAACCAUUCAAUACUUUCAUUACCAAAUCUCUCUUCUCACCGUUGAAAAAGCAUGCUAUAUCUAGAAAUAUAUUCUUUUCCUUUUCUUCCAAUCCAUCGAAGCUAAUUCUUAGCGUGUUAAGAAUUUCUUUGUUAGAAUCUUUUUAAGUCUUUCGAUUGCACUUCUCCAUUGAACUAUAUCUCUAUCGCACAAAAAUGAACCCAAAACUUCAAGAGCUAAGGGGAGACCACCAGCAUAACAUACAACCUCUUCAGAAACCUCAAUGAAAUCAUCUUUUGGCACUGUAUCACUAUGAAAAGCUUUCAAAUUGAAAAGUGUAAGUGCAUCGGCUGGAUUCAAUGUUUUAGGCUUAUACACACCAUCGACUCCGUAAGAUCGGAGUAAAUGUUCAUCUCUUGUUGUUACAAUGAUUCGACUCCCUAAACCAAACCAAUCACGCCUUCCAACCAAGCAUUUCAAGUGUUGUACAUUAUCAACAUCAUCAAGAACAACAAGAACCUUUUCACUACACAACCUGCGGCUAAUUAUGGCAUUCCCUUCAUGGACAUUGAAAAAAUUGAAGCAUUCAUUAGGCAAGAUUUGAGAAAGAAGUUGUUUCUGUAACGAAACAAGUCCACAUUUGUUUGAAACUUCUCGAAUAUCAGCAAGAAAGCUUUUGCCUUCAAAAUGAGGUGACAUUUGAGUGUAAACAACCCUCGCAAGAGUUGUUUUACCGAUGCCACCCAUUCCGCAAAUUCCUAUAAUGCGGACAUCAUCUUCCCCAAUGUUUAUUUUCGAAUACAACCCCUUCAAAGGUAAGCUAAUUCCAACCAAUUCAUCAUGAACCAUUGGAUUUGUCUCACAUAAUUUGGCUGAUAUCUUCCUAACAACGUCUCCGAUAAACUCUGAUUCAUUCCUACAACGAAAUAAAAAAUUGUUUCUAUCUUUCAAAUGCUCUUUGUCAUUUUUAGUUCAAUGAAUCAUGAAAUAUAAUAUAGUUGGAAGCAAACAAAAAGCAAGAAUAAGACAGUAAGAUAUAUUAUGGCAUCAAAAUACACAACUUUCUCGUUAGAAUUCUUAAUUAAACACAAAAUUAUAAAAAAUUACAUGCAAUCUUGAAAAAAACAAUUUUUUAGUCAUUAAAAUUAGGAAAUAGAGAAGAAAUGAAAGAAUUACCCAUUAUGUAAAUGCCAUCCUUUGAUCUUAGCUACUUCAGUCAAAGCAUUUCGCCACUUUUGGAUCUUGUCUUUAUCUUCCUUGUACCUCUCUUCAUGUUUGACAAAGGCUUCUUCUACUUUUUCUUUUCGGUUUCUUAAAUCGGAUGGAUCCACAUGGCAGAAAAUUGGAAAUACUUUAUGUCCGAUAGCGUUUUUUUGUUGAACAAUUUCAGCAAGCUCCUCCAAGCACCAUCCUGAAAAGGCAUAGGUUUUUGAAAAAAUAAUUACCGAGCACCAUGAUUGUUGAAUUGCUUUGGAGAGUUCGGGUGCGAUCUCUUCGCCAGCCUCCAGCUUUGGAUCAUCCCUGAAGGUGACGAUCCCACUACUCUUUAGAGCAUCAUAAAGAUGAGCCGUGAAGUUCUUGCGAGUAUCUUCACCUCUAAAACUCAAGAAAACAUCAUAUUUCUUUCUAGAAAUGGGGGAAGAAGUCGAAGGUAACGACAACAUGAGGAUGUAUGAAAGGAGCAGGAUAUCUUUAUCUGGUUUUCAAAAUCAGAAACUAGAUCGCCCGAUCCUCGCAAAGAAACUAGAAAAAGUAAGUAUAUGAGCAUAGGGGCGGAAAUUAGGGGCAAAGAUGAGUGAUGGAUGUUCUUUCCAAGAAGAAUCCAAGAAGGUGAGAGUUGGCACGGUGGAGGCUAUUAAAAAUGUUGGACGGUUUGUAUUUUACGUAUUUAAAAAUUAUAGCGUAGGUAAGAUUAUGACAAUAAUCAUUAGAAUAUAUCUUUAAUAAUUAUCCUUCGUUAUGGGCUGGUUAAAAAGUUUACCAAACAACCAACUACUCGCAUCGACACGUGGAAAAGUUCUUUCUCGAAAGACAGAUCCAUUUCGACUGGCUUGUCCAGAAUUUCUACAAUGGAAGCAUCAUCACUGACAAAAAUGCGACAGGAAGCAACUCCAACCCAUUGACCAUUCUGAAUAAUGAGUGGUAGAGGUAUCCUAAUUGUAGAGCCACCACUCUGUUGGCUAAACCAUUCUGGGAUUUCACUUCCAGGUAUAAUAACAUCAAACAUUUGUCUUGAAUUUGCAAAUGCCUGCAUAAUGAAACUUCAGUCGCUUAGUAAAUAAAACCAAAAAUUCCCAAGUAUGAGAGGGAAAGAAAGAGAGAUUAAUUAACCUUGAGAUGUAUUUUCAACAAUGUUAAUGCAGUGAUGUUCUCAGCUAAUCUGUAGCAGUUAAUGGCUUUAAUGGAAGCUAAAUCCAAUAAAUUUCAUACUUUUGAUGGACUUGCAACUACUUCAAGUGAAGCACAACCAUCUAUGCACACUCUUGCUAUACUUGUUAGAAGCUCAGGCAAGGAUUUAAGCUCUUUGCAAUUCAUAACAUAAGAAGCUUAAGCUCUUUGAGUAAGAGACGCAGGUAUGCUGAUGAAAUUGUUACCACUAAGAUCAAGAUCUGUCAAGGAGGAUAGGCAAGAUAUAUCACUAGGAAUAUCUCCUUCACGAAGAUUGCAGUCCCUUAGCUCAACUCUCUUAAUGAACUCAAACUUGACUACGAAGGCAACAUCAGAGGCAUAGAACUUGUCCUUCCUUUUUGGGUUUCCUUGAAAGGAGAAGGAAGAUUUUGUUGUAACUUUGAUGGUCCCUUGCAUCCAUUGAAAGACAGAACUUUAAGAUUUUUCAAUUGAAAAAUUAAGGAUGGUGGUCCUCUUAUGCUUGUUUCACUUAAGUCAAGCUCUUCCAAAUAUUCUACUUGCUUCAUAUUCUCUGGCAAAUUUUCAACUUCACAACAACUAGAAAGAUUAAGAGUUUUUAGACAUUCCAUUUUCCCUUCGAUCUCCGAAAACCUUACAAGAUUCCAUUCCAAUUUUGGUUGGAAGACUCCUAAGACUUUUGCACCCUCUUAAAUUCAAAAGUUUAAGCCUCCUAAGAACUUCCAAGGAUGGAUGACUUCUACAAUUCUUGUACAACCUUCCAAAACCAGAAUUUCAAGAUUUGGGGCCAUUGUGAAGUCUGGUGUCUUGAUUAGGUUUAGGGACCCUUCAAGGUUGAUCACUUUCAACUUAUACAUAGGCUGUGAAAAACAAUAAUAAAUUAAAGAGAAAAGAGAAAAAAUAAGAAAACUUAUUUUUGUUGUUUAUUUUUAUCUUAAGCUAAAACAUAAGGAUUGGGUGAAUUAAUUUUACUCUAUUUCCCUUCCAUAAUUGUUCAAUGCUACUGAAAUGGUAAGAGAAGUGCAACAAGGUGGUCCGGUUGGAAGCUUAAAGGCAAGAGUCCUAAAGGAUAUAUUAUGUAAUCUAAAAAUUUUGUUUUCAUUGAAAGAUAUUUGAGAUCAUCACAAUUUGAAGGCCAAAAGACUUUGAGUAAUUUCAACUCUUUUAUUUUUGAGAAGACAUCAACAUUCAAAUUAAGUGUCUUGCUCGAUUCUCUAAUAACCAUGGACGAAACAAAAAACUUAGCUUCACAAAAGCAUUAAUACCUAAAAACUCUGUAAAUCUAAAUAUGGGCAUUAAGAUAUGACUCUUCAAGAAUUCUUUAAUACAUGAAAAAAUCUUUUGAAAAAUGAACAUACCCAUUUUGAACAAUUAACACGCACAAUUGACUCCGAAUUACCUAAAUCUAAAAGUACUAAAACUAUUUUCAUUUAUAUUUGGUGCACUUGCAAUGUAUAAUUUUAUGCAUUAUUAGUGAAGCAAAUGAAGAUGCAUAAUUAAGGAUGAAAUUACUUGAAUUUAUUUUAAUAAUAUUUAAUGACAUGUUAUAAUCUAGUUCAUAUUGUCAAUUUAUCAAAUAUAAACUUUUAUUUUUCAUAAAAAAGAAACAUCUCUCUCUAUGUUUUUUUUUUCUGAAAGAAUAAUGUGUUACUUGAUAAAUUCAUAAAUUAGCAUUCAAAUAUUAAGUAUUAAGUGUUUUUUUUUCAUUAUAUAUUUUUUACAAAAUAAAACUAAAUAAUAACAAUAUUAAUAAUACACAUCGAUAAAAGUAGAUAUAUACUUUCCUACCUUUUAUUGUGGAUGAUCAUGCCUUCAAUCAAUAAAUAGGUUUUUUUCUCAAAGCUAGUGAAUAUCACUUUUUAGGGAUUGUUAUAUAGAUGAAUUAGAAUAAGCUUUAAGUUUAUAUUAUAUAUUGGUUAGAGAUCCAAUAAAAAAAAUUAGUAUGUAAAUUUUGUUGAAUGGCUUACUGUGUUUUUCGUUAAGACACGAUGGAUGUCCUUUUUUCUCACAGUUUGUAACGUUUUUUUGGUUCAUUAACACAUUUUUCUCUAUUAUUUUUUCUUCUCAUUUCUUGCAACAAAUCGUGCAUCCAAAAAUAUGUGUGAGUUCAUUGACUUUUAUGAGAGAUUUUUUCAUAAGAACAUCAAUUCCAAUAUAUGGGAAAAACUCACAACCACCCAAUACUUUGGUUACAAGAUCUUUCUCUUCUCCAUUGAAGAAGCAUGCUAUAUCUAGAAAUAUAUUCUUCUCCCAUUCUUCCAAUCCACCAAAGCUUAUUUGAAAUCUAUUGAGAAUUUCUUUAUUAGAAUCUAGUUUAAGUCUUUUGAUUCCACUUCUCCACUGAGAAGCCUCUCUACCGCACAAAAAAGAACCCAAAACUUCAAGAGUAAAUACCACUAGCAGAAUGUACAUCAAGUUUAGAAAGGACUAAAUCGUAACAAUUUGGACUAAUUUGAAUAGAACUAAGAACUUAGGUAGUGAUGCCCCUAAAGGAAUAUUAAGAUAAAGUGAGACUGGAAGGUAAUCUUGUCGUGCACCCGUUCAUUAGUCCCGGAUUAUCCGAUGUGAUUGGAAGAUAUACUAGACCUAAUCUGUCAAAGCUGGUAAAUUUAAGAUCGGAAGAUAAAAUAGAGUCACUUGAUAAUUACAUGAUUUAUGUCAUUGGUCCAAGAUUUGGUGAACCGCACCGAAGUCAACCAACCCCCGUUAGUCAUUUGCUAGAUAGUCCCUCUAGUUUACAUUUCUUGUAAUUUAGUCCCUAAAGUAGAAUAUUUAAUUUUCUUGCAAACUUAUCUUUUAUGAAUCACCGCAAUAUAAAAUUGUAUUAAUAGCCACUUAGCCUCCAUUGUGUAUGCUAGUUAUUGGUCAAUCACCUGUUCAUUUGUGUUCAAUCCUUAGAAUACUUUAGCAUUCAUUGUAACAUUAUAAAUAUUAAAACUGACGUGUAAGCUUGCAAUAAAAUUGGGCUUUUAAAAUAGUUAUAUAAAUUCAGUGUUUUAAGCGCAUGCACGUAGCCGGUCAGUAGUCAAUCUCACCCCAUUAGCCACCAUGACAUGAAGCUGACUAAAGUGCUCCACUAAUAAAUCCAACCUUUUAACCAGCUUAGAAUCUAGAAAAUUGUGUGUACUUCCUGAGUCAACCAGGAUAAUGACGUUGGAGUGACCAAUACUUGCUAAAAGCUGCAUAGUGUUAUGUCUCUAUAAGCCUUGAAAGGUGUGUAAGGAUAAAACUGGGGCAGUGGGUUUCAUUUCCAGUUCUAACACUUUCAGUUGUUCAGGACAUUCUUAGAAUUCUUCAAACACUGGACUCUUGCUUCCACCCUCAUGAAGUUCCACAACCAGCUGAUAAAGUUGAGGCUUGGUACACUUAUGACUUGGGGUGUAUUUGGAUGCACACCGAAAGCAAAGUCCCUUCUUCCUUCUCUCUUCUAUUUCAGCUUGAGAAAACGGUUUGGUUUGGAAUUUCUACCUCGAGUUACUAUUUGGAGGUCCACUUGGCCCUAUCGAGUUACUGUGGUGAUGUUGCACCUUGGGACCAGGAAUUAAGGGACUAAGGUGACUUAUUCCCCUUACAUUCAAACUCUUCUUUGGGAACUUAGCCACGACACGUUUAACCUAUCGAGCUAAUUGAUAGCCCUGCACCUGUGUUUAAGGCUUGAACAACCGUAGAUACUGUCCUAUCUCAGAUUUAAGAUUGCAAGUGAAAACACUGAGGACAUAAUCCUCAGUUAGAUGUAACUAAUUAAGCAAACUUACAAAACGGUCAUGGAAAUGGUCCACUGACCCUUGCUCAUUGAGUGAAACAUGUUCUAACAUAGGGUCUAAGAAGGAGUUAGAUCUAAAACGAUCCCUCAACCCUCGAACAUAUAUCUCCCAGGUCAGGUGAUAUAUUCCUCCCGUCUUUGCACAAAAGUGAUGCCAAUCUAGGGCUUUACCUUCUAAGUGCAACAUUACCAUUCUAACCUUGGUCUACUCUAUUAUAUUUGCAGCUUCAAAGAAUUGUUCUGACUUGGACCACCAACCUCAAUAAUCUGUCCCAUCAAAUCAUGGGCAUUCUAGUCGAAGAGUUUUGUUGACAGAGUCCACAAGACCAACUUGAGAAAGAGUAUUCAUGUUUUCCAAAGCUGACACAGGUGAUAAUGUAAGUGGCUCUUUGGAAGGGAACCUAGGAGGAGAGCCUCCCAUAAUGCCCUUGUCUUGAACUCUUCCAGUUACACUGGUAGAAGCAUUUUGACCAAAAUGGUGUUCAAAAAGAGAGUGCAGCCCAGUUCGAAUCUCACCUUUGAUACUUUCAUGAAAAUCCUUUAACCGAGAUUCAAUCUUAGCGUCAAUUUAGCUAACCUCUAAUUGCAUCUGAGAGAGCUCGUGUUGCAGCACUCCCAUCUCUUUUUGUAACCUAGUGGUGACUCUAUCAUUUGCCAUAAGAACCGAAUUCAACUCUGAUACCUUUGUCAUGGGAAAAUCUUUAGGGUAGAAGAGAAAUAGGGUAGCAAGAGGAAGAAAAAGGAGUUGAGAGAAAUUAGAGAGAUAGAAGGAAAGGAGUGGAAAAGUCAAGGGAUAUGAGGAUGAAUUGUCCUUAGUAAAGAAGGAAAGUGAGAAGAAAAAAAAGGGGGAGAAAUAAAUAUUUUAUACUAGUGAGAAGGGAAAUGUAUUAUCUUUCAACUUUCUGUUUACUCUACCAAGCAAGUCAAAAGGUCUUUUUCUUGUUAUUUUUUAUUGGACUUUUUACAAAAAAAAUAAUAACAAUACUUGGAGUACAUAUUGAUAAAUUUAUAUGUUUCUUUUCCUACCUUUUAUUGUCGAUGGUCAUGCCUUCAAUCACUUCAGUAGCCUGAAAGUAAUCAAGAAGAUAAAAUUAAUGCUCUAAAUUGUACAAUAAAACUUUUAAAAAUUUACAUACAUGUUCAACAUUAUUGCAAUCUUUUGGUCGAAAUACAGUAAAUAAAAUAUAUUCUAAUGAGAGUAAUUCAAUAAAAUUAAACAUUUAUACUACAAAUCAUUAUUAAUAUUUAUAAUCAACAAAUGAAAAUUAUCUUAAAGCUGCUCGAUGUCACUUAAGGAUCGAUAUAUAAAGCAAUUAGACUAAGCUUUGGAUUUACACCAUUUAUUGAUAAAAGAAAAUUUUGUAUGUAAAUUUUGUUGAAUGGUUUACCGUUUUUUUUGUUAGAACAUGAUGGACAUCCUUUUCCUUCCACAAUCUGCAACGUUUUCCAGGUUCAUUAACACAUUUUUCUUCAACAAUUUUUCUUCCCAUUUCUUGCAACAAGGCAUGCAUCCACAAAUAUCGGUCGUCAUCAUCGACUUUUAUGAGAGAUUUCUUAAAGAGAACAUCAAUUCCAAUAUCUGGGAAAAACUCACAACCAUCCAAUACUUUCAUUACCAAAUCUUUCUUCUCCCCAUUGAAAAAACAUGCUAUAUCUAGAAAUAUAUUCUUCUCCCUUUCUUCUAAUCCAUCAAAGCUGAUUCUUAGUGUGUUAAGAAUUUCUCUGUCACAAUCUUGUUCAAGUCUUUCAAUUGCACUUCUCCAUUGAACUAUAUCUCUACCGCACAAAAAUGAACCCAAAACUUCAAGAGCUAAGGGGAGACCAUCAACAUAAUGUACAACAUGUUCAGAAAGUUGAUUGAAAUUAUCUUUUGGAGUUGUAUCACCACCAAAAGCUUUCAAAUUGAAAAGCCUUAGUGCAUCGUUGGUGUUCAAUGUUGUAGGCUUAUACACAUCAUCGAUUCGAUAAGAUUGGAGCAAAUGUUCAUCUCUUGUUGUUACAAUGAUCCUACUACCUAAACUGAACCAAUCACGCCUUCCAACCAAGCAUUUCAAGUGUUGUACAUUAUCAACAUCAUCAAGAACAACAAGAACUUUUUUGCUAGACAACCUGCGGCUAAUUAUGGCAUUCCCUUCAUGAACAUUGACAAAAUUGAAGCAUUCAUUUGGCAAGAUUUGAUAAAGAAGUUGUUUCUGUAAAGAAACAAGUCCACAGUUGUUUGAAACUUCUCGAAUAUCAGCAAGAAAGCUUUUACCUUCAAAAUGAGGUGACAUUUGAGUGUAAACAACCCUUGCAAGAGUUGUUUUACCGAUGCCACCCAUUCCACAAAUUCCUAUAAUGCGGACAUCGUCUUCCCCAAUAUUUAUUUUCGAAUACAACUGCUCCAAACGUGAACUAAUUCCAACCAACUCAUCAUGAAGAACUGGAUAUGUCUGACAUAAAUUUGCUGAUAUCUUCUUAACAAUGUCUCCAAUAAACUCUGAUUCAUGCCUACAAUGAAAUUAAAUUUCGAUGCUAUAUUUCAAAUGCACUUCUUCAUUUUUAGUUCAGUGAAUAAUGAAAUAUAAUAUAGUUGGAAGCAAACAAAAAGCAAGAAUAAGACAGCAAGAUCUGUUAUAGCAUCAAAUGACACAACUUGCUGCUUAGUUGAAAUAUGGGAAUUCUCAAUUAAACACAAAAUUAUAUAUAAAAAAAUGCAAUCCAAAAAAAAAAAUUAGUCAUUAAAAUUAGGAAAUAUAGAAGAAAAGAAAGAAAUACCUAUUAUGUAAAUGCCAUCCUUUGAUGUUAGCUACUUGAGUCAAAGCAUUUCGCCACUUUUGGAUCUUGUCUGUAUCUUCCUUGUACCUCUCUUGGUGUUUGGCGAAGGCUUCUUCAACUUUUCCUUUUUGUUUUCUUAAAUCGGAUGGAUCCACAUCGUAGAAAAUUGGAAAUACUUUAUGUCCGUUCACAUUUUUUUGUUGAACAAUCUCAGCAAGCUCCUCCAAGCACCAUCCUGAAAAGGUAUAGGUUUUUGAAAAAACGAUUACCGAGCACCAUGAUUGCUGAAUUGCAUUGAAGAGUUCAGGUGCGAUCUCUUCACCAGCCUCCAGCUUUGGAUCAUCUCUGAAGGUGGCGAUCCCACUCCUCUUUAGAGCAUCAUAAAGAUGAUCCGUGAAGUUGUUGCGAGUAUCUUCACCUCUAAAACUCAAGAAAACAUCAUAUUUCUUUCUAGAAAUGGAGGAAGAAGUUGACGGUAACGACAACAUGAGGAUGUAUGAAAGGAGAUGGAUAUCUCAAUCUGGUGUUCAAAAUCAGAAAAUAGAUCGCCCGAUACCCACAAAGAAACUAGAAAGAGUAAGUAUAUAUAUGAGCAUAGGGGCGGAAAUUAGGGGUCAAAAGAUGAGCAAUGGAUGUUCUUGCCAAGAAGUAUCCAAGAAGGUGAGAGUUGGCAAAAUGGAAAUUACGUAAUAAUUAAAAAGUUGGGCGGUUUGUAUUUUACGUAUUUAAGAAUUAUGUAGAAUUAAUUUAUGGGCCGGUUAAAAAGUUUACCAAACAACCAACUACUCGCAUCCACACGUGGAAGAUUUCUAUCUCCAGAGACACAUCCUUUUCGACCGGCUUGUCCAGAAUUUCUACAAUGGAUAACAGCUCUGGAGAUGAUAACUCUGGCAGGGCAGAAGUAGAAUUUUUUUUUAAGGUACAAAAUUAAUUUGUAACUUUUAUUAUAGUAAAAAUAUAAUUUUAUAAUUUUAACAGUUUAUAUCUUUAUAAUAUUUAAAAUAUUAAAUUAAAUUAUUAUAAUUUUUAGGAGGGUCAACGUGUAAUUUUAUUUUUACUAAUUUAAAAUUUUAAAAAUCUUAAAAAACUUAAAUAAAAAACUUUUCAUUUUAAGAGAAGGGAACCCUACUAUCCCCUAGAUUCACCUCUGUAUCUCUGAGAAGCAUCAUCAUUGAUAAAAAUGCAACAGGAAACUACUCCCUUCAUUUGUCUUGAAUUUGCAAAUGCCUGCAAAAUAAAACUUCAGCGCUUAGUAAAUAAAACCAUCAAAUUCCCUUCAUGGACAUUGAAAACUUUUGUAGCUAAAUACGCCUGAGAUUUUGCUCCUGAUUCAUCAUGUCUUAUCUGCCUGCCUUUGCCUUUCCAUUUAUUCUUUGAUAAAUUUCUGUUCUUCAUAUUUCUUCUAUUGAGAGGACAUUUGCUCCUCCAUAACUCUUAUUCUCUUCUGCAUGUCCAAAUAUUGCUAACUACCAGAUUGAUUAUGUUAGAACCUUUGAUCCAUUGGUGAUGCUUCGGCAUGGUGUUUAAUUUUUGGGGUUAUAAUACCAUGGAGGAGUAUUGGUAAAACUGAUGGUAUGAAAUUUGUUGGUUUUAAUUUUGUGGGGGAUAUUGUUGACCAACAUGCAUUAGAUCCUGGUUUGAUUUCUUAGUUUGCUCCAUAUUUGCUUCGAUACUCUGACCAAUGAGGUUUGUAACUUGAUCAUUGGCAAGGUCAAACUCAAUAAUAGGAGGAUCAUUAGGAUCUGGAUGUUUCAUGCUUGUCCAUGCUCACCGCACCAAUUGUUAACUAGUGAGGUGAACAAAAGGAAGAAGAUGUUGGCUUGAUGAAGGAGGGAGUGCGAAGGUUGGAAGGAAUUUUUGGCCUCGUGGAGGUAGUUCAGAGGUUUAGUGAGAGAAGUAUGUAAGAGUGGACCUACGUGAGUUGUUUGCAUGACCCUUUUAUAGUGAGGACAAACUUAGUUAUGUUUCCUAAGAUUGAUGAUGUGGAAGUCUAAUUUGAUAUCUUUGCAGUGAUGGUGAUAUGAUGUCUUAGGAUGAAACAUGUUAGGACAGCUAGCAAUUAAUUACUCUGGGUCUCUACAUAGUCCUCAUUUGUCUUAGUGGAGGUGCAUAGUUCUAAAGUUCAUCAGGUUGUGAUACGAGGACCAAUUACUGGUCCAUAGACUAGCUAUGGGUUUGCUAGGCAUGAACUAGAUGUGAGUCCGCGAUAUCGUUGGUUCCAUUAGAAGACACUUGUCAAACUAUUUAUGAGUGUUCUAUGAGGUUCGCGACACAAAUAAAACCAUUAAUGCACAAUGUGAAAAUUUUUGUCCAAACAAGUUUAAAUGAUACUUCUAUUAGCAGGAAUUAAAGCCGUAUAAAUAAUUCUAAGGACCUAUAUAUAAGCUACAAAAGGAAGCUAUUUAAAUACUAUUAAAGCAGGGAUUGAAUCACACCAAAACACAUUACAGACAUCCAAUGGUACAUUGUCAUGCUUUUUCUUUUUUUUUCCUAGUAAGUAUUCAUGUUUAAUACUAUGCUCGACUUACAUAUAGUUAAUAGACUAAAUUGGAAACAUAUCACAUUUAAUAUAUAAACAAGUAUCAAUUGUGAUAUUCCCCAAUAAAAAUGAAAUGGUGUUCUAUUUAGAGAAAUAGCAGCAAUCGAGCGUUCUCCACAUUUUUGUUACAAAGUUGAACCUACAAAGAAAAUAUAGAUGUAAGUUUAUACAUACAUAUAAUGUUGAGCAAAAAAAAAAAAGUUUAUGCAUAUAACAUAAAAUGUAUUAAAAAAUCCAUUAAACUUUACAAGUUUCAAUCAGGUACAAAAGAAUGAAUUAUAUGAAUAAAAAUUUAAAUGGUAUAAAAAAUUAUGUUCUACAAAUUCGAGAUACGUGUAGAAUAUGAGUUUAGUGUUUAACAUGUUCAUACACAAAAUUUAGAAUUAGUUAUAACGUUUCAAGAAUAUUACCAAAUCCUAUGUUGAGUAAAGAUGUCCAAAAUGAAUACUUCAAAUCAAAUAAAAGACGUGCAUAAAAUAGAUUAGUAUGUCUAAAAAAUAAUUAAUAGUCGAUUGAGUUUUAGCUCGAUUGAUUUCAAUAUUUUUGUCAAUACAGGUGUAAAAAUAGAACAUUGGUAAUGACAAUGUAUCACAAAGAAAAAGAGAGAAAAAUAAAGAACACAUAGAUUUUACGUGGAAACCCUUUCGGAAAAAAAUUCACAGAAGGAGAAGAUAAUACACUAUGCCGAAUUCGAAUGAAUACAAGAGGAGUAGACUAUGUCUAUUUAUAGACUUGUAAAACCAUAUUUUAAUAAGAGUGUAGUAAGAUUGAAAUGUCUUAUUCUAAUUAAUAUCAAAUAGAUGGAGUUUAAUAAGGUUUAAAAACCUUAUUCUAGAAUAAAAUAAAAGAAGUGUAGUUCUAUAUGGAUUUUACUUUUAUUUUAUUUUACCAUUGUAUUUUAUUUAAAUAAGGAUUCAAGUCACUCAAUUCUAACAAUAUCCACCUUGACACGAAUUCUCAAUGAACAAGUUCUUCAUUGCAAACUCUCAACGAACAAGUUCUUCACCUCUUUCAUAAAACCCCAUUAAAGGUUUAACUUCAACAAUGAACACCAACCAAGUCUAAGCAAUGCAUAGGAAGUGACUUAGUCAUCAUAUCUGUAGAAUUUUCAUGAGUAUUAAUUUUGCUCACAACAAUAUCACCACGAGCAAUAAUAUCAUGAACAAAAUGAUACCGGACAUCAAUGUGUUUUGUUCUCUCAUGAAACAUUUGAUCUUUUGUAAGGAAGAUGACACUCUGAUUGUCACAAAAUACUGUACUGAUUUGAAGGUCUUCAUUGAGUUCACUAAAGAGUCCCUUCAACCAAAUAGCUUCUUUACAAGCCUCAGUAAUCGCCAUAUACUCAGCUUCAGUGGUAGACAAAAUGAUUGUAAUUUGCAAAGUGGCUUUCCAACUGAUUGCACAACCUCUGGUUGUAAAGACAUAACCCAUGAGAGAUAUUCUUCUAUCAAGGUCUCCAGCAAAAUUAGCACCAAUAUACCCAAUGACUCCACAUCUAGUUCUUCCAAACUGUAAGCAAACAUCAGUAGUACCUAGUAAGUAUCUUAAAAUCCACUGAACUUCUUUCCAAUAUUUUUUACCAGGAUUCACCAUGUAUCUACUAACUUCACUGAUUGCAUAUGAUAAAUCUAGACGUGAACAAACCAUAGCAUACAUGAGAGAUCUCACUGCACUAGAGUAUAGAAGAUGUGACUUGUACUCAAUCUCAUCAUAUGAUUGUGGAGACAAAGCUGAUGAAAGUUUGAAAUGGGCUGCUAAAGGAGUAUUAACAGGCUUAGCACUCUGCAUAUUGAACCUGCAAAGAACUUUCUCAAUAUACCCCUUCUGACUUAGGUACAAUUUACUUGCUUUUUUUGUCUUUAAAAAUCUCUAUACCAAGUAUCUUCUUUGCUGGUCUCAAACCUUUCAUCUCAAAUCUUUCACUUAGUUGGCCUUUGACCUUUCUUAUCUCUUAUUUAUCUUUCGCUGCUAUCAACCUAUCAUCAACAUAAAUGAGUAGAUACACAAAAGAAACAUCAUUGUUUUUCUUAAAGUAAACACAACUGUCAUAGCUACUUCUUUUGAAAUCAUGAGAAGUCAUAAAGAAAUCAAACCUUUUGUACCAUUGUCUUGGUGACUAUUUCAAAUUGUAAAGGGACUUUUUUAGCAAGCAAACAUAGUCCUCUUUUUCUGAGACUAUAAAACCCUCUAGUUGUUGCAUGUAAGUAUCAUCCUCAAGUUCUCUAUGCAAAAAUGCAGUUUUUACAUCUAACUGUUCAAGCUCCAAAUCAUGCACGGCCACAAUACCAAGCAAAGCUUGAAUCGAACUAUGCUUCACAACUGGGGAGAACACAUCUGUGAAGUCCACUCCUGGAAUUUGACUGUAACCCUUUGUAGCAAGCCUUGUUUUAUAUAUGGGUUCUUCAACUCUUAGAGUCCCUUCAUUCUUUUUAAACACUCAUUUACAACGAACAAUCUUUUUACCUUUAGGAAGUUUCACAAGAUCCUAUGAUUUGUUUUUGUGGAGUGAUUCCAUCUCUUCUUGCAUAGUAAACAUCCAAUUUUCUAAGUUUUCACAGCUAACCGCCUCAAAAUAAUUAGAUGGCUAUUGGUUUGCAUCUAUAUCUUCAGCCACAUUUAAAGCAUAAGCAACUAGAUCAGCCUCGGCAUACUUCUUUGGGGGUUUAAUUUCUCUUCUAGUUCUGUUUUUGGCAAUAAAGUAUUAUAGCGAAGAAGCAACUUUAUUCUGAAUUUUUGUACUGGCUUGAGAAGUCGACUCUAUUGUAUAUUCUGGAUUAAUCUGAUACUCCACCUACUUUUGAUUUUCUUUAUUGGAAAAGUCUUUAAGAGAUAAGUUAGGUAGCAUAGUAGUUUCAUCAAAAACAACAUCUCUACUAAUCACAACAUUUCUAUUUUUAGGACACCAUAACUUAUACCCUUUUACACUAUCUUUAUAAUUAAGAAAAACACAUUUAAUGGAUCUCGGUUCCAAUUUUCCAUUAUUAACAUGAGCAUACGUACGACACCUAAAGAUCUUUAAGUCAGAAUAAUUAGCAGGAUUACCAAGCCAUACCUCUUGUGGAGUCCUUUUCUCAAUGGAAACGAAUGGAGAUCGAUUGAUCAAAAAACAUGCAGUAGAGGUUGCUUUGGCCCAAAACGACUUUGGUAAGUUGGCAUUUGACAACAUACAUCGAACCUUCUCCAUGACCAUUUUGUUCAUUUGUUCUACAAUGCUAUUUUGCUGUGGAGUAUGACAAACUAUCAAGUGUCUCACGAUCCCUUCUGACUUACAUAGUUAAUUAAACUCAUCAAAACAGAACUCUGAGCCAUUGUCUUUGCGGAUGUAUUUUAUUUGUUUUCCCGUCUGUUUUUCAAUCAUAGUUUUUCAAGACUUAAAUGCAGAAAACACAUCGCUUUUUUGUGUAACUCACACCCAACCGUUUGAUUGUAUCAAUUAAACGCAGUUUGUAGAGUAACUCAUCAUCCAUCACUACCUUAAUCAUCCUCCUUCUUCUUUCAAUUCUUCAUGUUAUAGUUUAGUUGUAGCAUCAAUGUUCUGUAGAAUUGUAAUGUAGGACAAGAUUUCCAUGAACUAAACUAUAUCAGAUGUUACACAAUACGAAAUCAAUACAAACAUGAAACAUAUUUGCUCAUGUGCACACACUUGUAUAUACGUGAUUUAAGUUAAACAAUAUAUUAGACAUGGCAUGAUUAAUAGCUGAUUAUAAAAUAAAGGUAUUUAGUUAGGACGCUUCUGGUUGGACAUGGAUCCAUGAAUUGAAGAAGGAAGCUUUGAUGAAGACAUUUCGUUAGCUAGUAACUAUGUAUGUUGGAAACCCUACGAAAUGAGAUGAAGUGGUGUGAGGCAAAGAGCUCCUAUGUUGACGUAUUUAUACAACUUUCUCAGCAUGUGAAAAUCCUACAUUUACCUAUACAUCUGGAAAUUGAACAGUAGGAUUCGGUAAAAAUCAAAUCGCAUAGUGCCUUAUUAAUUAUUUUUUAAAUUUAAAAAAAGAAGAAAGUUAUUGAGAUUAUUUAAAAAUUUUGUAAAAAUAAAAAAUAUAUUAUAAAAUUUUAAAAAUUAAAAAUUAAAUAUUUAAUUAUUGAUUUGACAUCCACAUGUAUGUCCACGACAACAAAUUAAAUGUUUGAUUAAAAAAUUCAUCCAGUUUGGGUGAUUAGAAAAUUAAAUAGAGGGCUAAAAAGAUUUGGUUUUUUUUUUUGUAAUGUUGGAAGCCUAAAUAUGUCAUUAUACCAAAUUAAUUCAAUCAAUUAAAAAUAUAACUAAACUAUAAACAAAACAAUUUUUAUAUGUAAGUCAAUCAUAAGUGAAGUGAUAAAUAAUUUGUAUUCAAGUUUUAAGUUGAUAUUGACAUUGUUGCCAGUGUAGGAGGAUGUGAGUUCAAGCAAGCUGAAGCGUGUCAUCCUCCUCUUUAAGGGUUAAGAAGAGAAUAUAAAUAGUUCUAGGCAUCAUAUCAAAAAAUAAUUUUCAGUUGACGUCAAAAUUUAAUUUCAUCCUCAUCCUUAUAAAAAACUACUUUUUUGAAAAACAAAAUUUAAUGAAGUAUUAAUAAAGAAAUGAAAAUGUAAAUGGUUUUGAAAAAAUUUACUAUUGCUAGCAAGAAGUGCAUUGCUAAUAGAGACAGAACACUAAGAAAUUGGUGCCUAAGUUGGUGGCCACUUCUUUAGGCACUAAACGAGAAAAACAGAAAAACAAGCGAAUAUGAUUACGCAAUUCAGUUACUCUACGUCUGUGGAGCCUAGCUCAGUUAAAAGUUUGUACUCUUUUAAAAAAUUACAAAGUGAACCCUAAUUGUUGGAAAAGAAAUCUAAUUUGAAAAUGGUUUUCUUGCCCAGUAGAAAAUUAAAAUUUUAAAAACCGACCCAGUUUGUGAUAUUUAUAGCAGUAAACCUUAGACCGAAAUUAUACCUAUGUUUUUGGUUAAGCGAAUCCUAGACAUUUUUCGACUUUCAACUAAACGAGUUACGUGAUUAUCAAGUGAAUUUUUUUAAAGAAAAUUAAAAAUGUCACGCAAGAGAAUUUAAUAGAAAAAUUUUAACAAGGGUAACGAUCGAUCCUGAAUUUUUAAAUUCAAAAACUAGAAAAUUAUGCUCCUAAAAAUAAAAAUAGAGGACUAAAUUUCAAAUGUAAAAGUAUAUAGAGAUCUAGUGUAUAUUUUAAUAUUCAAAUUUUUACUCUUUAAUUUGACACAAAUAAUAAUUAACCUAACAUGGAAUGUGGGUCGAGUCCAUACUAGUUUUGGUUAAAAGCCUAAAAAAGUGUUAUAUUUCUGUUUUUCCUACAAAACUUUGUUGUCGAGAGUUUAAAUUUUACAUUUAAUUUAUCUAUAUUACAAUGAUUAAUAUAAUAAUAUCUUAAUGGGUUGAGUAGAAUGGUUCAACAAGUACAAAGAUGAUGAAGGAAACUUUAACAUGUCCUUAACAAGUGAUGUGAAAGGCUUACUAGAAUUAUAUGAAGCUUCACAUUUACGUGUGCAUGGGGAAGAUAUACUUGAAGAAGCUCUUGGUUUCACCACCACUCAUCUAGGUUUAGCCAAAGCUGCUGGCGCUAUCGAAUAUCCCCUUUCAGCCUUAGUCUCCCACGUUCUACAACCCAUCCGCAAGGGCUUGCCAAGGUUGGAGGCUAGGCGAUUCAUUUCCAUUUACCGAGACGAUGCUUCACAUAACAAAACACUGUUGAAGUUUGCAGAGUUGGAUUUCAACUUGUUACAAAUUUCACACAAGGAUUUCAAGGCAAUAUAUUACUCCUUCAACAUUCAAUAUUAAUUGUUUAUCCUAAUUUAAAAGGACUAAUUGAUACCUAAUGAUGAACUAAACAUAGUUAGGCUAAUUUGAGUUUUGUUUCAGGUGGAGGAAAAGUUUAGACUUACCUACAAAACUACCUUUUGUUCGAGAUAUAUUGAUAGAAGCUUACUUUUGGGCACUGGGAGUGGAUUUUGAGCCACAAUACUCUUUUGCUAGGGAGAUAUUAGCAAAAAAAAUGGUCAUGACAUCAAUAAUGGAUGACAUAUAUGACGCAUAUGGCACACUUGAAGAACUUCAACUCCUCUCGAAUGCAAUUCAGAGGUUAGCAACUUCACACGAUUCAAUUUUAAAUUUGAAAGUUGAUUCAGUUAGUUCAUGUAAUCAUGUAUAAAAAACAUUACUCAAUAUGUUUGAUUUUGAACUUUUCUCUAAUUGAUUUUGCAGGUGGGAUGCUGAUUAUAUAGAUCAACUCCCAAAAUACAUGAAGUCAUUUUACAAGCCAUUGUUAGAUCUUUUUGGAGAAAAUGAGUAGGCAAUGAUUAAGCAAGGAAAAUAAUGUUAUGUCAAAUAUGCGAAAGAUUAUACAUUCGUACCUUAUCUCAUUUUUUAAAUAAUUUUACAUAAGCCGUAAAAAUUAGUAACCCCUUUCUCCUUUUCUCAUAUAUUAUAUGAGGAAAAUGACAAGUAGUGUUGGCAAUGAAGCAAGGUGGAGUGGGACUAUUCACCUUAACCCCAUCCAAUCUUUAUAUCUCCUACCUUGACACCACUCCAAACAUGAUUUUAUUUGAAAUUUCAUAUCCAAAAAAUUUUUUUUUCUCAACUUUACCCAACUCACACAAAAAUAUUAAAUAAUUUUUAUGUUGUAUUACUUUUUACAAUAUCAAAUAAAAUGCAUAUUAUAAAAUCAUAUAAAAAUUUAAAAUAUCUAACUAAAAAAUAAAAAAUUUAAAAUCUUAUAAAAUCUUAUAGAAGUUUAAAAAAUUUAUAAUUAAAAUAUAUAAAAUUAGUUAUGAAAUUAAAAAGGUAUUUUGGUAAUUUUUUAAGAUAGUGCAAGUUUAAGUAAAACCUUAUCUCUGCCCAAACUCUAAUUUUCAUAAAAAGAAAAUAUGUUUUAUAGGGUUGGAUCGAAACAUAUGGAUUUGGGUCAUUUUUAUUAUCCCUAAAUAUACAUAUAUGUUUAACAUGAUUAUAUUCCAUUUUAUAUAUAUAUAUAUAUUUAUAUAUGAAGGAUUAUAAGUUGGGUACUUAUAUACUCUAAACUUGAAAAUUUAUUAUGACCUAAAGGUAAUGACUUUUUUUCUUCUUCUUCCUUUUUAUAGUUUAAACAAUUGUGUGAAUGCUAUUUUGUGGAGGCCAAAUGGUACAAUGAAAACUUUGUACCAACAAAGGAGGAGUAUAUGAGGAACGCGGUUUUAUCUGUUGGUUAUAUCAUGUUAACCGUCACAUCUUUUAUUGGAAUAGGAGAUUUUGUGACACUUGAGAUUUUUAAUUGGGCAUCUAAGAACCCUAAAAUCACUGAUGCUUCUUCCGUUGUUGAUCGUCUCAUGAAUGAUGUUACUUCACACAAGGUACCUUUUUUUCCCGAAUUUUGCAAGAGUAUUUUCAAUAAGUUAUAUUUGAUGAAUAAAACUAAUAUAAAUAUAUAGUUUGAGCAAGAGAGAGGGCACUGUGCAUCAGCUUUGAAUGCUACAUGAGAGAACAUGCAGUUUCAGAAGAAGAAGCAUGUACUGAAUUGAAGAAGCAAGUGGAGAAUGCUGGGAAAGAUAUCAACCAGGAAAUGAUAUUUGGUCAGAUAUCCAAAGUUGUUCCAAGGCCGGUUCUUACACGAGUUCCCAAUUUUACGAGAUUGGAGAUGAGUACACACAUGCUGGGAAAAAUACAAAAGAUGGGAUAACUGUUUGCUCAUUGAUCCAAUCUCAGUCUCCUAUUGAGGAAUUAAGACUCUAUAUCAUCUAGCGAUCCCUUUCCUGUUUGUGUUGCUUUUAUAUGUUAUAUGCUUUUAAGAUGUUAUUUAAAUCCUAACAUCUCAAUAAUCCAUGGUGUAUAUUUAUGUUACUCUUUUUUACUAUGUUUUAUGUCGUAUUUUGAUAAAUUUUCAAAUCUCAAGAUUUCUUGAGACUUAAAGGGUUGGUGAAUGAAUCAAGGCGUUGUUAUUUAAAUGGGUUUUAUGGUUGUUCUUUUGGUGCAGUUCUGAUUGUGUCUCAACUGAUUUUUGUUUAUGAGAUUUUAGUGCAAGGGAUCAUGAGUGGUAGUUGUGUUGCAAAGGGCUAAUCCUUACAGUAUAUCAACAUGGGAUGAUGGUGAAUGAACCUUGGCUUUAAAGUUUUUUAGGUGUUAAAGAUGGUAAGUAUGUGACUGCUUAAGAAAUUAAAGGUAUGGGUUUUAAAGAAAAUGGGUGGAUGGAAGGAAUUGUGGGCAAUCAGCAGUGCAUUUUACUGGAGGAGGGAAGUGCAACUGGUAGGGGAUUUCUAAGUUUUUAGAAUGGUUUGCAUGUAAAUUUUGGAGUUCUAAAAAAAAAGAGAGUUAACUUAAAUCACUUUUGAGAUGAAUUUCAAUGGAAAUGUGAAAUUCCCAACUAUAUGUUUUCUAAAAUGAAGAAACAAGAGAGAGAAAAUCUAACUAUUUUGCAAAGAGAAAAAGAAGAAGCCAUUUUUAUAUUACCCACAUUGCAUCGAGAAAUUAUUUUAUGGACCUUUUUAUCACAUCAUCUAGGGUUUUUUACACAAAUAAUACAAAAAAAUUUUAAAAAAUACCAAAGUAAUACAACCAUUUUAUUAUGUACCAAAAUGGUACAAACAGUAAAAAACCUAGUCGAGGGCCUGCCACAGGCGGCACCUGUGUCAUGUUUUCCUGGGGCUCCCCAAUUUGUUUGUUUUUGUUGUUUAAGGUUUAUGAUGUGAUUGGUUUUGAUUUAAUUGAGAUUUAAUUUUAAAUUUAUUUUUUUGCAAGGUAUUAUUUGAUUAAAAAUAGAUAUUAAGAUAUGUUUAUAUUUAUCUAUAUUUUCAUUCAUUCAUAAUUUAAUUUUAAUUUUUAGGUUAUGUACAUUCUAUGUUUUAUUAUUUAUGUUAUGUACAUACUAUGUCUUAUUAUUUUAUCAUUUAUGUUAUUAUUUAUGUUUUAUUAUUUAUGUUAUGUUCAUUCUAUGUUUUAUUAUUUUAUUUAAUUUAUUUGUUAAGUGUAUUUUAUGUUGAUUAGAUAUAUUUUUUAUGAAACUUAUUUAGCAUGUUGUAAUGAUAUUUUUUUACAAAAAUAGUAUUAAAAAUAAAAUAUCGAAAAAAUAUUUUUAUGACAAAAUAAAAUACAAAAAGAAAUAAAAAAAUGAAAAUAGUAUAUUUACUGAAAGUAAUAAAAUUCGAAAAAAAGAAAAUUACGAACAAAGGGUCAAAAUAAAGGUUUUUUACUAAAUUUAUAAUAAAACACACUAAAAUAAUAUAUUUUAGACAUUAUGUACUAAAAUAAUAUAAAAUAAUAAAAUACAAAAAUAGUAUAUUUUUUGAAAGUAAUAAAAUCCGAAAAUAAGAAAAAUACGAACAAAUGGCCAAAAUAAGGGGUUUUUACUAAAUUUAUAUAAAAAAACACCAAAUUAAUACAUUUCUAAUUUUAUGUACUAAAAUAAUAUAAAAUAAUAAAAUACAAAAAUAGUAUAUUUUUUGAAAGUAAUAAAAUUCGAAAAUAAGAAAAAUACGAACAAAUGACCAAAAUAAGGGGUUUUUACUAAAUUUAUAUUAAAAAAACACACUAAAUUAAUACAUUUCAAACUUUAUGUACUAAAAUAAUAUAAAAUAAUAAAAUAUGAAAAUAGUAUAUUUUUUGAAAGUAAUAAAAUCCGAAAAUAAGAAAAAUACGAACAAAGGGCCAAAAAAUCGGGAAAACAUGGCACAGGUGUCGCUUGUGGCAAUGGCAUCUUUGGUGCUGCCUCUGCCACUGGCACCUUUGGUGCCGCCUAUGGCAGACCCUCGACCAGGUUUUUUACUGUUCAUUUUGGUACAUAAUAAAAUGGUUAUAUUAUUUUGGUAUUUUUUAAUUUUUUUGUAUUAUUUGUGUAAAAAACCUCAUCAUCUAUGGUCCCACCCAAUUAAAAGAAGACGCAUCAUCUUUGAUUCCACUUCUCCACUGAGAAGCAUCUCUACCGCACACAAAAGAACCCAAAACUUCAAGAGUUAAGGGGAGACCACUAGCAUAAUGUACAACAAGUUUAGAAAGAAUAACCUUUUUACCUUUUGGAAGUACAAUAUCCCAUGUUUUGUUUUUGUGGAGUGAUUUCAUCUCUUAUUGCAUAGCAAACAUCCACUUUUUUUAGUCUUUAAAGCUAACCGCCUCAAAAUAAUUAGAUGGCUUUGGUUUGCAUCUAUAUCUUCAGCCACAUUUAAAGCAUAAGCAACUAGAUCAGUCUCAGCAUACUUCUUUAGAGGUUUAAUUUCUCUUCUAGUUCUGUUUUUGGUGAUAGAGUAUUGUGGUGAAGAAGCAACUCUAUUCUAAAUUUUGUACUGACUUGAGAAGUCGACUUUGUUGUAGAUUCUGGAUUAAUCUGAUGCUUCACCUACUUUUGAUUUUCUUUAUUGGAAGAGUUUUUAAGAGAUAAGUUAGGUAGCAUAGUAGUUUCAUCAAAAACAACAUCUCUGCUAAUCACAACUUUUCUAUUUUCAGGAUACCAUAACUUUUACCCUUUUACACUAGCUUUAUAACAAAGAAAAGCACAUUUAAUGGAUCUCAAUUCCAAUUUUCCAUUAUUAACAUGAGCAUACGUAGGACAUCCAAAGAUAUUAAAAUUAGAAUAGUCAGCAAGAUUACCAAACCAUACCUCUUGUGGAGUCUUUUUCUCAAUGGCAACGGAUGGAGAACGAUUGAUCAAAAAACAUGAAGUAGAGGGUGCUUUUGCCCAAAACGACUUUGAUAAGUUGGCAUUUGACAACAUACAUCGAACAUUCUCUAUGAUCGUUCUGUUUAUUCGUUCUGCAAUGUUGUUUUGCUAUGGAGUAUGAUAAACUGUCAAGUGUCUCAUGAUCCCUUCUGAUUUGCAUAGUUUAUUAAACUCAUCAGAAUAUAACUCUAAGUCAUUGUCUGUGUGGAGGUAUUUUAUUUGUUUUCCCGUCUAUUUUUCAAUCAUAGUUUUCCAAGACUUAAAUGUGAAAAACACAUUACUUUUUUGCUUCAGGAAGAACGCCCAAACUUUUCUAGAAAAAUUAUCAAUAAAUGUUAGCAUAUAAUUAGCUCCACCUCUCGAAGGCAUUCUUGAUGGCCCUUACAGAUCAGACUGAAUAUACUCCAACAUCCCCUUUGUGUUAUGGAUUUCUCUGGUGAAUCAAACUCUCUUUUGCUUCCCAAAAAUGCAGUGCUCAUAAAACUUCAGUUUGCAAAUUCCUUGCCUAUCAAGAAGUACUCUUUUGCUCAAUUCUGCCAUGCCAUUCUCACUUAUAUGCCCUAGGCACAUUUGCCAAAGUUUAGUAAUAUCAUCAUCUGAUAAGGAAGAGGAAGCGACAGCUGCAUCACCAGUAACAGUAGAAUCUUGCAAAACAUAUAACUUGGUAGUCUUUCUCUGCCCUUUCAUCACAACGAGAGAACUUUUGGAAAUAUUCAAAACCCUAUUUUUAGCUGUGUAUUUGUACCAUUUUGAAUCAAGAGUACCCAACGAAAUUAAAUUUCUCUUGGAACAUGUCGUACAUCACUAAGUGUUCUAAUAACUCCAUCAAAUAUCUUAACUUUUAUUAUUCCAACACCUGCGAUUUUACACGAAGCAUUAUUUCCCAUCAAAACAACACCUUCAGACACUGUUUCGUAAGUUGUAAACCAAUCCUGAUUGGGACUCAUGUUGAAGGUGUAGCCUGAAUCAAGGAUCCACUCCUCGCUCACUUUAGAAUUGUUAAAAGAAGUGACUAGAAGUUCACCAUCGCUGUAGUCUUCUACAACAUCAGCUUUACUGGAAUUUUCUGUUGAUUUCCCUUUUGAUUCGCAGCUUCCCUUUUGAUCUUGUUCUCUAGCUUAUAGCACUCAGAUUUAAUGUGCCCUUUCUUCUUGUAGAAGUUAUAAGUUUAACUUUUGUUUGAAGACUUCGAUCUACCCUUAGAUUUACCGAGAGGAUUCCCACGAUCAUCAUCAGUAUUCCGAUAUUGUCUCUCACGAACAAUAAGACCCUCUCCCUGAGAGUCAAUUUUAACCACAAGAUGCUCCAUCUUAUCAUACGAGGUUAAAAAAUCGUAAACCUCAUCAACUGUGAGAGACUCGUGGCUAUAUAAAAUCGUGUCUCUAAAAGUUGAAUAAGACGGAGGCAACGAACAAAGUAGAAUCAACCUUAGAUCUUCCUUAUCAUACUGAACCUCCAUGGCCUCCAAGUUUGAAAGAAUUUCUGUAAACACUGUUAAGUGUUCGUGCAUAGACGCACCUUCCUCCAAACGAUGAGCAUAAAUACGCUGCUUCAUCUGUAGCUUGCUGACUAGAGUUUUUGACAUACAUAUUUAUUCCAGCCUCUUCCAUAAUACAAUAACGGUCUUCUCUUUCAUCACAUCCUGUAAAAUUUCAUUGGACAAAUACAGAUGUAACUGUGUUAACGUCGUUCGGUCCUUGCGCUUCUUCUCUUCCUCCGUGAAUGUGAAAGGCUUCUUAUCUACCCUUAGCAGAGCUUCUUCUAAGUACAUCUAUGCAAGAACUGCUUAUAUCUUUAUCUGCCACAACGCAAAUCUAGUGUUGUGAUCCAACAGCGUAAUUUCAUACUUCAAAGACGCCAUUACCGUAAUUGAGAUGAACAACCCAAAAGCUCUAAUACCAAUUUGUAAAAAUAGAAUGUCGAUAAUGACAAUGUAUCGCAAAGAAAAAGAGAGAAAAAUAAAGAACACACAGAUUUUACGUGAAAACCCUUUUGGGAAAAAACCAUGGCCAGAGGAGAAGAUAAUUCACUAUGUCUAACUCUAAUGAAUACAAAAGGAGUAGACUAUGUCUAUUUAUAGGCUUGUAAAACCAUAUUCUAAUAGGAGUGUAGUAAGAUUGAAACACCUUAUUCUAAUCAAUAUCAAAUGGAUGGAGUUUAAUAAGAUUUAAAAACUUUAUUCUAGAAUAAAAUAAAAGAAGUGUAGUUCUAUAUGGAUUUUACUUUUAUUUUAUUUUACCAUUGUAUUUUAUUUAAAGAAGGACUCGGGUCACUCAAUUCUAACAACAGGAGAACUUGGGUUUGAGUGCGCUAAAUCGCAUUAUUCUCCUAUUUAAGGGUUGGGGAGGAGCUAUGGAUAGUUCUAGACAUUAUAUUAAAAAAAGAAUAGAUAUGCUCCGAACCUAUAGAGAGAUAUAUAUUGACAAGUUAGUAGUUCAUUAUAAAAUUGAAACUGUUUUGGUUGUAGCCCUUCUUCCUCUGUCUCCUCGUAGAGAUUAAGCUUAUGCUUUUGUUUUACAAGGGAAGUGCCACCUAUUGAUCCAUCAUUAUCAGCAGAGUGUUGAUGGAUAUCUUUGAAAUUUGGAGAAGAUUGAGUGCUAAGGCUAUGUUGCUAUUUUAUUUCAUCCAAAUAUUUCUCAUACACUAUUUUAACACCACACUUCUUCACCUUAACACCGGGACCAAUUGGCUUUGUGAAAGACAGCUCAAGCUCAUCGCAUUCUUGAUCUGAGCAAUCUAUUGUUGAUAAAUUCUUGGUUUCACAUUCAUCUCCCAAGGAAAAUAGAUAUAAUUUUUCACGCGACCAAUAAUGAAGAAAAAGGUGAUCCUUCGUUAUAGGAUGGUUAUUUUGUUUACCUAACAACCAGCCCAAGCAGUCACUCUCAUCAACUUGUCUGGAAUUCUACAAUGGAUAACCGCUCUACAUGUGAUACCCGCUUCAUCUCUAGAAGCAUCAUCAUUGACAAAAAUGAAACACUCGAAAGCUCCAAACCAUUGACUAUCAUUUUGAAUAUUGAGAGGUAGAGGUAUCUUGAUUGAAGAGUCACCUAUCUGUCGAUUAAACCAUUAUGGAAUUUCACUUCUAGGUGUAAUAACAUCAAAUAUUUUUUUUUUGAAUUUGUAAAUUGCUGCAAAAGAAAACACUGGUCGUUUGGUAACGAGAACCAUAAAUUAUCAAGUAUGAGAUUCUAUAAGCGAAAAAUAAGAGAGAUCAAUUAACCUUCAGUUUUUUCAGCAAUGUUAAUGCAUUGAUGUACUCUGCCAAUCUAUAACAGUUAACCACUUUAAUGAAAGUCGAAAGCGCUAAAUUGGGUACUUCCAAUGGACUUGCAAGUUCAUCUACGUCAAACGAAGCACAACCAUCUAACCGCACAUCUUCUAUACUUGUUAGAAGCUCAGGCACUGAUUUAAGCUCCUUGCAAUUUGGCAAUCGAAGGGUUUGAAGCUUGGAAAGUUGAGUAAGAGUUGAAGGAACGCCAUUGAAAUUGUUACCACUAAGAUCAAGUAAUAUCAAAGAGGAUAAACCAGAAACAUCACUUGGAAUAUCUGCUUCACAAAGAUUGCGAACAUUGCAAUUUGACAAUCAAAGAUAUUGAAGCUUGGAGAGUCACAUAAGAGACACGGGUAUGUUGCUAAAACUGUUACCACUAAGAUCAAGUUUUUUCAAAGAGGAUAAACAAGAAAUAUCACUAGGAAUGUCUCCUUCCCGAAGAUUGCUACCCCUUAGAUUCAACUCUCUUAAACGGGACAGGAAGGCAACAUCAGAGCCAUGGAAUUCAUUCUUCCUCUUUGGAUUACCUUGGAAAGAGAAGAAAGAUUUCUUUGUACCUUAGAUAGUCCCUUGCAUCCAUUGAAAGAAAAAACUUCAAGAUUUUUCAAUUAAAAAAUGAAGGAUGGUAGUUUUGUUAUAGUUGUUUCACUUAAGUCAAGCUCUUCGAAAAAUUCUAAUUGCAGUGAACUAUGGCAAAUUUUCUAACUUUAUAUAACAGCCAGAAAGAUCAAGAGUUUGUAGGCAUCCCAUUUUCCCAUCAAUCUCUGAAACCUUACAAGAUUUGAACAACCGAAAGAAUUAAUGUUUCAAGAGAUUCCAUUCCAAUUUUGGUUGGAAUACUCCUAAGAUUCCAUCCAAUUGUUGUGGUCAUAGGUGGCGAUUAUAGUGGUGAGAGGUUCGUGUCUUUAAAGUGUAAGAGUGAAGGAAACAAUCAAGAUGUGUGUGAUUAAGUAGGUUUAUUUAGUAAUUGUAGAAAAUAGUACACACUUUUAACUGAGUUAGGCUCCACAGACGUAGGGGUAACUAAACUGCGUAAUCAUCUUCGUGUGUUUUGUGUGUUUUUUUGUUUUUCUUAUUUAGUACUUGAAGAAGUGCCCACUAACUUAGGUACCAAUUUCUUAGUGUUGUAUCUCUAUUAGCAACGCACUUCAUGCUAGCAAUAGUAUUUUUUUUUCAAAACCAUUUACAUUUUUAUUUCUUUAAUGAUUCAUUAGUUUUUGUUUAAAAAAAGUUUUUCAUAAGGGCAAGGAUGAAAUUAAAAUUUGACGUCAACUUGAUUUUUUUUUUAUAAUGGCUAAAGCUACUCAUAGUCUCUUCCCAACCCUUAAAAAGGAGAAUAACAUGCUUCAGCUCACUUAAACUCACAUUCUCCUACACUGGUGACAAUGUCAAUGUCAAUUUAAAACUUGAAUACAAAUUAUUUAUCUCGUCACUUAUUAUUCAAUUACAUAUAAAAAAUUGUUUUGUUUAUAGUUUAGUUAUAUUUUUAAUUGAUUGAACUAGUUUAGUUUAGCUAUACAAAAACUUGAUGACAUAUUUAGGCUUCCAACAUUACAAAAAUAAAAGUCUUUUUAGCACUCUAUUUAAUUUUUCGCCUCUCUUUAAUCCUCAAACUUAAGUUUAUUUUUUUUGUCAGAUCACAGCAAAAGUGAUCAAACGUUUAAUUUGCUAAUGUGGAACAAAUAAUUAAUUUUUAAUAUUUUUUGAAUUUUUAAAAUAUUAUAAUAUAUUUUUUAUUUUUAUAAAAAUUUUAAAUAAUCUUAAUAACUUUCUAUUUUUUUGGAAAUUUUUAAAAUUAAUUAAUAAGGCAUUAUGCGAUUUGAUUUUUACUGAACCCGACUGUUUUAGCUUUCACUAAAAUACUGCCAGCUCUACCAACUUGUUUGCAAGUCCUUGACACAAUAAUUUCACAUUUAUCACCCUUAAUAAUUGCGAGCACCAAAGCCAAUUUCAUUGCUUGCCCCAAAUAAUUGCAUGUGUUUUAGUUUAAUUACAAAUAUUCAAGCUUGUUGAAAGUUAUACUAAAUUCAAUUGCUUAAAAUGUUUGACUUAUUAAUUAAAAUUAUUAAAUAUAUAAUUACUUACUUUAUUCUAAUAAAUAUGACUAAUAACAAAGGUGGUAUGACAAAGAUAUACAUAACGUGGUGUUACAUGGUGCCAAAGAAAAUGCCCAGUUUCCUACCACAAAAUGUGCAUGGCAACAGUUUUCAUAUUUAGAUAUUGAUAAUUUAUUCAACGUUAUUUUUGGGCUACGAUAAUUACUUUGUGAAUUUCUAGUCUGUUAUGGAAGAUUAUACUGCUAUGAAGUACGAAUUAUUGGUAAUUGAUUUGGAUUGAAAUUUCUCAUUGCAAUCUCUUGGAUUAUAGACUUUGUUAUGGAUCGUGAUUCUUCUGAUGAGCUGUCAAGAGUCUAUUUUUACUUCAUAUGUCAUUAUUAUAUUGUAAUAAUCUUAUGGUAUUAUUGUUUUAUUGGGAUUGUAUUAGAUCUCCUAUUACAAGCAAGUCUCGAAAUCAAUGUCUAUAUAUUUGAGAGACUUACCUAGGAAAAUGUAUUGAUAUUUUAAGCACUUAAUCUGUUCUUAAGAGAAUAUUUGUGUAAGAGUGUUCUUAGAGUAAAACCUAUCGUUGUGGUUUUACUUGUUGUGGUCAUAGGGGGUGAUCAUAGUGGUGAGAGGUUCGUGUCUUUAAAGUGAAAGGAUGAAGGAAACAAUCAAGAUAUGUGUGAUUAGGUAGGUUUACUUUGUAAUUGUAGAAAAUAGUACAUACUUUUAACUGAGCUUUGAUCCACAGACAUAGGGACUGAAUCGCGUAAUAAUCUUCGUGUGUUUUAUGUGUGUUUUUGUUUUUCUCAUUUAGUGCUUGAAGAAGUGCCACCAACUUAGGCACCAAUUUCUUAGUGUCGUGUCUCUAUUAGCAAUGCCCUUCUUGCUAGCAAAAGUAUUUUUUUUCAAAACCAUUUACAUUUUUAUUUCUUUAUUAAUAAUUCAUUAAUUUUUUUUAAAAAAGGUUUUAUAAGGGCAAGGAUGAAAUUAAAAUUUGACGUUAACUAGUUUUUUUUUUGAUACAAUUCCUAGAAUUACUCAUAAUCCCUUCUCAACCCUUAAAGAUGAGGAUAACAUGCUUCAACUUGCUUGAACCCAGAUCCUCCUACACUGGCAACAAUGUCAAGAUCAACUUAAAACUUGAAUACAAAUUAUUUAUCACUUCACUUGUGAUUCAAUUACAUAUAAAAAUUGAUUUGUUUAUAGUUUAGUAAUAUUUUUAAUUGAUUGAAUUAAUUUGGUAUAUUGACAUAUUUAGGCUUCCAACAUUACAAAAAUAAAAGUCUUUUUAGCCAUCUAUUUAAUUUUCUGCCUCUCAUUAACCCUCGAACUUUCUUUUUUUGUCAAAUUACCUCAAAAUAGACGGAAAAAUUAUCAUCCCAAGUGAAACUUAGUUCACUAGAGUUGUGGGGGAGCUCACUAGUUAACCCAACGGAUUGAUUGACAAUAAGUCCUUCGGAACUAUGGUAAGAAAGGGGAGUCCAUCAUGAACUAUACAUAUUAGAAAAGAUUGCCAAAGUGCAUGGUCCUUUCUCAUAGGCCUUAUCAGUAGAUAGGCCUCACAAGUAGAAUACUUGAGUAUCUGUCGGGAAUAUGGUGCUUACAAUUUUCGAACAAGACACCUAGAAACCACCAAAAUCCUAUUGUAAGGAUAUAAGUUCGACCAGAGACUUAAGGUAUUAGCAGUCAAACCACCAUUUAGGAAAAUCGAAAGACGCAUAAAAGGCCAAUAGUUCAGAUAAGACGUUAAAGUCUGAGUAUAAACAAUGAGUUAAAGCAUUUUAUUUUCUUUUAAAGAUUUUACCCUAGUAAAGAAGGGACAGGAUAUGAAAUUUGGUAGUAAAGAAACUCACUAAGUUCAAUCGAACUUACAAAGGUUUUGACCUGUGGUUGCAGGAUCUGCAGAAUAAGGAACUCGAGGAGGGACCAAGUUAGACCGUGUUGGAUCAAUGAGCACUGUUAGAAAAGUGUUGUGCACAUAUGAAGAGGGUACCUUUAAAGGAGUCGCCUUGAGGUGGAACAUAUUGUAGUUAUGAAGAUCCAUUAGAGUUUGAGUUUGAAGAUGUAAACUUUUUUUUAUUUUAAGGAUUUUGUUAUAAGCAAAUAGUUACUACUUAAUAAAGUUUGUCUCGUAAUCUAUCAAGCUUACAAUUUUAUAUUUAGUCCAAAUCGGCCCAUUUGUGGCACACCACACCCGAAUUCGGUGGUUAGGUCGGGUGAGUGUGUCACAAAACGAAAUGAAUAGAAAUAGAAAAAUGGGAAACAUUCAGAAAAUGAUUAUGGUUUUCUCUGAAAUGGAGAAAUGGAAUCAUUUUGGAAAUGAAUGUGGGUUUCUCAAUAUGGAAAUAGAAAUAAAAAUGAAAAUGAGAAAUGAUACAUUUACAAAUGUACAUGGAUUACUUAGAAAUGAUUGAAAGAAUGAAUUUAUGUUUUUAAGUAGUUUUAGAGCCUGAAAAUGAAAAUAAAUAAUUCGAUCAUAGUGAACAAGUUGAGUUUUGAAAUAUCAAAUAUAUUUUCUCGAAAUUUAACAGGAGUAAGAUCGCCAUAAUUUUAUUGGGGGUAAAAUAGGAAUGAGAAAAUUAAUUAAUUAAAUAUAAAUAUUAAAGUUUAUUUUGGUAAUAGAAAAACAAAUAUUGGAUUGGAUCGAAUUAUAAAGUAUUGGAUUAAAAGCCUAGAAAGUACUUAUAAUUAGACUCAAUACAGAAGAGGCCCAAAAGCCCCUUAUGUAAUAAAAGAGGGACGACAAAGCCUAGUAUAUUUAACUAGGGUUGCUGCCCCCUACAUCUUAGUUGAACUAGGAUUUUGUUUCUCUAGUGAAAAUAAACUUUUACAACUCUACCAGGGUUCUACCUUCUCUUAUUAUAAAUAGGUGGCACCGAUAGCGCAGAAAACACAACUUUGAGAGAUUAGUACUAGGCCGAAAAAUAUAGAGAGUUUUAUUCUCAAUUAUUAAAUAUAUAUUUUUCUGAAAUAUCAAUUCUACUUGUUUCUAUCUGAGAAAAGAGAUUUUUUUUCACCCCAAAAAUAACAGAAAACUUUUUCUAGUUCCGUGUUUUGAUUCGAUUGGUUCAAGCCCACACUUGAAGCAGUUCAUGGUACGAGAAUAGCGAAGAAGAUCGUUUGGUUGAAAGUCAAAAAAUGUUUAGGAUUCACUUAACCAAAAACAUAGGUAUAAUUUCGGUCUAAGGUUUACUGCUAUAAAUAUCACAAACUGGGUCGGUUUUCAAAAUUUUAAUUUUCCACUGGGUAAGAAAACCGUUUUCAAAAUUUUAACCAAAAACGGUUCACUUUGUAAUUGUUGAAAAGAGUACAAACUUUUAAUUGAGCUAGGCUCCACAGAUGUAGAGUAACUGAAUUGCGUAAUCAUGUUCGUGUGUUUUUCUAUUUUUUCUCAUUUAGUGCCUAAAGAAGUGCCUACCAACUUAGGCACCAAUUUCUUAGUGUUCUGUCUCUAUUAGCAACGCACUUCUUGCUAGCAAUAGUAAUUUUUUUCAAAACCAUUUACAUUUUUAUUUCUUUAUUAAUACUUCAUUAAUUUUUUUUUUCAAAAAAGUAGUUUUUUAUAAGGACGAGGAUGAAAUUAAAUUUUGACGUCAACUGAAAAUCUUUUUUUUGAUAUAAUGUCUAAAACUAUUUAUAGUCCCUUCUUAACCCUUAAAAAGGAGGAUGACAUGCUUCAGCUUGCUUGAACCCACAUCCUCCUACACUGGCAACAAUGUCAAUAUCAACUUAAAACUAGAAUACAAAUUAUUUAUCACUUCACUUAUGAUUCAAUUACAUAUAAAAAUUGUUUUGUUUAUAGUUUAGUUAUAUAUAUUUUUAAUUGAUUGAAUUAAUUUGGUAUAAUGACAUAUUUAGGCUUCCAACAUUACAAAAAAAAAUCUUUUUAGUCCUCUAUUUAAUUUUCUGCCUCUUUAACCCUCGAACUUUUUUUUUGUCAAAUGACCCUAAAAUGGAUGAAAUUUUUUAUCAAAAGUUUAAUUUGCUGUCGUGGACAUACACGUGGAUGUCAAAUCAAUAAUUAAUUAAUUUUUAAUAUUUUUUGCAUUUUUAAAAAUUUUAUGAUAUAUAUAUUUUUUUACAAAAUUUUUAAAUAAUUUCAAUAACUUUCUUUUUUUUAAAUUAAAAAAUUAAUAAGGCACUAUGCGAUUUGAUUUUUACCGAAUCCUACUGUUCAAUUUCCAGAUGUAUAGGUAAAUAUAGGAUUUUCACAUGCUGAGAAAGUUGUAUAAAUACGUUAACAUAGGAGCUCUUUGCCUCACACCACUUCAUCUCAUUUCGUAGGGUUUCCAACAUACAUAAUUACUAGCUAACGAAAUGUCUUCAUCAAAGCUUCCUUCUUCAACUCAUGGAUCCAUAUCCAACCAGAAGCGUCCCUCAGCCAACUUUCAUCCUAACAUUUGGGGGGAUAUUUUCCUUUAUUGUUUAGAUACAUAUGUGUGUCUGCGCAUAAGUAAAUACCUUUAUUAAUGUUUAACUUAAAUCACAUAUAUACAAGUGGUUGCACAUGAGCAAAUAUGUUUCAUGUUUGUAUUGAUUUCGUAUUGUGUAACAUGUGAUAUAGUUUAAUUCAUGGAAAUCUUGUCCUAUAUUACAAUUUUGCAGAACGUUGAUGCUACAACUAAACUACAACAUGAAGAACUGAAAGAAGUAAGGAGGAUGAUUAAGGUAGUGAUGGAUGAUGAGUUACUCUACAAACUGCGUUUAAUUGAUACAAUCAAACGGUUGGGUGUGAGUUACCAUUUUGAAAGACACAUCGAGGAAGUAUUGCUCAAAAUUUAUGAGCAUGACUAUAAAGAUGACCAAACUCUCGAGACUACUUCUCCUCAAUUUCGAUUGCUUAGAGAGAAUGGAUUUGGUGAUCGUUGUGGUGAGUCCAUUUUCCUUCCUAUUUUUUUUUAUUUUUUUGAUUCAACAAAAUCGUCCAGCUCCCUUGCCAGUAACUUUAAUUGAUGAUCCAACCCAAUAAUAAUUGUUAGAAAUGGAAAUGACUUCUUUUAGGUUUCUUUUUCUAAAUAAUUAUUUUUUUUGUCUAAUUUGUUAGGGCCUUGUAAUCUAUUUUGGACUUUCCUCCUGCACAAAGGGUGUUUAAAUAAUCGGUUUGGUUAUUAACCGAACUUAAUUAUUAUUAACUGAAUUACCCGAAAGAUAAAAAUCUUUAACCGUUAACUGAACUGGAUUUUUUUUCAAAUACAUUAACUGAAUUGAAAUAUUUCAGUUAAUUUGAUCGGUUAACCUAAUUAAUUCGAAGCCUAUCGAGAAUUUCUUUGCUAGAAUUUCGUUAAGUCUUUCAAUCGCACUUCUCCAUUGAGCUACAUCUCUACCGCACAAAAAUGAACCCAAAACUUCAAGAGCUAAGGGGAGACCACCAGCAUAAUGUACAAUACGUUUAGAAAGUUCAAUGAAAUCAUCUUUCAAUGUUGUUUCACUACCAAAAGCUUUCAAAUUAAAAAGCCUAAGGGCAUCAUUAGGAUUCAAUGUUGUAGGCUUAUACACAUCAUCAACUCGGUAAGAUCGAAGCAAAUGUCGUUACAAUGAUUCUACUUACUAAACCAAACCAUCACGAUUUCCAACCAAGCAUUUCAAGUGUUGUAUGUUAUCAACAUCAUCAAGGACAAUAAGAACCUUUUUCCUAGACAACCUGUGGCUAAUUAUGGCAUUCCCUUUGUGAACAUUGAAAAAAUUGAAGUAUUCAUCAAGCAAUAUCUGGGAAAGAAGUUGUUUCUGUAAAAAAACAAGUCCACGUUUAUCUGAAACUUCUCGAACGUCAGCAAGGAAGGUUUUACCUUCAAAAUGAGGUGACAUUUGAGUAUAAGCAAUUCUUGCAAGAGUUGUCUUACCAAUGCCACCCAUUUCGCAAAUUCCUAUAAUACGAACAUCAUCUUCCCCAAUGUCUAUUUUCGAAUACAACUCCUCCAAACGUAAACUAAUUCCAACCAGCUCAUCAUGAACAUCAGUAUAGGUCUGACAUAAUUUCACUGAUAUCUUCUUAGCAAUAUCUUUGAUAAAUUCUGAUUCAUGCCUACAAGGAAAUAUGAUUUAAUUCUUUUAAAAAAAUUGUUGAAUCAUAAUAUAGUUUGGAGCAAACAAAAAGCAAGAACAAGAAAGCAAGAUCUGUUACCACAUCAAAAUACACAACUUUCUCUUUAGUUGAAAUAUUGAACUUUACAAUUAAAUAUGUAGUAACUAAAAUUGAGUUCGAAUUUUAUAUUUUUUAAAUAUUAUUAUUUCUUAUUUUUGUAAUUUUAUUAUUAAUUAGAAUUAUAGCUAUUAUUUAUUAAUAAAAGGGAAGGGAAAGAGUUAAAAGAGAGACAGAAAGACACACCCAGCGACAGGGUGAGCCAAUAGAAAGACAGAAAUAAAACAAAGAAAUUAACAAUAUUGUUAAUUUCAAUUCAAAAAAGAGUCUAGCUACCUAAAUACUGUUCCGACAAAACAAAUAGGAAUAUUGGAAAUAAACAUAUAUAUAUAUAUCAAUUCAAAAAAUAACAAUAUUGUUAGACACUAAAACUAGAAAAUAGAGAAGAAAGAAUGACCUGUUAUUUAAAUGCCAUCCCUUGAUGUUAGCCACUUCCCUCAAAGCGUUUGGCCACCUUUGGAUCUUUUCUCUAUCGUCCUUAUAUCUCUCUUCAUGUUUUGCAAAGGCUUCUUCAACUUUUCCCUUCUGUUUUCUUAAAUCGGAUGGAUCCACUUAGUAGAAUAUUUUAUGUUCCUUAUCCUUUUUUUGAUGAACAAUCUGAGCAAGCUCCUCCAAGCACCAAAUUGAAAAGGCAUAGGUUUUUGAAAAAAUCGAGCACCAUGAUUGUUGAAUUGCUUUAAAGAGUUCAGGUGCGAUCUCUUCCCCGGCCUCCAACUUGGGAUCAUCUCUAAAAGUGACAAUCCCACGCCUCUUUAGAGCAUUGUAGAGAUGAUCUGUGAAGUUGUUGCGAGUAUCUUCACCUCUAAAACUCAAGAAAACAUCAUAUUUCUUUUUAGAAAUGGGCGAUGGAGUUGAAGGUAACGACAACAUGAGGAUAUAUGAGAAGAAAAAGAUAUCUCAAUUUGGUGCUCAAAAUCAGAAAAUAGUUCGCUCAAUACCACAGAAAGAAACUGGGAACAAUGGGUUGAUGAGGAUAAGAAAGAGAAAAGCAGAUCUACAAAUAGAUGAGGGAUGAUGUUCUUUCCAAGAAGGUGAGAGUUGAUUUUAUAUCGGAUAUAUAUAAUAGUGCUAUUAAAUUAUUUGUAUACAAUUAUUGAAUGAAGUUAUCAAACAUAAACUCAGUGAGUCACACGGUCUGGACACACACCCAUGUGUGUCACCUGUGUGACUCUAAUAUGAAUUUAGUGAGUUACACGGCCUGGACAUACGCAGUGUGUCUCACCCGUGUGACCCCUACCUCUCAUUACCUACACACAGCCUCUCCCACGCCCGUGCGUCUACAAAUUCAAAGUCAAGGAGUUACUCGGCCCGCCACACAGCCUUCCACAUAGCCGUGUGACUCACACGGCCAGCGCACGCGCCCGUGUGCAGUCGACACUCCCGAUUCUGGCGAAGAAAAAAACACAGAAAAAGAGGGGUUUUGGCACCCACCUGUUACCCAAUGCUGAAGAAGCACCCAAUUAUAAAAUCCAAGCCUAAAACAAGUUCAAAACACUCAAUUCAAUAAAACUUCCACAAAAUACGCAAGCACCAACAAUCCAACUUCGUCGAAACUUUCGACUCACUACACGAAACAAGUGAAAGAUUACUUAUCACGGAUUCCUAGUACUCACUCAAUUCCUAAGUAAACGAUAGGCGUUAGGCAUCUUUUGAAUUCCUCCCUAAUGUAUCGAAACAACGCAUAACAAGUUAUCAGACCUCAAGACUUAUGAAAACCCCAAAUUCACAAUGACAGACUUUAUGAAAAUAUCGACUUAACUUACCUUGAAACACACCAGAACAAGCAAAAACGCGUCUAACGAAGCAAUUUAUACGAAAGAACAGACAAUAAAAGAAAAGAAUUAAGGAAAUAUGAACAGAAAAGAAAGAAAGAAAAAGAACAAUUUGGGAAAGAAAAAAAAUGAAGAAGAACGUCAAAUCCAAGAGGGAAGGACAUUUAAAUUUCAAAUCAAUUUUUACUGAAUAUCCAAAAAUAAAAUCAUUGUUGCAAACGCUAUAACUUGAACGUAGAAUUAGAGAGUAGACAGACAUUUAACCGGUGAACCAGCAAGUUUAUUUUUGACAUAAGCUGCACAAAACUAAACUUAAACAAAGAAUCCUAAGUUAAGGGUUCAAGUAAGAAAUUUAACAAAAUUCUGAAAUUUAUGUAACACAAACCUCAAACCUUUAGUGAGCAAACAAAGCACACAACCACAGAAGCAAACACAUUUUCAUUGACACAACUUAGCAAUUAAAACUCCAAUUUUGGAGCGUUACAAUGUUGCAAAGCUAGUUUGUAACAAGACAUAUAUAUAAAUUGAAUUCAAACCAUGCAUAAAAGUACAAACCAUAUUCGUUUCUCGUCUACGACUCUCGCAUUUCCUUUUUAUCGAGACAAUCUAACAUCAUCUUUAGCUAUGUACAAUAAUAUAAGUAUAGAAAUGAUAUUAGUUUUUCAUCCAAUCACAUUAAAAACAAAUAAUCAAACAUAUUUUGCAUUUUAUUCAUUUUAGUCAAAUACUCAUAUUUUCCAAUAUUUAAUAGCGGAUGAAAAUCUGAUUUCAUAUAUCCUUUCAUUAGAGACAUUAUACUUUUUAUCUAUAGCAUAAUUUAUUAAAAAUUUUCAAUUUAUUAAAUUCAUCCCUAAGGCCACAAAAUUAUAUUUAAAGCUUAACUUGAUUUCUAACUUAAACCUUAACAUGAUUUAAGUUUACUAACUAACAAUCUCUUCAAUUUCAAGCUUAAUUUUAUCAAUUAUACAUCAAUGAUAACUUGACAAUUAAAGAAAUCGAUGCAUGGGUAGCUAAACCAAACUCUAAUGAUUCAAAAUUCAUAAAAAUCUUAAGGAAAGAACUUAAUUACCUUGAUUAAUUUUGGAUUAAAAUGGAAAAGAAAAGAAAGAAGUUUUUCCUUCUUCUUCUUAGCUUGGGACGACCAAACACAAUAAGAAAGAUAACUUCAUCUUACUCUCCACACACUUUUAAAAUCUUAAUUAGAUUAAUUAAUCAUCAUUAAUAAUAUAAUUUUAAUAAGUGUUUUAAUUAAUCAAGUCAAUUAAGAUAUUUGGAUGUAAUCUUACUAUUGCACUAUCAUAUUUUGAUAAUGAUCAAUUUAUUUUAAGGUCCUUAGAUUAAUUAUUAAUUAAGUCCUCAAUUAUUUUCUAAAUUAAAAUUUAAUAGCGAUUAAACUUUUAAAAUUUACGGCCUAAACUUUAAUUAUUGAUUUUCUUGACUUAAUUACCGGUUCUUUAAUAUAUUUUUAUACUAACUUUGUCAAUACUUGUAUUCAUAUUUUCUAUCUCUAAGUGAAUAUAUAAUGAAAAAAUUUUAAUAAAAAAAUGAAACCAAUCAAAAUAUACACAUUUCAAUUAUAUAAAAAAAUGAAUUAAACGAUUAAAAUUUUAAAUAGAAUAUGAGCUCAUGUUCAAAAUGAGUAUGAAUGCAGAUUUUAAUUUUUUUUGGUAUAUAAUGGAAAUAUCAUAUCUCAAAUGCAAGUAAAUUUAGAAUGAUUACUUUAAAUGAAAUAAAAAAUAUAAACAACGUAGAUAUGUUAAAAAAAUUAUUAGGACAAGGUUGGUUAAGUAGCUUACCACAGUUAAUGCUUCUUCGACUGACCCAUUAUAAAAAGUGAAAAACUUUUGCAUCCGUUUUGGUUGCGGCCCUUCUUCCCCUGCUUCCUUGUAGAUAUUAUGUUUUCGUUUUAUGUGAGUAGUGCUACCUACUAAUCCAUCGUUGUGAGCAGAGUGUUGGUGGAUGUGUUCAUUGAGUGGUAUGGCACUGCAACUCUUUUAUUUCUUCCAAAUCUUUCUCAUACACUAUUCUAACACCACACUUCUUCACCUUGGCACUGCGUCCAAAUGGAUCUAUGAAAGACACCUCAAGCUCAUCCCAUUUUUUAUCUAAGCAAUCUGUUGCCCAUAAAUUAUUGGUUUCACAGUCACCAUAUUUGUCCUCCAAGGAAGAUGAAUAUAAGUUAUCACGAGACCAAUAAUGAAGAAAAAGGUGAUCUUUCAUUAUGGGCUCCUUAAGUCGUUUACCCACCAACGAGCCUGUCCAAUCAAUCAGUCGAGGAUUUUUACAAUAGAUAAAUGUUCGACAAUUGAUAACCUCGUCAUCCCUUGAAGCAUCAUUAUUGACAAAAAUGCAGCAAGAAGCAACUCCAAUCCAUUGACCAUCUUUCCGAAGGGGUAUCUUAAUUGAAGAGUCACUUUUUUGUUGGCUAAACCAUUCUGGGAUUUCACUUCCGGGCAUAAUAAUGUCAAACCUUUUUAUUGAAUUUGCAAAUGCCUGCAAAAUAAAACACAAGUAGUUCGGUAACUAUAACCAUAAAUUCUAAAGUAUGAGAUUUUGUAAGGGAGAAUAAAGAGAUUAAUCGACCUUGAGAUGUUUUUUCAGCAGUGUUAAUGCAUUGAUAUUCUCAGCCAAUUUGAAGCAGUUAAAGGCUUUAAUGGCAGCCGAAUUCACUAAAUUGCAUACUUUUGAUGGACUUGCAACUACUUGAAGUGAAGAACAACCAUCUAUCUCCAUAUUUCUUGUGGUUGUUAGAAGCCCAGGUAACGAUUUAAGCUUCAUGCAAUUUGAUAAUGCAAGCACUUGAAGCCUGGAAAGUUGAGUAAGAGCCAAAGGAAUGGUGAUGAAAUUGCUACCUCUAAGUUUAAGAUAACUCAAAGAGGAUAGACCAUGAAUAUCCGCUUCACCAAGAGUGCACAUGUUGCAAUUUGACAAAUCAAGAAACCAAAUCUUCGAGAGUAGAGUUAGAGAUGCAGGUAUGCUGAUGAAAUUGUUACCAAUAAGAUCAAGAUCUAUCAAGGAAGAUAGGCAAGAUAUAUCACUAGGAAUAUCUCCUUCACGAAGAUUGCAGUCCCUUAGCUUCAACUCUCUUAAUGAACUCAAACUUGACAACGAAGGCAACAUCAGAGGCAUAGAAUUUGUCCUUCCUUUUUGGGUACACCAGUUAAUAUAUGAUUUCCCAUCAUCUCCAUAUACAUCCAUAACAUUCCCAUAUUCAUUCUCAACCUAUAUAUAUACAUUUUAUUUUGAUAUUCUUUAAAUAUAUAAUAAAAAUAAAUUUAAUAAAACAUAAAAUUUUAUCAUAUAUACCUCAGCAAGAAUGAUGUUUCCUCCUUGGAUGCAAAUAGUUUCUCUUUUUUGACCAUAUCAACUAUCAAAGUUAUGGAAUUUUUCAUUUCAUUCUAAAAAAAUAAAAAAAUAAAAAAAAUUAAAGACAUUAUUUAUAUAUAAAAAUUUACUGAAAAUUAAAAGAAUUACCAUAAAAACAUCAUUUUUAGUAUGGAGAGAAACUCCAAGCAUGUUAUGCAUCCAUACAGGAAAGCCUCCAAUAAAAAAAAUAAAACUAUUAAUACUGAAAAAAAUAGUUAAAUAAUUUAUGAAAUAACAUAAUUAGUUAAAAUUUUAAAAUAAAUUAAUUUACCAAUAAUUUCACUCGGCACAAGUAUAAGAUCCAAUUCGAAGAAUUGCAUAUAAACCUUGGUCUUGAAUCACUUUAAGAAAUCGAAGAAGAUCAAGAUUUUCAUUAAAAUCAUAUUGAUGACGAGCUGGUUCAUGCGCAUUUCAAAAUACAUAUGUUUCAACUACAUCCAAUCCACAUUCUUUGGCUUUUCUUAUAAGAUCCAGCCAUAUCUAAUAAAAAUUUAAAAAAAAAAUCAAUCAAUCAUUCAGAUUCAAAUUACAAAAAAUAUCCCGAAUAACUCAAUUGUAAAUUAUUACCUGAGCAGUACUUCUCAGAUAAUGAAUCGAACCCAAAAAAAUAAUUCUAUGAUUUCCAUCAAUUAUGAUAGAUCUUGAAUCAUAAGUGACAUUAAGCUCGUUCGAAUAAAAUAGGAUGAAACAAAAAAUAAGAGAAAAACUAAAAUAGUGAAUAUAUUCAUUUUUUUUCCCAUCUACUAAAGCUAAAAAGAAGUGUUGAUUGAAAAAUCAGUAGAGUAUGAUAACGUAUUUAUAAGCGUAGUGAUUGAAUUCUAUCAAAUACUUGAUUUUCAAAAGAUAUUUACUUUGAUUUAUUUGCUGUUUUAAAUAGAUUUAUAUAAUCAGUGAUAUGAGAUUAAAUCAGCAAAUUGUGUUGAAAGUUGAGUUUUAGCUCUAUGUAACAGCAUUAAUUAAAUAUUUUUGAUAAUUACAUAAUUUUUUUUAAUUAUAAUUAAUUAGAGUAUUGCUUUCAUACAGCGGGAGUCAUAGGUAAAAUUUAUUAGAUACCGUCGAUCCCGGUGUCUAAUAAGUUUUUCUAUCCACCUUCUUUUAUUGAUUUUUUAUCUUUUUAUCCUAUUCUAUUUCUGUUUUCAAUUUUUAAAUUUUUCGUUCGAUCAAAAUCCGAUUUCACUUUUGAUUAUAUUUGAUUCUAUUUAAUUGGCAGAAUCAACAUGAGAUGUAUAAACGAAAAUUUUGUUUUUAUGGAAAUUCUCCAACUUGUUACGAAAUCGCGUUGAUAACCUCGACUCGUAUCCUAGCCUGUCUGAGAGCUAGAUUUGCCUCAAUUGUUUGCCUCUUGCCUUCAGCUUUCCUCAAGUUAGCUUGCUGAGCUUCUUGUGGACUCAUAUAUAAAAUUCUCGUUUAUUAAAACUUGUAGAGUUCUAGUUAAAUUAAAUUAAGAUUUCUUUCAUCAAGCUUUUUGAUGAAUAAGGAUUAUAUACCGAAAAGAAUAAGCGAGCAAUUAGUAAAGGGUAUAUCCAUAAUAACUUUUUACAUCGCUGGUAAAUGAUACGACACAGUCACGAUUCAGCUAUAAUAUUAUCCAUAAUAACUUUUCACAUUGCUAGUACACGAAUCAUAGUAGUUGCCAUCCCAAAGGAUUGUUAGUAGAUCAAUCUUGCUAACACCUGUUAGAGAAAACAGGAUGAAGUACUUCCCUGUGUAACACCAACAAUGGCUCUAAUCCGAAAAAGAGAUUGCAUUUAAAGUUGUUAGCAAACUCAUUCAUUCCUAGCUACCCACAAUGACCAUAACAUAGCGCCAUAGAAACAAGCCAUUUCCUCUUAACAUUCCAAACAUGCAGCAACAUUCAUACACAACAUUUCAAGGAAUCGCACACAUAACACCCCACCAUUGAAACAACACUCCCCAAGCUUUCCAAGAAAGGAAGUAAGAAAGAAAAAUAUGAUCACAGUUCCCUUCAACUUCAUUGCACCAACAACAAUUGAUGGAAUCAUUAAUUGUUAGAAUACCUCGAUCCCUUAAAAAAUAUUUUGAAGGCAUACCAUUCUGGAAUGAGAGCAAUAGGAAGCAUUGCACCUUUGAUGCACCAAUGAGCCCUCAGAAUCAAGAGAAAACACAAAUUUCUUUACAGUAAAUUUCCCUUUGCUGUCCACCUCCCACAUUCGCCUUAUUACAUUAAUCACUGGAUCCAUACAUAGCCAAUUUCCAUACCGAUGUUCCCUCAAGUAAGCUUUAAUCACACCGUGGUCUCAAAAUAGUUUGCUCAAGGACUGGUGUUCCAGAGAAGUCAUCCCUUGGAUUAUUGCAGAGUAGAAUGAUUUGUGAUAUGGUUUUGUCAAUAUGGGAUCUUGUUGGGGUUUUUGUAAGAGCGGAGGAAGAAAAACAGGAAACAAGACAAGACAGCAAGAUACAAGAAAAAAAUUUUACUUGCUCACAAAUGUGCAGCAAGGGAGCUUAUGGCUGAUAGCUCAUUUUUGCUCACUUAUUCAAUAAGAAAACAAUACAUUUAUAGUCAAAUACAUCACCAAAUACUACCUAUUACCAUUAAGUAGCCUAGUAACUUGAUAAGCAUUGCUUGUACACAUAAACAAGCCACCUAAACUAGUCAUUCAACACCUAAUGUAUCAAGUUGUCAUCAACUUGUUCAUUAUCAACUAGUUUGAUUACAAUGAAACUAAGGAGAAAACCUUGCUGUUACAGCAAGCAUACGUACUGCAGCAUGUUUACAAGCUGCAUGCACUUCAACCAAAAAUAUCACAGCAGCAUGGUUGGCCAAUUUUCAACAGAUCUUCUGUUAGCAUGAAUUGAAGCCAUUUAAGUAGUAUUAACUAUUAAGGGCCUAUAUAAACUACAAAAUGAAGCUAUUUAAAUACUAUUUAAGCAACACCAAAACAGAGUACAGGUUCCCAUGGCGUUUUAUUUAGCGAAAAUAGUCUGAUGACAAAGAUAAAAGAUGAUUAUAUUUCACCCUAUUACCUGCUUCUUCAUGCAGUGAAAAUAUAGAAGUAAGUUUAUACAUAUAACAUAAAAUUUAAUAAAUAAAUAAAUAAUAAAUUUCAUUAAACAGUACAAGUUUCAAUCAUGUAAAAAUUAAUUAAUUAGAUGAAUAAAUUUUUAAAUGUAUAAAACACUAUGUUAUCUUUCAAACAAAACAUGUCAUUCGAUACAAGUUGGUGUUCAACAUGUCUAUACUCAAAAUUUAGAGUUGAUUACAUAAUUUGAAGAAUCAUAUUUCAUACUCGUAUCAAAAUAUAUGUUGAGUAAAGAUGUUCAAAAUGAAUACUUUAAGUAACAUAAAAGAUGUAAAUAAGGUCGAUAAAAAGGUCUAAAAACAGAAUUUAUAGGGCAAGGCUAGUGAAGUAGUUUACCACAGUUACAGCUUCUUCCUCGAUCGGCUCAUUAUAAAAUUGAAAAAAUUUUGCAUCCAUUUUGGUUUUUGUUUUACAAGGGAAGUGCUACCUAUUGAAUCUAUUGAUCCAUCGUUAUCAGCAGAGUGUUGAUGGACAUCUUCAAGAUUUGGAGAACAUUGAGUGGUAUGGAUAUGCAGCUCUUUUAUGUCUUCCAAAUCUUUCUCAUUCACCAUUCUAACACCACACUUCUUCACCUUAACACAGGGAACAUCCGGGUCUGUGAAAGACAAUUCAAGCUCAUCGCAUUCCUGAUCUAAGCAAUCUAUUGUCCACAAAUUAUUAAUUUCACAUUCACCACAUUUAUCCUCUAAGGAAAAUGGAUAUAAUUUAUCACGCGACCAAUAUCUAAGAAAUAGGUGAUCCUUCGUUAUGGGCUGGUUAAAACGUUUCCCAAACAACCAACCACUUGCAUCGACACGUCGAAGAUCUGUAUCUCGGAAGACAGAUCCAUUUCGACCGCCUUGUCCAGAAUUUCUACAAUGGAUAACAGCUCUGCAGUUGAUAAACUUAUCCUGGUAAGCAUCAUCAUUGACAAAAAUGCAACAGGAAGCUACUCCAAUCCAUUGACUAUCAUUCUGAAUAUUGAGUGGUAGAGGUAUCCUAAUUGUAGAGCCACCUCUCUGUUGGCUAAACCAUUCUGGGAUUUCACUUCCAGGUAUAAUAACAUCAAACAUUUGUCUUGAAUUUGCAAAUGCCUGCAAAAUGAAACUUCAGUCACUUGGUAAAUAAAACCAUAAAUUCCCAAGUAUGAGAGGGAAAGAAAGAUUAAUUAACCUUGAGAUGUUUUUUCAACAAUGUUAACGCAUUGAUGUUCUCAGCCAAUCUGUAGCAGUUAAUGGCUUUAAUGGAAGCUAAAUCCAAUAAAUUGCAUACUUUUAACGGACUUGCAACUACUUCAAGUGAAGCACAACCAUCUAUGCACACUCUUGCUAUACUUGUUAGAAGCUCAGGCAACGAUUUAAGCUCUUUGCAACUUGAUAACAUAAGAAGUUUAACCUUGGGAAGUCGAGUAAUAGACGCAGGUAUGCUGAGGAAAUUGUUACCACUAAGAUCAAGAUGUGUCAAGGAGGAUAGGCAAAAAAUAUCACUAGGAAUAUCUCCUUCACGAAGAUUGCAGUCCCUUAGCUUCAACUCUCUUAAUGAACUCAAACUUGACAACGAAGGCAACAUCAGAGGCAUAUUUGGUCGUAACUUAGAUGAUGGUCCUUUGCACCCAUUGAAAGACAGAAUUUUAAGAUUUUCCAAUUGAAAAAUCAAGGAUGGUGGUUCUGUUAUCGCUGUUUCACUCAAGUCAAGCUCUUCCAAAAACUCUACUUGCUGCAAAUUCACUGGCAAAUAUUUAAUUUUAUAACAACUAGAAAGAUCAAGAGUUUUUAGAUGUUUCAUUUUCCCAUCAAUCUCCGGAAACCUUACAAGACUUGAGCAACCUGAAAGAAUUAAUGUUUCAAGAGAUUCCAUUCCAAUUCUGGUUGGAAGACUCCCAAGACUUGUGCAGUCUCUUAAAUUUAAAAGUUUAAGCAUCUUAAGCACUCUGAUUGAUGGAUGGACAUCUACUAAUCUGGUACAACCUUCCAUAAUCAAAGCUUCAAGUUUUGGUGUUGUUGUGAAGUCUGGCGUCUUGAUCAGGUAUUGAGACCCUUUGAGGUUGAUCAUUUUCAACUUAUACAAGGGCUGUUGAAGACAAUAAUAAAUUAGAGAGAAAACAUAAUAAUGCCCAAUUUUGUUUUUGUUUUUCUUUUUUUACCUUAAUCAAAGUUUAAUCAUUUAUAUUAAAAUAAGCUAAAACACAAGGAUAAGAUAAGUUAAUUCUUACUCUAUUUCCUUUCCAUAGUUGUUCAAUGUGACUAUAUGGUAAAAGAAGUGCGACAAGAUUGUCCGGUCGAAAGCUUGAAGGUAAAUAUCUUAAAGGAUAUCUUGUCCAAUCUAAAAGCCGUAUUUCAUUAGAGAGAUAUUUGAGACCAUCACAAUUUGAUAGGCAAAGAACUUUGAGCAAUCUCAAUUUUUUCAUCUUUGAGAAGGUAUCGUCACUCAAAUUGAGCACCUUGCUCGAUUCCCUAAUAACCAUGAGCAAAACAAAUAUGAGUUUCAAAAUAUAUAGAAACAUUCGAUAUCUAAAAGCUAUGUUGCAUCGAUAUUGUUUUUUUAAGUACCCACAUCCUACACUUAUAUCUAAUGCAUAUCUGAAUAUGGUAUUGAGAUAUGAUUGAACAUAUUAGACAAUAGUCUAUCUAACACUUACAUUUGACUUUGAAUUACCUAAGCCUAAAAAACUAGAACUAAUAUUUUGAAUUACGUUUGGUGCACUGAUGUGUAAUUCUAUGCAUUACCAGUGAAUCAAAUGAUGGCAUGUUAUAGCCUAGUUCAUUAAUAUUAGCAAAGACAAUAACAUACAUCUCUUUACAAUUUCUUUUGAAAGAGUAAUGUGUUUCUAUAUAAAUUUUAUAAAUAUAACAUUGAAAAAUUAAGUAUUAAGGGUGUGUUUCAUUAGGUGGAAAAGUGAAAAGAACAUAAAUUUUAAGUCUGCAUUUUGCAUCCUAAUGCAUAAAAAUCAAUCAUUUCAAAUUGAAAUAAUCAAAAUUAUGCUCUCUUUUUUUCAAAUGUUCUAUUUUUUCUUUCCUUCCACUUUCCACUAUAUAAAGCAAUAGUGAGAAGGGAAAUAUAUUUUCCAUUCAAUUUUCCAUCUUUCCUACCAAGCACACCUAUAGAAAGAAAAUUAUUUUUUCUUUUCCUUCAAAAUUUCAUCCUUCCAAUUUUUUAUUCACUAUACCAAGCAAAGCAAAAAUGUUGUUUUUUCAUUGUUUAUUAUUGGAUUUAAAAAAAAUAAUGACAAUAUUAAUAGAACAUAUUGAUAAAUUUAAAUGUAUGUUUUCCUACCUUUUAUUGUUGAUGAUCAUGCCUUCAAUAACUUCGGUAGCCUAAAAGUAAUCAAGAAUAGGCAAUAAGAAGACAAAAUAAAUGCUUUAAAUUGUACGAUAAAACUUUUGAAAAUUUACAUACAUGUUCAAUAUUACCACAAUCUUUUGGUCAAAAUAUAGUACAUAAAAUAUUUUGAACUAAGUAAAACAUUUUCUAAUAAGAGUAGUUCAAUAAAAUUAAACACUUAUAUUAUGAAUCCUUAUUAAUAAUUAUAAUCAACAAAUCGGUACGUAAACCAAUUAGACUAAGCUUUGGAUUUACAUCAUAUAUUGAUAAUAAAAAAAAUUGAUGUAAUUUUUGUUGAAUGAUUUACCAUGUUUUUUGUUAGGACAUGAUGGACAUCCCUUUCCUUCCACAAUCUACAACGUUUUCCAGGUUCAUCAACACACUUUUCUUCAACAAUUUUUCUUCCCAUUUCUUGCAACAAGGCAUGCAUCCACAAAUAUUGGUUGCCAUCUUCAACUUUUAUGAGAGAUUUCUUAAUUAGAACAUCAAUUCCAAUAUUUGGAAAAAAAUCACAACCAUCCAAUACUUUCAUUACCAAAUCUUUCUUCUCCCAAUUGAAAAAGCAUGCUAUAUCUAGAAAUAUAUUCUUCUCCCUUUCUUCCAAUCCAUCAAAGCUAAUUCGUAAUGUGUCAAGAAUUUCUUUGUUAGAAUCUUGUUUAAGUCUUUCGAUUGCACUUCUCCAUUGAAUUAUAUCUCUACCACACAAAAAUGAACCCAAAACUUCAAGAGCUAAGGGCAGACCAUCAGCAUAAUGUACAACUUGUUUAGAAAGCUCAAUGAAAUCAUAUUUCGGCGUUGUAUCACUAUCAAAAGCUUUCAAAUUGAAAAGCCUAAGUGCAUCGUUGGGAUUCAGUGUUGUAGGCUUAUACACAUCAUCGAUUUGAUAAGAUCCGAGCAAAUGUUCAUCUCUUGUUGUUACAAUGAUCCUACUCCCUAAAUUGAACCAAUCACGCCUUCCAACCAAGCAUUUCAAGUGUUGUAUGUUAUCAACAUCAUCAAGAACAACAAGAACCUUUUUACCAGACAACCUGUGGCUAAUUAUGGCAUUCCCAUCAUGAACAUUGAAAAAAUUGAAGCAUUCAUCCGGAAAGAUUUGAGAAAGAAGUUGUUUCUGUAAAGAAACAAGUCCAUGUUUGUUUGAAACUUCUCGAAUAUCAGCAAGAAAGCAUUUACCCUGAAAAUGAGCUAACAUUUGAGUGUAAGCAACCCUUGCAAGAGUUGUUUUACCAAUGCCACCCAUUCCGCAAAUUCCUAUAAUGCGGACAUCGUCUUCCCCAAUAUUUAUUUUCGAAUACAACUCCUCCAAAUGUAAACUAAUUCCAACCAACUCAUCAUGAACAACUGGAUAUGUCUGACAUAAUUUUGCUGAUAUCUUCUUAACAACGUCUCUAAUAAACUCUGAUUCGUGCCUACAAUGAAAUUAAAAUCCGAUAUGCACUUUUUCAUUUUUAGUUUAGUGAAUCAUGAAGUAUAAUAUGGUUGGAAGCAAACAAAAAGUAUGAAUAAGACAGUAAGAUACAUUAUAGCAUCAAAAUACACAACUUGCUCGUUAGUUGAAAUAUGGGAAUUCUCAAUUAAACAAAAAAUUAUAAAAAUAACAUGCAAUCCAAUAAAAAAAACAAUUUUUUAGUCAUUAAAAUUAGGAAAUAGAGAAGAUAAGAAAGAAAUACCUAUUAUUUAAAUGCCAUCCCUUGAUGUUAGCCACUUCAGUCAAAGCAUUUCGCCACUUUUGGAUCUUGUCUUUAUCUUCCUUGUAUCUUUCUUCGUGUUUGGCAAAGGCUUCUUCAACCUUUUCUUUUUGUUUUCUUAAAUAAGAUGGAUCAACAUGGUAGAAAAUUGGAAAUACUUUAUGACCCUUGUCAUUUUUUUGUUUAAAAAUCUCCGCAAGCUCCUCCAAGCACCAACCUGAAAAGGCAUAGGUCUCGGAAAAAACGAUUACCGAGCACCAUGAUUGCUGAAUUGCAUUGAAGAGUUCCGGUGCGAUCUCUUCACCUGUUUCCAACUUUGGAUCAUCUCUAAAAGUGACGAUCCCAGUUCUAUUUAGAGCAUCGUAGAGAUGAUCCGUAAAAUUCUUGCGAGUAUCUUCACCUCUAAAACUCAAGAACACAUCGUAUUUCUUUCUAGAAAAGGACGAGGAAGUCGAAAGUAACGACGACAUGAGGAUGUAUGAGAAGAAAAAUAUGUGGAUGUAGUUUUCAAAAUCAGUCGCCCAAUACCUCCGAAACAAUAAGUAUAUGAGCAUGAGGGGAGAAAAACAGAUGAAAUUUCGAGGGAAGAACAAAGGGAGUAGGUGAAUCUAUCAGUACAAUAAUAUCUUUGAAAAGAGAGUAGGUGUGGAAAUUCGGGGUCAUAGAUGCUCUUUCCGGGAAGACUCCAAGAAGGUGAGAGUUCACAUGCAGCCUACAAUUUUUCUGAAAAUUAAAUUCAUUAAUUUAUUGAGAACCAUAUAAUCUAGGCGAAACUCAUAGUAGAUGAUGAAUAGUAAACUCUAUCGAUACAAUAAAGGCUUUAGCCUUAACAAUAAUAAAACAUCAUGGCAUGUUAACAAUUAGUUUUGUCACAACUCAAGUACGAUAUAUUUAGAGUAAUUACAAACACUUAAUUUGAUAAGGAAAUCAACCUUGGAUGGUCUAAAGCAACGAGCAAAAAUUGACAAAAGAAUCAAACAUACGCCAAAUUAGAGAGGACGACAAUAAAAUCAUCUCUAAAAUCACUUGUAAAACUAAGAUUAUAUGCAUAAACACAAUUAUUAAAUAAUUAAAAAAAAUAUAUAGAACUUAACAACACGAAAAUAGAUCCUACAAUUAUCAUCAAAUAACGUGUUGGACGGUUUGUGUUUUGUUUUUAUUAUUAUUUUAUAUUAUCAUAUCUACUUUAUAAUCAGUAGCUUAUGUUACAUAUGUGAUUUUACGCAUUUAAUAUUUGAUUAAUUUUUUUAAUAUUAUACUUUUAAUUGAAGUAAUUAGUAUAAAAUAAUAUUUUUAUUUAAAUUAUUAAAUAUAUGUAAAAUAUAUUAAUUUAUCAAUUCAAACAAAUAUUAUAAUAAAAAGUUUUUAAAUAAUAAUUAAAUAAUUUUUAACAUAUUCCACAUAUAUUAUAGUUUUCCUUUAUGUAGCUAAUGCAAUGUAAUAUUACUCAAAAUAAUAACUACUUAACAUAAUUGUCAGCAACCUCUUGGCCUAUUUACAAAAGCUUGGUUUUGUAGGUACGAGAGCUUGGGUAUAAUUGUCAGCAACCUCUUGGCCUAUUUACAAAAGCUUGGUUUUGUAGGUACGAGAGCUUGGGUUCAAUCCUAAGCAAUCCUAUUUUCCUCCCUUAAAUAUAUAUAAAAAAACUGAGCACAAUAAACUCUAAUAAUAAUUAAGUGAUAAUUAUAAGGAUAAUUUUAAAUUUAGUAAUAUAAAAAAAUAAAUAUCUUUUUCAAACUCGUUUAUAUAUAUAUAUAUAUAUAUAUUACAAAUUAAGUAUUAAAAUUGUGUUUUACGUGUCAUAGCAUUUCACCACCAUUUGAUCUUAUCUUUUAUCUUCCUUGUACCUUUCUUGGUGUUUGGUGAAGGCUUCUUCAACUUUUUCUUUGUUUUCAUCCACAUCGGGGGCCAUAGAUGAGCCUUAGAUGUUCUUUCCGAGAAGACUCCAAGAAGGCGAGAGUUGCUGUUAACAUUUAUAGAGUUUUUCUUGGUUAAAAUGUGCCAGAAGUCCCUGCAUUUUUAUAAAAUUAAAAUUUAAUUCCUAUACCGUUAAUCACUAAAUUAUGGAUAAAUUUUUGCAGGUAUCUUCACCUCUAAAACACAAAAAAACAUAAUAUUUCUUUCUAGACAUGGAUGAGGAAUUCGAAAGUGACGAUGACAUGACGAUUUAUGAGAAGAAAAAUAUAUAUGGAUAUAGUGUUCAAAAUCAGAAAAUAGAUGGCUCAAUACCUCAGAAACAAAGUAGAAAUAAUAAGUAUAUGAACAUGAGGAAGGAGAAAAACAGAUGAAAUUUACAGGAAACAACAAAGGACUUGUCUAGGAAAUUUGUGUAUAUGUUUCCCACCUUUUACUUUUCCAAAUGAAUCUAUCUUCAUUAUAAUACCUAUGAGAGGGAGUCGGUAACAAUUAAUUAAGAGUUUUUUUUCAUUUUCUUAAAUCUUAAAAUCAAUGUUGAGACAUUAAUCAAGACUAAACUUGUCUCCUUUAAUGAUAUAAGUAUCACCUAAUCUACAAUCCUACAUGAAGGAGAAAAACAGAUCAAAUUUCAAGGGAACAACGAAGAUUUUUGUCAUCAAUUUCUCUAUACAUUUCCAUUUUUUCUUCCAAAUGAAAGCGCGUAGGUGUGGAAAUUGGGGGAUGAUAGAUGAGUGAUAGAUGUUGUCUCCAAGAAGAAUCCAAGAAAGAGUCGACAAAAUUGAGCCUACAAUAAUUAUAAGUGUUGGACCGUUUGUGUUUUACAUUAGCAUAUUUACUUCAUAAUUAUAAAGUGUUAACUAAUUGUGUUUUACAUGCUUAACUAGUUUCUUAUGUAACAUACAUCUAAUUACAUCUAAUUAUUUCUAUUUCAUUAAUUAUAUAUUUAUUUUAUUAAUUAGUGUAUUUAAUUAUUAUUUAAAGAUACAUGAUUAUUUAUUUAAAAAUGUAUAUUAUUUUAUGUAAUGUAAAAUAAUUAAAAUAUUUUAUUAGACUUAACACAUACUUUAGUACUUGAGUUUGACACUUUUUUAAUGCGAUACUUAUGUUAUUUUUUGGUCCAAUCAGGUAUUUGUAUUUGACAAAAGUUAUAUAUUUUGACACCCAAAACUAAUGAUGUUAAGUGUUUAAUUCGAGUUUUAGGGUUGGUUUGAUAAAAAUUAAUUGCUAAUUAUGUAUUUUCAUCAAACCAAUUCUAAAACCCGAAUUAAAUCACAUCCAUUGGACUGUAUUUGACAAAUUAAAUGCAAAAUUAAACAAAUCCAUAAUUAACACUAAAUUUAUUCUAUUAACAAAAUCAUGAAAAAUUCAAAGUUAAUAAUAUUAACAAUUAACUUUCAUCAAAUCAAUUCCCAAACCUGAAAUAAACACUAAAAGGUUAACAUCUUUUGUAAUGACCCAAAAUUCACGGGCAUAGGAAAAGUACAUUAUCGGGCCUCCGUCUUAGUAAACUGAGUCAUAAAUAAUUAUUAGAAGUAAUUAUGAGUUUAGUUGAGUGCUUAAUUAGGUAUUUAUUAGGUGAAUUUAGUCUAAUUAAGAAUAAUUAGGAAAAAGAACUAAAUAGAGUAAAGGGUAAAAGUUUAAUUAUAGAUCAAAAGAAAGUAUAAAGGAUCAAAAUGGGAAUUAAACCAAUUCAUAAGAAUGAGGCGGCAUAAGCUGAGUAAGAUUGAAGAUUUUUAUGUGAUAUUUUCUAUUAAAAUUUCAUUAAUAAUCAUUAAGGUUUGAUACUAAAUAAUAAAUUAUAUUAAUUAUUAUUAUUAUUAUUAUUAUAUUAUGAAAUAAGUUAAACAAAGACAAAUGGAUGGUAGUGAUUUAAUACAAAUGUAUUGAUAAAAGUAUAUACAUUUGUAAUAAUUAUAUUAAAUUAUUAGAUAGAUAUUUAUUAGAUAAAUAAUUAAAUUAUAAGAUUUUUUUGUGUGAUAAAUAAAAUAAAUGAUGAUAAAUGUAUGGUAUAGAUGAUAUUGUAUAUUUAUAAAUAAAAUAUAUAUGUACAUUUGUAAUAUUAUUAUUUGUUGUUAAAUAGAUUUUUAUUAAAUAAAUAAGAUAAUUGAUAAAUAAAUGGUAUAAAAUUUAUACAAGUGUAAUAAAAUAAAUAUGUACAAAUGUAAUUAAACAAUUGGUUUACUUAAUAUUUGAGCUUAAGAUAUUUUAUAUUGAUAUUAUAUUAAUUAUUUAGUAAUUAAAAAAAACAACAAAAGAAAUAAAGCAAAGUAAGUAAAAAUAAAAGAAAGAAAAAAAGAAACAAAAGAAGAACAGAAACAGAGAAUGAAACGAAAACAGGGGAAGAAAAAGGGAAAGAAAAGAAAAGGGGAAAAUUGGGAUUUUAAAGCUUCAAGUUUAAUUGGUAAGCUAAAUUUAGCCUUUUUCUCUUAAUUUUGAUGUUUUAGAAGCUUUAAAAUAAAGUUUUGUUGAAAUUAAGUGGAGGUUAUGGAAGUUCAUAGGUUUUUGAACAUGAUUCAUGUUGAACAAGUUGUUAAAUAGGGGUUUAGUUGAUAGAAUUUCUAGUUAGAAUCAAUAAAAGGAUUAAAUUGUAAACUAGGCUAUAAGUUUUACAUAGUUGGGAUUAAGUUAUAAGAAGUCUUAAAUUAGGGUUUAAUUAUGAAUAUUGAAUAGUUGAGUUAAAUAUGGCAAAUAAUUAAGUAGAAAAGAAAUAUGAAUUAAGCUAGAAAAGUAAGUAAGCUUAGUUAGAAUUAAAUUGGGAAUAAGUAGGAAUUGAAUAAAAUUUAAUUAUUAUUAUUUUUUUAUAAUUUAAUGCUGUAAUUAAUAGUGAAAAUAAUUAUUAUUUUCGUAGCUAACAAAGAACUCGAGGCAUCGACAUCGAAAGGAAAGGAGAAAGCUAUCGAGGACUAAAACGACAGAUUUACGGUUUGUAUUACUAUAAUUCAAAUUAUUUAUUAUUUAAUGCUAUAUUUAAAUUUAUAUGUAUGAUAAGUGAAAUAUAAGGUAAGUAUUAUUAUUAAGUUGAAAGAAAUUCAAUUGAAUGAUGAAUAUAUGUGUGGAAUUGAAAUGAAUAUUGACUUGAAAAUGGAAAAGUGAAUUUUGAAUUAAAUUGUGAUUGAAAGUGAAAAAGUAAAAUUGAAUUGAAAUGUGAAUUUGGAGACCCUAUUAACUAGUCGGGCUGAGUCGGAUAUAGUUGGCUUGCCAUAGGAUUGAAAGAGUUCAGGGAUACUUCGACCUCGAGUCGAUGAGACACUGGGUGUCACUAUAUUUCUUCGGAUAGAUUCGAUGAGGUACUGGGUACCAACUUUCUUUGGCUUCGCCGAUGAGACACUGGGUGUCAACUAUUGCUUCGAACUAUCCGAUGAGGUACUGGGUGCCAUACUGUAGCGUUUGGUUGGAUCCGUCAAAGUCCAAGUUUUGUUAAUAGGGUAAAUAAUGAAAUGAUAAACUGAAUGAGUUGAUCAAUCGAGCUAUUGAAAUGAAACUAAUAGUUGAAUUGUGAAUUGAAAUGUGAUAUGAGAUUGAGAAAUGAAUCUAAGGUUCAUGAUGUGUCCAAGUUCCAAAUUGUGGAUAUAUGAUAUUAAUUGAUGAAUUGUUAUUGUAGAAAUAUGAAAUUUGAGUUUAAAUUUGUAUGUAUGAUUUUAUGCAUUACAUGUUUAUUAAUAUUAUAAUUUGAAUUAUGGUAAUACUUCUGAGUAUGAAAUACUUAGCGUACAGUUGUUUCCGUGCGCAGGUCAUUAGAGUUCAAGGUCUAGUUCAGCAUCCAGAAAGAUCCCGACUCCAUCAAGAAAAUUUUGGUGAUGUAUUUCUUCUUUUUGCUUAAGUGGCAUGUACUAGGUGAUUGUACACGAGUCGUAUACAUAUAUAUAUGUUAAAUGAUCUUGGUUGUAAAUAAAUGGUUAUAAUCUUUUAGAUGAUAAAUAAAGUUUAAAGUUAUAAAUUAUUAAACUUAGUAUUAAAUCUUGAAAUGAAAUGAAAGAUAUGAAUUAGUUUUUUUUUACAUGUUAACUUUAACAUUUUAUAAUUAAAGUAGUAAAUCAAUUUAUUAAGCAUGAUUUAGUAGCGUUUUAAAGUAUAAAAUCAUUGAUUGAAAUAUUGGUAUUGGUUUGUUUUUGGUUUUAAGUUUGCAGGGGGUUUUAUGUAAAAAUAAGCAGAAAUACUGUCGAAAUUUUAAAAAAAUAAAAAAUGAAUGAAGCCAAUUAACAUAAAUUUAUAUGAAUUUAUGAUUCUUUUAUAUAUGUUCGUUAUUCAUCUAAGAAUUAUUUGUAAAUUGUCUGAGAUGUCCAGUAAUACCUCGUAACCCUGUUCCAGUGUCGAUUUAGGGUUAAGAGGUGUUACAUUGUUACUUUUGAAUACCAAAAUAUAUAACUUCUAUCAAAUAUAUGUAACAAAUUGAACAAAAAAAACAAGAGUACCACAUUAGAAAAAAUUGUCAAACUCAAGUACCAAAUUAUGCAUUAAAUUAUUUUAUUACAAGAUAUUGUUUAAUUAUAGAUUUCAAUAUUUAAAUUAAAAAUAAGAGUUUUGUUUGGUGGGAUGUUUUCUUACUGCUAGUGUGGUCCACUUUCCGACGAUGAAGAAUACAUUGGCAAAUUUGUGGCAUCCUUUAAGGUGUGUGCAGAUCUCGAAUAUGGGAGAGAAUAGAUAUUUGUUUAGAUUUUUCAAUAAGGUGGACAUUGAUAGGGUGAUUAAUGGAGCACCAUGGGCUUUCAACAAUCAUUUGUUAGUGUUCCAUCAUUUGGCUAUUAAUGAAGAUCCCAUGCAAGUACCAUUGAUUUUUCGUGGUUUUGGGUUCAAGUACAUGAUAUUCCCCUAGGAUUUUUCUUUGAAGCAGUGGCAAGAUAGUUUGAUAAUUUUAUUUGAGAAUUUUUUGGAUUAUGAUUUGAAGCAGAUUUCGAGAGGUGUUAGUCAAUAUUUGUAAAUAAGAGUUAAAUUAAAUGUGAGAUCCCCAUUGAAAAGGAGGAAGAAAAUUUUGGUUUCCUUAUCAAGUUUCAUAUAUACGAGAUUUCAGUAUGAAAAAAAUCACAUUAUUCUAUUUCAUAUGUGGCCUUUUAGGGCAUGGAGAAACUUUUUGUCUAGUUAGAUUUGUCACACCCCGAGUUUGGUGAAUCCGAAUUAUGGCAUAGAGUUGUAAAGAUUAUCUAUUUGACGUAUUAUAGUUCGCCAUGUUUGGUCUUUUGGCGAGUACGAUUGGGUGUAAUGUACCUGCCGCUUAGGAGAUUAAAUAUUUUUGUCUCAAAUUAUUAAGUGAUUCUAGUAAAGGAUACCGCCAAAUGUUUAACACCGUGGUUUGUCUGAGCAUUGUGCUAGUUAAGUUGAACAUGAUCUGGUUAAGAAUCAACUGGAUUGGCUGGUCAAAUAUUUAUUGAGAAAGGACUUUCAUUUAUGUUUCUCUUAGAACUUGUAGGCCAUUAAGAAGGACAGUUCUAAAUGUAUUAACAUCUGUUAAGUUCCCACACUAAAUGUAUUGACAUCUGUUAAGUUCCUGCAGGUUGAAUGGGUUAUAUAUAUGGGUGAGAAGGUCUAUUGAGAAUUCUUCUUCUAUUUCUUCCUUCAAUAUUGUUCUCUGUUUCUUCAAAUUAAGUGCUAUUUCAAUCUCUUCAAGUUAGAUGUUAAGAUGCUGGGAUUAGUUAGAGGUCACUCUAUCUCUUAGUAAGUAAUAUGGCUUUGCAUGUUAAGUUUUGAAGGAUUUAUGAUGUUAAGAGUUUACUGAGCAGUAGGACUAAAACAAGGUCUUGCAUGGGGUUUAUCUAUGAUUGAGAUGUUGAAAAUCUGUGUAUAAGGAUUUUAAUGGUGAAAUUGUGUUCUUUGAGUAGCUGUUGCUGCUAGGCCAAGAAAGAUGUUUGAGUUUAGAGCUUUGAACUACAGUUGGUGAGUAUCAGGUGAGUGUUUAUCUUGACUCUUGCAUGUUUACUGUUUAGAUAUAAACAAGCAUAAGUGAUAAUGAUAUCUUUGAAGAUUGUUAAGAAUGUGAAAAAUAAAUGAUGAUAUAUGUGGUUAUGAUGGAAUGUAUAAAACUCGGUGUGAAUAGAAUGUUGUUCGUAAGUAUAUAUGUAAGAAUCAAAUAAGUAUGAAUAAUUUGAGAAGUGGGGUUGGAGUAACAUUAUUUUGUGGUGCCUCUGGUAUGACAGGUAUAUUGCUAACUAGACUGAUAUAUCACAAUAUGAGUGUAUGUGUAAGAUCAUGUGGUGGAAACCCAUGACACUAUGAUAUGAAAACACCCAUGGUGUAUCCUCUAGUGAAACAUAGUCUGGAUUGGCAGGACACGAUACAUGAAGUGAAUAAGUCCGUGUGUUUGAGCCCAUGGCAAGAUGUGUUUGUAUGAAUACUCAUGGUGAUGCCUCCGUUAUGAUAAAAACUGGAUUGGCAGAUCACGACAUAAGGUUUAAGUAUAAGACCAUGACUAAGGAACCAUGACAUCUUCUGUGAAAGUCCGUCGGGACAGUAAACACGUGAUUCUAAAUUUGUCCUAUAUGGCAUAAUCAACUAAGCCUUUGUGGCAUAUUUUUUUUGGUCCUUGUGGCGUGUUCGACCAAGUCUUCUUGAGAAAUUGUUGAAGUCAACCCCCAUGCAGCAGCCAAGGUGACCAUGCAAGGUGGCCAUGCAGGGAUCGUGCUUUAACAGUAAACCGAAACUGCAUUGUUUCAUUUGGUUACUCAAAUGAACAUUUUGUAUUUUAGUUUGUUUUGAACUAAGUUGGUAACUUUAUUUUGAUGUAAUUAGGUGCUGAAUGACAAGUUUAGGUAGAAGUUUAUGUUUUCAAUCAAGUUUACCAAGUUACUAGGCAAUUUAGUGGUGUUAGGUAUGUUAUUAGGUGGCAACUUGUUUGUUUUGCUGUUGUUAUCUCAUAUAUAUGUAUUGGUAUUAUGCCUUGUAAAAAAGUAAAUGAAAAUUCAGCUCAUUUUCAUUCAAUUUUAUCUCUUUCUUUUCUGUUCUCCAUUGCAAAAUUUCUUUCUUCUUCAAUAGUUUAUUCAGCAAGGCUCGACACUUGCUGUGUAAGCAAGCUGAAACCAUCUUGCUAUUACCUCUUGCACCAACAAUUGGUAUCUAGAGCCGUUGUCUUAGUGGACCUGUUGCUUCAAACCAAGGAACCUGAUGGCUUCUUCAGGAUUUUCACCAGCAGCCCCACCAGUCUUCAAUGGAGAAAGCUUUCACAUAUGGCUGGUAAAGAUGAAGACUUACCUGCAGGCUUUUGAUCUGUGGGAAGUUGUUAACACAGAUGCUGAGCCAGCACCACUGAGGGCUAAUCCCACAGUAGCUCAGAUCAGACAACAUGCUGAUGAGAGGACCAAAAGGCACAAAGCCAUGUCCUGCAUUCAGAACUGUGUAUCAGAUGUCAUCUUUACCAGAAUUAUGGCCUGUGAGACUCCAAAACAGGCCUGGGACAAGCUUAAGGAGGAGUUUCAAGGCACUGAGAGAACAAGGCAACAGCAGCUGUUGAAUUUGAGAAGGGAUUUCGAGAAUUUGAAGAUGAAGGAAGAAGAAACAGUGAAGCAGUAUUCAGAUAGAAUUAUGGCAGUGGUUAACAGUAUAAGGCUCCUAGGUGAGCACUUUGAUGAGGCAAGAAUUUUGGAGAAAGUCCUCUCCACUUUUCCUGAGAAAUAUGAAGCAAAGAUAUCCUCCCUAGAGGACUCAAGAGACCUUGCUAGCAUCUCUUUGACUGAGUUAAUCAACACCUUCUAUGCUCAGGAACAAAGGAGAGCUAGCAGAGCUGAAGAUCACCAAGAAGGUGCAUUUCAAGCCAAGGCCAGAGAAGCCUCGAGCACCAAUGCUCAAAGAGGCAAAAAGCCUUGGAAAAGCAGGCCUAAGCCUGAUGCUGCAAGGAGCAAUGACCAGCCCCGCAGAUAUUGCAAGAAGCUAGGCCAUCCAAAAGACAGAUGUUGGUUCAGGCCAGAAGCAGUAUGCCAGCACUGCAAGAAGAAUGGCCAUGUUGAAAGGGUUUGCAAAAAUAGAACCAAGCCAAGGCAGAGCCAAUUUCAACAACCAAUGGUUGAAGCUCGAGUAGCUGAGGACAGUAGUGACCAAGAGGAGCAGGUCUUUGCUGUUUCUUGCUUAACUGCUGAGAAGAAAUUUUCAAAAGGUUGGCUAUUGGACAGUGGUUGCACUAACCACAUGUCACCAGAUGCCUCCUUGUUUAAAACCUUGGAUAGAAGUUGCAAAACCAAGGUCAAGGUUGGAAAUGGCCAGUUUAUAAAGGCUGAAGGAAGAGGAGAGGUGCUGAUAUGUACUCCUACAGGUAACAAGGUCAUACCAAAUAUGCUUCUGGUGCCUGAGAUUGACAGAAACCUUCUCAGCAUAGCUCAAUUGCUUGAGAAAGGUUAUUCUGUUGUAUUCAAGGAUAAAAAGUGCCAUAUUGCAGAUCCAAGUGGAUCAAGCCUUAUGACAGUCACAAUGACUGAUAAAUGCUUUGAGGUUCAUUGGUCAAAUGACUCAAAGUCAGCAUAUACAGCCUCUAUAGAUGACUCCAAACUCUGGCAUAGAAGGCUUGGACAUGCCAACUUCAGGUCAAUGGGUCGAAUGGCCAGUGAGGGCUUGGCUGAGAACUUCACCAACUCAGUGGAGUAUGAUGAUGUGUGUGAGGUCUGCCAGAUGGGGAAACAGGCAAGAUUGCCAUUUUCUACAAAUGCAGCAUGGAGAGCUACUGAAAGACUGCAGCUGGUGCACUCUGAUGUAUGUGGCCCGAUGAGGACUGAAUCACUCAGCAAAAAUAGGUAUUUCAUCCUCUUCAUUGAUGAUUUUACAAGGUUUUGCUGAAUUUUCUUCUUAAAACACAAGUCUGAGGUAGCUCAAGUGUUUGUGAAGUUUAAAACUGCUGUAGAGACAGAAACAGGUUGCAAGCUGAAAUCGAUAAGGUCAGACAAUGGCACUGAGUACACUUCAGCUCAGUUUCAAGCCAUUUGCAAUGAUGCUGGUAUCAAACACCAGCUUACAAAUGUCUACACACCUCAGCAGAAUGGGGUAUCAGAAAGAAAGAACAGAAGCUUGAUGGAUAUGGCCAGGUGCCUGCUGUUUGAGAAGAAACUGCCCAAGACCAUGUGGGCUGAGGCAGUAAACACUGCUGUCUACCUUCAAAAUAGGCUUCCUACUAAAGCUCUUGUAUCCAAAACACCUUUCGAGGCUUGGUCUGGUUUCAAGCCUUCCUUGGCACAUCUGAAGGUUUUUGGUUGCCUGUGUUAUGCACAAAUACCAGCAGCAAAGAGAGAUAAGCUCUCUGAAAGGGCUCAACCAGGUGUUCUAGUAGGCUAUAGCUCAGUUAAAAAGGGCUAUAGGGUGCUGGAUCCUUUGACAAACAAAGUCCAAGUGAGCAGAGAUGUCAUCUUUAACGAGAAGGCUUACUGGAAUUGGGAGAAGAGUAAACCAGAAGCUGCUUCAGAAGACCUGGUGCCUAAUCAAGCUGAACUCGAGCACCUUGGUCCUGAAAUGGAUGUUGAUGAUGUGCCUGUGAGAGGCACAAGGCCCCUAGAUGAGAUUUAUGAAAGAGCACAAGUUGCUAUAGCAGAACCUAGUAGUUUUGAAGAAGCUGAAGCAGAUGAAGGUUGGAAACAGGCUAUGGUUGAUGAAAUCAACAUGAUUGUGAAGAAUCAGACAUGGGAGUUGGUUGAAAAGCCUGCCAACAGAAAGACCAUUGGUGUAAAAUGGGUCUAUCGAGUGAAGCACAAUGCGGAUGGAAGUUUAAACAAGCUAAAGGCCAGGCUAGUUGUAAAGGGCUUCAGUCAAAGGUAUGGUCUGGACUACAUGGAAACAUUUGCUCCAGUAGCCAGACUCGAUACAAUCAGAUUGCUGAUUGCAGUUACUGCUCAGAACCAGUGGACAAUCCACCAAAUGGAUGCCAAGUCUGCAUUCCUCAAUGGAUUCUUAGAAGAGGAGAUAUACAUCGAGCAACCCCCAGGUUUUAUAAUUCCUGGUAAGGAACAUUUGGUGUAUAGGCUAAGAAAGGCCUUGUAUGGCCUAAAACAGGCCCCUCGAGCCUGGUAUGCUCGAAUUGACUCAUACUUGGUCAGUUUGGGAUUUGAAAGGAGUGCUAGUGAACCAACUCUUUAUGUUAAGAAGGAUCAAGCAGAAACACAGCUUAUUGUGUCUCCUUAUGUGGAUGAUCUCCUUGUAACAGGAGGAGACAAGACUAUGUUACAAGAUUUCAAAGGAAAAAUGAAGGAAAUGUUCGAGAUGUCAGAUUUGGGGUUGAUGACUUAUUUCCUUGGAAUAGAGAUACAACAAGCUGAUCAAGGAAUCUUUUUGGGACAAAAGGCAUUUGCUUUGAAAGUUUUAUCCAAGUUUUCAAUGCAAAAUUGCAAGCCAACAUGCACACCUAUGGCAGUUGGCAUAAAACUGUCGAGCCAAGAAGAACAUGAGCCUGUCAAUGAAUCAUUUUAUAGGAGCCUUGUUGGUUGUUUGCUGUAUUUAACAGCCACAAGACCUGACAUUCUAUUUGCUGUGAGCAUACUAUCAAGGUUCAUGCACUGCUGUAACCAGCAACAUUACAAGGCUGGGAAAAGGGUGCUAAGAUACAUCAAAGGUACCUUAAACCAUGGAAUACAGUUUAGAAGGGCUGAAGAGUUGAAACUGAUUGGCUACACUGAUAGCGAUUGGGCUGGUUCAAAGGAUGACAUGAAGAGCACUUCUGGCUAUGCUUUUACACUUGGCUCAGCUAUGAUUUGUUGGAGCUCAAGAAAACAAACAAUGGUGGCUCAAUCGACAGCAGAAGCAGAGUAUGUAGCAGCUGCCAAUGCUGUUAAUCAAGCUAUGUGGCUGAGAAAAAUUUUGAGCGAUUUGAAUCUACAGCAGAAUGAAGCAACUGUGAUACAUUGUGACAACAAGUCAGCAGUUGUUAUUGCUAAAAAUCCUGUCUUCCAUGGUAGGACAAAACAUUUCAACAUUAAACUCCAUGUGAUAAGAGAAAUGGAACAAGCUCGAGAGAUCGAGCUAAUUCAUUGCAGCUCAGAAGGUCAGAUCGCCGAUAUCUUCACAAAAUCACUUGGUACAUCGAGAUUUCUAAACCUAAGGAAGCAACUAAGAGUCUGCUGCAUAGAAGCUGAGGAGGAGUGUUGAAGUCAACCCCCAUGCAGCAGCCAAGGUGACCAUGCAAGGUGGCCAUGCAGGGAUCGUGCUUUAACAGCAAACCGAAACUGCAUUGUUUCAUUUGGUUACUCAAAUGAACAUUUUGCAUUUUAGUUUGUUUUGAACUAAGUUGGUAACUGUAUUUUGAUGUAAUUAGGUGCUGAAUGACAAGUUUAGGUAGAAGUUUAUGUUUUCAAUCAAGUUUACCAAGUUACUAGGCAAUUUAGUGGUGUUAGGUAUGUUAUUAGGUGGCAACUUGUUUGUUUUGCUGUUGUUAUCUCAUAUAUAUGUAUUGGUAUUAUGCCUUGUAAAAAAGUAAAUGAAAAUUCAGCUCAUUUUCAUUCAAUUUUAUCUCUUUCUUUUCUGUUCUCCAUUGCAAAAUUUCUUUCUUCUUCAAUAGUUUAUUCAGCAAGGCUCGACACUUGCUGUGCAAGCAAGCUGAAACCAUCUUGCUAUUACCUCUUGCACCAACAGAAAUGAUGACUACCGGUCUUCUUUAUGGUAAGUCCUGGAUGUAUUCUGGGUAUGUUGUGAUAUGAUCAAGUUAUAUCAUUAAAAAUAAUAACCUACUUGGGAAGACAAGGAUAAAUUACUCAAGAGUUUUCCCGAUUACAACCUUGAGGACUAGGUUCUUUCCAAUGGGGGGGACUAUUGUUGUAAACAACAAGGACAUUGGCUUAAUAGAUCAACAAGAUUCAACGGAUGCUGGGACUAAGCAAUUGGGACAAAGAAAUCCAAAGAGAAUAACACGUACAAUGAGGCCACCUAACAAAUAUAAUGACUUUGUAAUGGAUCCACAUUAGCAUUGACUUAAUGAUUUUGUUGUGCGAGAGGAGUGGGUAUAGGUAGCAAGAAAGGGAAGGAAAAUGGCAUGUGUAUUCUGUUGCAAACUAUCAAUUUCUUCUCAUCCACUUCUCUAAUUUUCUCAUCUCAUUCUUAUGUUUUUCCUUCAAUUUUCCAAUGAUGGAACAUAAUUAGCAAUAAAAACUUCAAUUACUCUUGGUUUUCUUCUUAAUCUAGUGUUUAUUUAGCUAGUGAUUAUUACAUAGUUUAAAAUUCAACACUUCAGCAAAAUAUGUUUUUUAAAAUAUUUAUAUUAAUUAUUUAAAAAUAUUUAAUUUUUUAUGUUAUGCACCAAUAUAUUAACUUUUUAAAAUAUUAUUUAAAAUAAUUUUUUUUUCUUUCUAUUUAUCCAUUUCAGAUUAAUUUAAGUUAUACAAAGCUGCUUGAUAGUUUUCACUUGGCCAAGUUAAAGGUCUCGUUGCUUUUUGACUUGUAUUGUUGUGUUCACUUCGUGUUAGGUGGCUGUGUUUGCAACUGGUGUUGAUUCAUCUGCUACUGAAACAAAAGGAACUGUUUUGAUUCACUCUGCUGAGCAGGUAAAUUAUGAUAAUUUUUUAAUUCUUUUUAAAAAUAGGAGAUCGUAUGAAAGAAGCAACCGAUUAGAAGGCAAAUUGUUUUGAAUGCAUUCCUGUUAUUUUAAAAUCUGUGGUUUUGGGCAAUAUGGGCAUAAUGAUUUUCUUAUCUCACGCUGUCCGUCUUUACAUUUUGUAAAUUGGUAUAGGGUGCUUUUGUUGGUCAAAUAUUCUAAAUGUGGAAGGCUUCUCUUUAUGUUUUUUUUCUUACAGCUAGAGAAUUACGCAAAAACUGAAGAAGCUAAGGUUGAGGAGUUCAUUAAAGCAGUUGCUGAUUCUGGUGCCAAAGUUAUCGUUAGUGGUGGAGCAGUCGGGGAAAUGGCAUUGCAUUUCUGUGACCGUUACAAGUACAUCAAGCUUCCUUCCCAUAUUUCCAACUCUUUACUUUGCUCUUUCUUGUUUUGAUUUGAUAUUAAGCCCAUGAUGUUGACUAUGUUGUGUUGAUAGAUUCACCUACUUUUUGGAUUCAAAAUUAUUUCAAUUAUUUUGCUCUCUUGGUCAACAUCUCUGAUACGUGAUUUUAUUUGGGCAGGUUAAUGGUCUUGAAAAUUAGCUCAAAGUUUGAACUACGACGCUUCUGCCGCACAACAGGCACUUCUGCUCUUGUGAGCAUUCUAUCUAGAUUAUGUUAUAAGAAAAAAGAUCAUAUCUUUUGAUUGCAAUCUAAUGGGCCUUUAAUUCUUCUGACAGCUGAAACUCAGCCAACCAAAGCCAGAUGAUUUGGGAUUUGUUGAUUCAAUUUCAGUUGAGGAAAUCGGUGGUUCUCGGGUAUGUUUGAAGAGGUGGAUUUACUUAUAUUUGGUUCCUAGUCCUUGCCUCACUCUAUUUUGCCUUUGCCAAUUUAAUGUAGGUUACUGUUGUGAGAAGUGAAGAUGGGGGUAACAAGGUUGCCACUGUGGUUCUGCGAGGAAGUACUGAUAGUAUAUUGGAUGAUCUUGAAAGAGCUGUUGAUGAUGGAGUCAAUACAUAUAAGGUUUUUUUUUUUUGCUGAUCUUUUUCUUUGAAUGCCAUAUAAACCUCACCUGCUGAAAUUGUCUUUUCCAUUUUUUCUGGAUGUAAAUUCCGAGGAAAGAAUCAUUAUCCCAUUCUUAAUGCCCAUUCAUUUUUGGUCAGGCAAUGUGCAGGGAUAGUCGUAUAGUACCUGGAGCUGCUGCUACAGAAAUCGAGUUGGCGAGAAGACUGAAAGAGUUCUCCUUCAAGGAAACAGGGUGAUUUGUUUUUUCCGUGUGCUCUUCUUAAUGCAAAAUGCCAUCCUGCAUGUGUUGUUUCAUAUUUAAGCUGCAAGUUUAUGCAUUACACUUGUAUGAAUGACAUGAACACAUUUGUGGCGUGAUGGAAUUCUACCCAAGGUAGUCAGUACCACACUGGUUGGUACGACCGGAACCGGUGCAAAACCGACCAUCAUGAUUCUACCUGCUGAACAACUAGGUAUUCAGGCAUAGUGCUGGAGAGGUGUCAAAUGAGUCAACUUCUGCAUUGUUGGCUGUCAAGUUAUUUAUAUCUUGCAUUGGUCAUGUUCAUUCUGAUAGCUGUGUUGAGAAUCUCCUACAGGUUUUUGGGAUUUAUUGUAGAUUAGAUGAGUACUAGAAGAAGCUAUUAAUAUUAACUACGGGAUAUUUUGCAGAUUGGAUCAGUAUGCCAUUGCUAAGUUUGCUGAAAGUUUUGAAUUGGUACCGAGAACCCUGGCAGAGAAUGCUGGACUCAAACCAAUGGAUAUUAUUUCUAACUUGUAUGAAAAGCAUGCAUCUGGGAAUGCUAAAGUGGGCAUCGACUUGAGGGGAGAUGACUCUGAGGAUUGUGUUUGCAAGGAUGUCUCAACCGUGAAUGUUUGGGACCUUUAUGUCACUAAGUAAGUCGCUAUUUACAAUUAUUUCUGGCUCAGUUCUGUUCUCUUUUGCAUCGAAAAUUAACCUCUGAUUCUUUUAUAAUUUACAAUUGUUGACUUUUUUUGUCAGGUUUUUGGCUCUCAAAUAUGCUGCAGAUGCUGCCUGGACUGUGUUGCGUGUAGAUCAGGUAAUUUACUAGAGGCAGAAAGCUUGAAAAUGAAAAUCGCACUUAAAAUAGUUUGCUGAUGGGAUUAGAUUCUCAUGCAAAGCUGUAUUUGUUGCUUAGGAUCGCAUAUGUAUUUCAUUUUCCAAACAUUGUCUUCCACUAAGCUCAGAAAUGCCGUUGAUUCAAUGUUUGCAGAUUAUCAUGGCGAAACCAGCUGGAGGUCCAGCGAGGAGAGAUCAACCGGCAGGAAUGGAUGAGGACUAAAUCUUGCAUGGUAUGAUUGAUUUCCCAUCUCUUGUAUCUCACCACCCAUAAUCGGACUUUGUUUAGGCAUCUAUUUUUUUAUUAUUAUUUUUUCUUUUUAGAUCCUAAAACGUGAUUGAAAGAAUUUUGCAUGUGAUUUUAGAAUAUUUACAGUGGGGAGUAGUGGUGAUCUAUGUUUUUAGUGUAUUACCCUAACCUAUAUUAGGGCCUGGGGUAGGGAGUUAGAAGAUCGUCUCAUUCAUAUCUUUCUCGAUUUUGCAUGGAUGUUGGUUAUAUCAUAGCCUAUUUUACACGAACCCAUUCAUUUUCUCUUAGUACCUAUAUUUAACACUUAUGUUUGAUACAUAUCUUAUUGGCAACCAUGCAAUCUUUGACUUUUCAAAGAUAUGGGUGUCAGGAUAUUGGCACCGAAAAUCUGAGCAUUUAAGGCACCGAAAUUGGGUUGAAAUUUGGAAUGGAAUAAUUGCAAUUUUGGUCCCUAAUUGUAUAGGGACUUUGCAAGUUAAUCCUUGAACUUCAACUAUAAAUAGGCCUAACUAUUUCUCAUUUUACACAUCCCACAUAUGCCAUUCUCUACUUAAGGCAUUGUUCUCUCUCCUUAUUUGUAAAUUUUCACUUGUAUUUUGGAGUGAAAUAUAUUUGGUAGUGCCCGAGGACGUAGGCAAAAUUUGCUGAACCUCAUUAAAAUUCUAAUGUUCUUUAAUUUUGCAUAUUUUGUGAGUGUGAUUGUAGUGAUUUAUUGUGCUAUUAAAUUACGAUAGAGGGAUAUUCUAGCUAGGAAAGACCUGGUACUUAAGUGAUCCUCGCGAUCCACCUCUCUUUCCUGAGAAUUGAACUUAGUGUGAUUUUUUAGUACAAUAAUUUCACUCUUUUACACGCUUCCGCGCAACAUAUCUAGAUAUGUAUAUAAAGAGAUUAGAUUAGUUUCGACUGAAUAAGUUUGUUUGAACAGACUUUAUAAAAGGGAUUACAUCAGUUUCGGUCAAAUAAAUUGAUUCGAAUAGACUUUUAUGCAUUCCUAGUGAGGGAGGAUUGAGUGAUAACUUCAAUUAUUAUGUAUUAAAUGGACAAAUCUAAUUCAGAAUAAAACUUGAGAUUUAGUUAUUUCGUGCAAUAAAUUUGUCUUUAAGAACAUUUAUUUCAGAAUUUUGAUUGUAAGGUUAUAACAUUCUCGCUGUAAAAUAGAGGUGAACAUUUGAUAAUUUCAUUCUAAUCAUAAUUGUGCACCAAUUAUAAAGUCAAAGGAAAACUGCGCACCAGUCAAAUGGAAUUUCCUUCAAUCUAUCCUCUAUUUAAGUUAGAGGAAAAGAUGGUCCAGAUGAGAUGAUACUUGAAAAGUUUAAUGUUGAAUUAAAAUGAAUUCAUUAUUCAUGUCACGUUAAUAUCAUUAAAUUAUCGCUUUAAUCAAUAUUUGCAAUAAAAAAUCCAUAAUUUGACUCAAAAUAAAAUGUUGAGGGUUAAAUUGUCGAAAAGAAAAAAAUAAGGGUCAAAUUGUUAAAAUUUAUGAACUCGAAUAACCUGCCUAGUUUAAAAGGUUUUAUUGACAUUACAAUUAGAUUACUAUUUUACAUUUUGAAAAAUCAAAUUGAAAAAAUUUCAUUUAAAAUAAUAUAAUUUACAUUACAUUAUAUGGAAAAAAAAACAACUAAUUAUAUAUUAACAUAAUCUAUAUCAAAUUUUAAUUCUCAAAAUUCAUCCGAGCAUAUAAUCUCCCUAAAAUUUACAUUUUUAGACUUUUUUUUAUUUUUAAAAUUUUAAAUUAGUAAAUAUAAAAUUACACUUUAAUUUUUCUAAAAUUGAUAAAAAUUUGAUUCAAUUAUUUAAAAUUUAUAAAGAUAUAGACUAUUAAAAUAGUUAAUUGUAUUUUUACUAUCGUAAAAAUUAUUAUUUAAUUUUGACUUCUCUAAAAAUUCUCAAAAUUCGUCCGAGCAUAUAAUUGCGUAAGUGUCUGCUUCCAUUUCAACUUGAUAACCUUUGCUGGUCCUUCACUUGCACGAUCCUUUGAGCAAACUUUCUUGUUUUUAUUGGUCUAAGGGAUAAACAUAAAACACCAAGAUUAUUUUUGUUUCAUUGAGAUAAUCUAUAUCACUGGUAUAUUAAUUUACUUCAAAUCGAGAAAUUUUUCUUAAUAUCGUAGAAAACACAAUCGUUGAAAAUCUUGCUCACGUUAAAUAAAAAUAAAAAAUGAAUCUAUUGAAUUUUAAAAAAAUAUAUUGGAUAUGAAUAUAUUUCUCACAUAGAAAAAUUUUUCCAAUUAAUUAAAAGAGUAUACUUUAUAUUCAUAUUUGAAUAAGUGUUAAAAAUAAGUAAAGAGUUGGAAUAAUAUUAUUUAUACUUCAAGCCAUGAAAUUUAAAUGCUACUUUUAUUAAAAGGAAUUAAACCUAUUUAAGUACUAUUAAGGACUUAUAUUUAAUCUUUCAAAUAUAUAAAAACAAUUUUGAUAUAUUAAAUUGAGCACAUAAAUAGAUCUCAAAUAAAAAUGAUGAUUUUUAAUUCAAGUGAAAUUAGAAUCUAAUCCUCAUUUGAGGAUUUUCACAUUUUUAUUACGUGCUUUGUUAUGGAAGAUAUUCUUUUUUCUCCGCAUUUUUGUCACAAAUUGAUUAUGUUUACUUCAGCUUACCAAUAAAAUAUAGAUGUAAGUGAAUAUAUAUAUAUAGUGAAAUAAAAAUUUAAUAAAAAAUGAAACUAAUGUAGACAUUUCAUGAAUUAGGAAAGAAUUAAGUGACAAAUUUUUAAUGGUAUAAAAACCUAUGUUAUCAAUAUUUGCAAUAUGCAUAGAAUAUGUACUCAUGUUCAAUAUGAGUAUGAAUAAAGAUUUUAAUACUUCUUGAUAUAUAAUAGAAGGAUCAUAUCUCGUUAGUAAAUAAAUUUAGAAUGAUUACUUUAAAUGAAAUAAAAGCUACAAAUGUGUAAAAAAAAAAUCAAUAGGAGGUUGGUUAAGUAGUUUACCACAGUUAAUGCUUCUUCCCCUAUUGGCGCACUAUAAAACUGAAAAAUUUCUGCAUCCGUUUUGGUUGCGGCCCUUCUUCCUCCGCUUCAUCGUAGAUAUUAGCUUUUCGUUUUAUGUGCGAAGUGCUAUCUGUUGAUCAAUCGUUGUGAGCAGAGUGUUGAUGGAUGUGUUCAAAAUUUGGAGAAGAUUGAGUGGUAUGGCACUGCAACUCUUUUAUUUCUUCCAAAUCUUUCUCAUACACUAUUCUAACACCACACUUCUUCACCUUAAUUCCGUAUCCAAAUAGAUUUGUGAAACGCACCUCAAGCUCAUCCCAUUUCUGAUCUAAGCAAUCUGGUGCCCAUAAAUUAUUGGUUUCACAAUGACCAUAUAAUUCAUCCUCCCAGGAAUGUGAAUAUAAUUUAUCACGCGACCAAUAACGAAGAAAAAGGUGAUCUUUCAUUAUGGGCUCGUUAUAUCUUUUACCCACCAUCCAGCCGCUCCCAUCAAUCUGUCUACGAUUUCUACCUCGAAAAAUAGAUCCAUUACAACUGGCUUCUUCAGAAUUUCUACAAUAGAUAAAUGCUCCACAACCGAUAUGCUCGUCAUCCCUUGAAGCAUCAUUAUUGACAAAAAUGCAGCAACAAGCAACUCCAAUCCAUUGACUAUCUUUCGGAACGGGUAUCUUAAUUGAAGAGUCACUUUUUUGUUGGCUAAACCAUUCUGGGAUUUCACUUCCGGGCAUCAUAAUAUCUAACUUUUUUCUUGAAUUUGCAAAUGCCUGCAAAACAAAACACAAGUCGUUUGGUAACUAAAACCAUAAAUUCUCAAGUAUGAGAUUUUGUAAGGGAGAAUAAAGAGAUUAAUCGACCUUACGAUAUUUUUUCAGCAGUGUUAAUGCAUUGAUAUUCUCAGCCAAUUUGAAGCAGUUAAUGGCUCUAAUGAUACCCCUAUCCUCUAAAUUGCGCACUUUUGAUGGACUUGCAACUACUUCAAGUGAAGAGCAAUCAUCUAUACGCAGAUCUGCUAUACUUGUUAGAAGCUCUGGCAACGAUUUAAGCAUCUUGCAAUUUGAUAAUCCCAGUAACUUAAGCCUGCUAAGUUGAGUAAGAGCCAAAGGAAUGGUGAUGAAAUAGUUACCCCUAAGAUAAAGAUAACUCAAAGAGGAUAGAAAAGAGGAUAGACCAUGAAUAUCUGCUUCACCAAGUGUGCACAUGUUGCAAUUUGACAAAUCAAGAAACGAAAGCUUCGAGAGCUGAGUAAGAGAUGCAGGUAUGCUGAUGAAAUUGUUACCACUAAGAUCAAGAUGUAUCAAAGAGGAUAGACCAGAAAUAUCACGUGGAAUAUCUCCUUUACAAAGAUUGCAGUCCCUUAGAUUUAGCUUUCUUAAUGAACUCAAACCUGACAACAAAGGCAACAUCGGAGCUAUGGGAUUCGUCCUUCUUCCUUGGAUUACCUUGAAAAGAAAAGGCAAAUUUGAUCGUGACUUAUAUGAUGGUCCCUUGCAUCCACUGAAAGACAAAACUUUAAGAUUUUUCAAUUGAGAAAUGAAGGAUGGUGGUUCUUUUAUGGAUGUUUCACUCAAGUCAAGCUCUUCCAAAGAUUCUGCUUGCUGCAAAUUCUCUGGUAAAUAUUCAACUUUGAAACAACCAGAAAGAUGAAGAGUUUUUAGAUGUUCCAUUUUCCCAUCAAUCUCUGGAAACCUUUCAAGAUUUGAGCAACCUGAAAGAAUUAAUGUUUCAAGAGAUUCCAUUCCAAUUUUGGUUGGAAGACUCCUAAGACUUUUGCAGUCUCUGAAAUUCAAAAGUUUAAGGCUCUUAAGCACUCCGAUUGAUGGAUGGACAUCUACUAAUCUGGUACAACCUCCUAUAAUCAAAGCUUCAAGUUUUGGUGCUGUUGUGAAGUCAGGUGUCUUGAUCAGGUUUUGGGACCCUUUGAGGUUGAUCAUUUUCAACUUAAACAAGGGCUGUUGAAGACAAUAAUAAAUUAGGCCGAAGACAUAAUAAUGCUAAUGUUUGGUUUUUUUUACCUUAAUCAAAGUUUAAUCAUUUAUAUUAAAAUAAGCUAAAACACAAGAAUAAGAUGAGUUAGUUCUUACUCUAUCCCCCUUCCAUAGUUGUUCAAUAUGACUAUAUGGUAAAAGAAGUGCCACAAGAUUAUCUGGGUGGAAGUUUGAAGGCAAAAAUUUUAAAGGGUAUCCUGUCCAAUCUAAAAGCCGUAGUUCAGUAGAAAGAUAUUUGAGAUGAUCAUCACAAUUUGAUACGCAAAACACUUUGAGCAAUCUCAAAUUCUUCAUCUUCGAGAAGGUAUCGGCGCUCAAAUUGAAUAUCUUGCUGGAUUUCCUAAUAAUCAUGAGUAAAACAAAAAUGAGCUUCAAAAUAUACAAAAACAUUUAAUAUCUAAAAGCUAUGUUGCAUCGAUAUUUUUUUUAUGUACCCACAUCCAGUACUUAUAAGUAAUGCGUAUAUAAAUAUAGUAUUGCGAUAUAAUUGAAUAUAUUAGACAAUACUUAAUCUAACACUUAUUUCACACUUUUAAUUACCUAAGCCUAAAAAACCUAGAACUAAUAUUUUUAUUUAUGUUUAGUGCAUUGAUGUGUAAUUCUAUACAUUACUAGCGAAAUGAUGGCAUUAUUUGGAUUUACUUUUGAAAACUUUUAAUGAUAUGUUAUGGCCUAGUUCAUAAACCAUUAAUAUUAACAAAGACAAUGACAUUAAUUUUUUUAUAAUUUCUUUUGAAAGAGUACUGUGUUUUUUUAUAAAUUUCAUAAAUAUAAGAUUGAAAAUUUAAGCAUUAAAAAUGUGUUUGGUUAGGUGAAAAAGUGAAGGGAUAUGAGAAUAAAGUAUGCUUGGUAGAAAAAAAAAUGAGAGAGAUGAUCAUUUACGUGUAUGUUUUCCUACCAUUUAUUGUCGAUGAUCAUGCUUUCAACCACUUCGGUAGCCUAGAAGUAAUCAAGAAUAGACAAUAAGAAGAUAAAAUAUAUGCUCUAAAUUGUACGAUAAAACAUUAUCACUAUAUUUUGGUUGGAAUAUAGUAAAUAAAAUAUUUUCUAAUGAAAGUAAUUCAAUAAAAUUAAAGCUACUCAAUGUCACUUAAGGAUCAAUAUAUAAACCAAUUAGACUAAGCUUUGGAUUUACAUCAUAUAUUAAUAAAAGAAAUUUUUGUAUGUAAUUUUUGUUGAAUGAUUUACCGUGUUUUUUGUUAGGACAUGAUGGACAUCCCUUUCCUUCCAUAAUCUACAACGUUUUCCGGGUUUAUCAACACAUUUUUCUUCAACAAUUUUUCUUCCCAUUUCUUGCAACAAGGCAUGCAUCCGCAAAUAUUGGUUGUCAUUACUGACUUUUAUGAGAGAUUUCUUAAUGAGAACAUCGACUCCAAUAUCGGGGAAAAACCCACAACCAUCCAAUACUUUUAUUACCAAAUCUUUCUUCUCCCCAUUGAAAAAGCAUGCUAUAUCUAGAAAUAUAUUCUUCUCCCUUUCUUCCAAUCCAUCAAAGCUAAUUCUUAGUGUGUCAAGAAUUUCUUUGUUAGAAUCUUGUUUAAGUCUUUCGAUUGCACUUCUCCAUUGAACUAUAUCUCUACCGCACAAAAAUGAACCCAAAACUUCAAGAGCUAAGGGGAGACCAUCAGCAUAAUGUACAACAUGUUCAGAAAGCUCAAUGAAAUCAACUUUCGGCGUUGUAUCACCGCCGAAAGCUUUCAAAUUGAAAAGCCUUAUUGCAUCGUUGGGAUUCAAUGUUGUAGGCUUAUACACAUCAUUGAUUCGAUAAGAUCGGAGCAAAUGUUCAUCUCUUGUUGUUACAAUGAUCCUACUCCCUAAAUUGAACCAAUCACGCCUUCCAACCAAGCAUUUCAAGUGUUGUAUGUUAUCAACAUCAUCAAGAACAACAAGAACCUUUUUACUGGACAACCUGUGGCUAAUUAUGGCAUUCCCAUCAUGAACAUUGAAAAAAUUGAAGCAUUCAUCCGGAAAGAUUUGAGAAAGUUGUUUCUGUAAAGAAACAAGUCCAUGUUUGUUUGAAACUUCUCGAAUAUCAGCAAGAAAGCAUUUACCCUGAAAAUGAGCUAACAAUUGAGUGUAAGCAACCCUUGCAAGAGUUGUUUUACCGAUGCCACCCAUUCCGCAAAUUCCUAUAAUGCGGACAUCGUCUUCCCCAAUAUUUAUUUUUGAAUACAACUCCUCCAAAUGUAAACUAAUUCCAACCAACUCAUCAUGAACAACUGGAUAUGUCUGACAUAAUUUUGCUGAUAUCUUCUUAACAACGUCUCCAAUAAACUCUGAUUCGUGCCUACAAUGAAAUUAAAAUCCGAUAUGCACUUUUUCAUUUUUAGUUUAGUGAAUCAUGAAGUAUAAUAUGGUUGGAAGCAAACAAAAAGUAUGAAUAAGACAGUAAGAUAUAUUAUAGCAUCAAAAUACACAACUUGCUCCUUAGUUGAAAUAUGGGAAUUCUCAAUUAAACACAAAAUUAUAAAAAUAACAUGCAAUCCAAUAAAAAAAACAAUUUUUUAGUCAUUAAAAUUAGGAGAUAGAGAAGAUAAGAAAGAAAUACCUAUUAUUUAAAUGCCAUCCCUUGAUGUUAGCCACUUCAGUCAAAGCAUUUCGCCACUUUUGGAUCUUGUCUUUAUCUUCCUUGUAUCUUUCUUCGUGUUUGGCAAAGGCUUCUUCAACCUUUUCUUUUUGUUUUCUUAAAUCGGAUGGAUCAACAUGGUAGAAAAUUGGAAAUACUUUAUGACCCUUGUCAUUUUUUUGUUUAACAAUCUCCGCAAGCUCCUCCAAGCACCAACCUGAAAAGGCAUAGGUCUCGGAAAAAACGAUUACCGAGCACCAUGAUUGCUGAAUUGCGUUGAAGAGUUCCGGUGCGAUCUCUUCACCAGUUUCCAACUUUGGAUCAUCUCUAAAAGUGACGAUCCCAGUUCUAUUUAGAGCAUCGUAGAGAUGAUCCGUAAAAUUCUUGCGAGUAUCUUCACCUCUAAAACUCAAGAACACAUCGUAUUUCUUUCUAGAAAUGGAUGAGGAAGUCGAAAGUAACGAUGACAUGAAGAUGUAUGAGAAGAAAAAUAUGUGGAUGUAGUGUUCAAAAUCAGUCGCUCAAUACCUCCGAAACAAUAGGUAUAUGAGCAUGAGGGGAGAAAAACAGAUGAAAUUUCGAGGGAAGAACAAAGGGAGUAGGUGAAAUUUUGAGUAUAAUAAUAUCUAUGAAAGGGAGUAG